GCUUGUGGGGCGGAGUUGAUGGCUUCUUUCCAGGAGCUUCUGGCUUUUUCAUCGGAGCUGAAGGAGGCUCAAUCUUAUGAGGCGGCUUGUACGAGUCUUCUUUGCUCUCGAAAGGAGGGUGGCCAGGGUUGUGACCAUAAUGUGGUGGUUUCUCUCCCUUGGGAGGUUUACCAAUUGGGGUUGGUGGCUUGUGUUCUGGGAGUGGUUUCUCUCCCUUGGGAGGUUUAGUGGGUGACUUGUGUUCUGGAGGUGGCUUCUCCACCGAAGGCUUGUGCUCCGGUGGUGGCUUUUUGGUUGGAGGGGGCUUGGGGUAAUCAGCAAGAGAUGGGGUGGUGAGAACCACCAGUCCAAGGAACAACACUAGCAAGUAUGUGGGAGACAUUUUUGAGUUUGGGCUGAUCAGAUGAUGCAAAACUAAAGCAUUACGUGACCUUUUAUAGCAAGUAGCUCCCAAUACCUACUUGACACGUGUUACUGUGACCCAUAAAUAUUAUGGGGUCUAUUUGUGCCCUACCGGGUUGAAAACUUGGACAAUUGGGCAAGGACCCGCCUGACUAUGGAGGACUACUGAGGUGUGAUCACAGCUUUAGGAUUUUUCUUCCUCUGCAGCCGUCUUGCCGUUGGCAUGAUUUUCUUAAUCUCAAAUAAAGGCAUAGUUAUAGAGUUGUUUAAUCUCUAAAUGGGAUUUUAUAUAUCUUCAGAUAGCCAUUAAUACAUUUGAUGAAGAAAGAAAGACAAGUGCAUACAACAUGUAUACGACUAGCUUUCAUGGAGUUCAUUUAUGAUCAGUUUUCCUGUACAUGUAAACCAAGAUCAUAUAUGUUUUUGUUCCACAACAAUUUUGGAAUCUUGUUUAUCCGUUUUUAUCAUUAUAAUGUCACAUAGGCUGCCAACUUGGGCGCUAAAUUAAAGAUCCAGUUGGGCAAGUUCGUUUCAGAAUUUCAAUGGUGGAUUCAGGAAUUGUUUUAUAAGAUAUGCAAAAUAGUAGAGGGAUGAAUAGUGUUUCAUUAAGAAAAGAGCCCUGUAAAAAUAUUGUUUAAAGGUGCCAUAGAAACUAUAAUCAAUAAAUAACUUUUUUUCCCCAUGGGUGGUGUUUCUUGUGGGGAUCAGUGACUGGUUUGAGUCAACGCCGUGUCUCUUUAGUCCAGAAAUCAACUAUUUUAUGCAUUGAAUACAUCAACAAAGAAAAUAUGAAAGCCAAAUGACACCUCCCCCGCAAAAACUAAACCCUGGUUGCUAACUUUCUAUGUUUCAGUUCCAUUCACACAAGAAUAUUAGUUCAAGUUUGAGAAAAAUGGCGACUUACCUAGUGAUAACUCGGUCUUGGUUUGCGAUUUGACUUUAACGUCAUGGGUUGAAGCCUCCUACAAUCAUCGUGUAUGCUAGUUCAAAGCUCGUGGAAGAAGUUAUACAGGGAGGGAGAAACCUCCACAGCAAGCUCCAAAAGAGAAUUAUCACAUUGAAAGCUCCAGUUGAACACUGGGUGAAAGCCAUAACAAGAUUGGUUUUCUAUCGCUCUUUUAAGUAAUGGAAGAUUAUUAUCUCUGCUUGUCACUACAACCGUGCAUGCUGCUAGAUCUUUCUAGACACUUCAAACAGUGAAACCAAGUAUGAUUCUUUUUCUCUUGAGUGGGUCCACUUGCAUGCCAAUGAACGAGUUGAAAAGUUGGACAAUUGGCCACAGCGCGCACUUACCUUCUGGAACCGAAGGUCAGUGAAGUGGGGUUCCUUUUGGCCCCUUGUGUUUCUGUUCCAACCUACUCCAGGAACCGAAGUUCAGUGAAGUGGGGCUACUUUUGGCCUCUUGUGUUUCUGUUCCAACCAAACAAAAAUGGGAGGGAAAAAUAGCAUUAUGCUUGUGCUAAAGAUCAACGCAUGAUAGCUGAAUAAGGGAGAAAAAGGCAUUGCUAUCUCAAUUUCAUAAACUUGAUAAGUAGUGACAUUAAUAGUCUUCCUCAUAGAUGGAUACAUGGUUUUAUUUUAUUUAUUUAUUUUUAUUUUUUUGUUUUAUGUCAAUGCUAAUGAAUGAAGUGCAUUAGCUUGUUUUGUGACUAGAACUACAAAUGUCCAAAUUGGAGCUUCUCCAAUAUAUUUCUCAGUGAGUUAUUGAUUAGAACUCUUGGAUUGAGUUCCAAGAUUUGAAUCAGACCCCUCUAGCAGCUUCAGGGGUACGUAGCAACCUAUAGCAUAUUAAUGAAGACUUAGGAUUUAGACUUAGGAAUACAAAUUAAUAUGUACCUCAUGCUCUGACUAGCUUCCCUGCGUAUGCACAAAAUGGAGAUGACUCCCAAAAAAAUAGCAGAAUCGCCUUAGUAUGUUUUUGUGGUUAAGAUGAUUCUCCACUUUAUAUAUCCACAUUGGUUCAUUAUGCAAAUUAAUCAACUAAGCUAUUUUUAUUUUUUCUUAAAUGUGAAAUAGGAGCUCCAAAUUAACCUAACCAUUGGCCUGAUUGAAUUGAUUUCACUUGCAUAAUGUUAUAGUAGAAGUCCGUAAUUUGAAUUUUAUUUUUGCAAAAGGUAACGUAAAUGAAGCAUUGUAAUUAAAUUUAUUUGUAAUUACAAACUAAUUUUAUUUUAUUAAGAAUUAAUUUAAUUACUCAUUUAAAAUAAAAAUCAGUUAUACUUUUACCAAGAUGAUAAUAUUCAUAUUUUUCUAGUUAACAUAUAUAAAAUAGUACACUUUUUCAUAUAAAAAAAUAAUUUAUGAUUUAUUAUAAUGUUACUAUUCACAUUUUACUAAAUUGAUGGUACAUGAUAGUGAGAGAAGGGGGUGUCACACUCAGCUAAAGUUCUUUUCAAAAUAUUGCAUGGUGUUUAAUUUUAUGUGUCGGCGCGCGUGUGAAUGGAACCUGCAAAAGUCCAAAUUGGCGUUUCUCCAUUUUCCACAUAGGAUGGUGACGUUAAUAGACAAAGAUACAAUAUCUGUAGACAUUGCUUAAAAAUCGAUGUGAAGUAUUAGAAAUUACAGGGCACUGUACUGGGGGAGCGGCUGCCCCGCCAAAGGAGGAAGAAUGUAGCAAUUUCUUCUGUUAGCCAGGCCUUAGGAUUUAUGCAUGGGAUGCCUAAUAACAAACAGAGAAAAUAUACUUUUGGGGAAGGUAUCCAACAACAGACACCAUCAUUCAGAUGGUGGGAAGGUAUCCAACAGAUGCCAUCAUUCAGAUGGUAACAUAUAUAUACAUUUAUUAGUGAGUUUUUUUAAUACCUAUAAAAAAAAAUAUACACUUUGAUAUUGUGGCUGAAUCCAUUACAUACUCAACUAACCUUGCUCAUUAGGGAUUUGACUUAACAAGGGCAACGUUGCAGUACAAGCUCAAAACUUUAUGCAGGUGACAUUACAUUUGGUAAAGAAGAGGAAAAUAACGAAAGCCAUCCAUAAAAGCAAAAUUCCACAUGGGAUGAAAUUCACAAGCUUCAUUUACGAUAGAGUCGCAUCCAGGCAAUUAAUUCCACAUUAGACCGCCUGUUGACAUGUGUACCAAUCUUUUUUCAAAAAAUAUUUAUAAAUAAUUGAUACUCACAAAAAUAAUUUAAUAUUUAUAAAGGAUAAAAAAAUAUUUUCAAAUCUAUAACAAUUUAUAAAAUAUUAAUAAAAAAUUAUCUCUUAAACUUAGUAUAGUUUUAUCAGAUUAAACUUUUAUUUUGAACAAAUAAUUUUAAUCUAAGUUUUAAAUUCUAAAAUUAUUUCCUUAAAAUAAAAUUUUAAAAUUCAACACUUCAAUUGAAAUUGUCUUUUUAAAAAAUAUCUUCUUAUUUUAAUCCUUAUAAACUAUAGUUGAUUGAAAAUACUAUUGAAGUUCUCUCUUAAAAAAAAGUCUUAUUUUAAUCUUCAUAAAUUGCCCUUGAUUUGAAAAUAAAUUUUCAGUUAUCAUAUUUUAAAUAAUAUCUAUAUUUAAAAUACUCUAUUUAAAAAAAAAUGAACUAAUUUUAAUUAUAUUAUAUUUUAUUUUUUUAUAUAUUUUUAAUGAUAAACCAAACAUAGAAAAUCAUUUUUCUAAAUAUUUUAAAAUUUCUAAGCAACCAAACAUAAUCUUCAAAAUAAAAGGAAAAUAAGGAGGGACAUUUGAGAAAUGGCGAUUAAAAAAAAGUGUACAAAAGCUCAAUUAAUUUUCUUCUAGUCUUUUAUAUAAAAAAGUAAAGGAAUUGAAAAGUAUUGAUAUGUAAAUUAAUAUUUGGAUUUUAAUAGUAUUUUAUUUGUCUUUCUCUAUCUCAUGUAAAAGAGAAUUUAAGAUAUUUCCUAAAGCAAAGCAUUAGUUAUCUGCAAUCAGUGGUGAUCAUGCCCCAUGUCAAUUUCGGACCCAUAUCUUAAAACUGUAUAAUUUGCAUUCAAACAUUACUGAUUUCUCAGAUGUUUCAUACUCCACAGAAGAGCAUUGUUUGUGAAAGCAUGCAUUUAUGUUGGAUUUUGGAUGAUGUGGGAACUGGGGCAAGGAUCAUAUGGAAGAGUGGUCGAUUUUGUUCUGUACUUUAACAUUUGAAAUAGGAGAAGCUCGGGCAUUUGUGGGGCUUAAUUGAUUUUGAAGCCUGAAAUUGCGUUUCUGUCAUUUUGUAAAAAAUAUGGCAGAUUCCAUGCUCUCAUAUGUUUGGUCUGUGGCCAUGUAUAGAUGCCCCUUAGUGACCAGUUUGUAACUGUCAAUCAUAGUGUUUUGACUCUGGCUCAACAACAUCAGCCAUUGACGGAUUUUCAUACUUGCAAAUCAAAUAGUCUUCUUCCUCCCUUAGGAAUUUCGGUUUAAAUGUUAUUAAGCAUACAUUUGGCUGACAAUUAUUAACCACUUCAUGAUAUGGUUUCUUACCCUUAAUCAAUGGUUUCUAAGUGAAUAUAUGCAGAAGGAAAUCUGAACUGUAGACAGCAGUAUUGAUAACUCUCAAUAUUCUUUAUAUAAGAGAAUAAACAACGUCAUAGUGAUCGUCGCCUACAAGAAAGGUACAUUUCCCAACAAGAUGUAGUUGUGACUGGUACAUGGACGCAAUUAACUCGUACAAAAGAAUAAGACCAGUGCACGGCAGCUCUUAUUUUACAUGCUAAUUAUGCUAACCAAAGUCACUCAGUUGGGAUGGGAGGGAGAUGGAGGUUUGUGCGGUGGCUUGUGGGGCGGAGUUGGUGGCUUCUUUUCAGGAGCUUGUGGCUUUUUCGGAGCUGAAGGAGGCUCAAUCUUAUGAGGCGGCUUGUACGAGUCUUCUUUACUCUCGACAGGAGGGUGGCCAGGGUUGUGACCAUAAUGUGGUGGCUUCUCUCCCUUAGGUGGCUUGCCAACUGGGGUUGGUGGCUUGUGUUCAGGAAGUGGUUUCUCUCCCUUGGGAGGUUUACCAAUUGGGGUUGGUGGCUUGUGUUCUGGGAGUGGUUUCUCUCCCUUGGGAGGUUUAGUGGGUGACUUGUGUUCUGGAGGUGGCUUCUCCACCGGAGGCUUGUGCUCCGGUGGUGGCUUCUCCACCGGAGGCUUGUGCUCCGGUGGUGGCUUCUUGAUUGGAGGGGGCUUGGGGUAAUCAGCAAGAGAUGGGAUGGUGAGAACCACCACUCCAAGGAACAACACUAGCAAGUAUGUGGGAGACAUUUCUGAGUUUGAGCUGAUCAGAUGAUGCAAAACUAGAAGAAUUACGGGACCUUUUAUAGCAAGUAUCUCCCAAUACCCACAUGACACGUGUUACUAUGACCAUAAAUAUUAUAGGGUCCAUUUGUGCCCUACCGGGUUGAAAACUUGGACGCUUGGCCGAGGACACACCUGACUAUGGAGGACUAUUGACGUGUGAUCACAGCUUUUGGAUUUUUCUUCCUGUGCAGCUGUCUAGCGGUUGGCAUUAUUUUCUUAAUCUUAAAUAAAGGCAUAGUUAUAGAGUUGUUUAAUCUCUAAAUGGGAUUUUAUAUAUCUUCAGAUAGCCAUUAAUAUAUUUGAUGAAGAAAGACAAGUGCAUACAACAUGUAUACGGCUUGCUUCAAUCGAGUACAUUUAUGAUCAGUUUUCCUGUGCAAGUAAACCAGUUUUUUGUUCCACAACUAUUUUGGAAUCUUGUUUAUCAGUUUCUAUCAUUAUAAUGUCACAUAGGCUGCAAACUUGGGCACCCAAAGAUCUAGGUGGGCAAAUUUGUUUCAGACUUUCAAUGGUGGAUUCAGUAAUUGUUAAAAGGUGUUUCUUCAUUAAGGAAAGAGUCCGGUAAAAAUAUUGUUAAAAGGUGUCAUAGAAACUAUAAUAAAUAAAUAACUUCUUUUCCCCAUGGGUGGUGUUUCUUCUGGGGAUCAGUGACUGGUUAGGGUCACCCAAAAUGAGUCCAGAUUAAAAUUGGUUCGAGUCAAAGCAGUCUCUUUUGUCCAGAAAUCAACUAUUUUGCGCAUUGAAUGAAUCGAUAAAGAAAAAAUGAAAGCCAAAUCACACCUCCCCUGCAAAACCUAAACCCCGGUUGCUAACUUUCUAUGUUUCAGUCCUAUUCAUAUAGGAAUAUUGGUUCAAGUUUGAGAAAAAUGGCAACUUACCUAGGGUUUACUUGGUUUUGGUUUGCGACUAUUUACGCAACCAACCAUGAGUUUGACUUUAACGUCAUGGGUUGAAGCCUCCUACAAUCAUGUAUGAUAGUUCAAAGCUCGUGGAAGAAAUUAUACAGGAAGGAAGAAACCUCCAAAGCUAGCUCCAAAAGAGAAUUAUCACAUCGAUAGCUCCAGAGAUUCCCAAGGGAACUGAAUCAAAGACAAGUUCCUCACUUUUUCUUCUUUUGAGGCCAAAUAUGAACCAAGGAUCACACGACCUCAUUCAACUUCAUAAGUUUGAUUUCAUGCAGUUGAACACUGGGUGAAGGCCAUGACAAGAAUUGAUUAAAAAAUUCUACCACUCUUUUAAGUAAUGGAAGAUUAUUAUCUCUGAUUGGCACCACAACAGCACAUGCUGCUAGAUCUUUCUAGACACUCCAUGCAAUGAAAGCACAAUGGAUCUUGUAAUGAUAGAAACUAAGCCAUGCUACAGUACUAGAUGAGGGGGUAAAACUAGUAGACAUCUUUCUAGACACUCCAUGCAAUGAAAGCACAAUGGAUCUUGUAAUGAUAGAAACUAAGCCAUGCUACAGUACUAGAUGAGGUGGUAAAACUAGUAGACAUGGCUGGCAGUUGAUUACUACUCAAAAAGUACUCUUUUAUAGCUUGAAACUAACUGUUUUAAACACUUUUGAGUAGUAGUUAAUACCUUUUAACUUAAUUGGCACAUUAAGGAACCUAGCAAGGGUUACUAAUCAACAUUUGGCAAGUUUUGAUGUUUUUGGUAGCUAUUUGAUCAUUGAAACAAGCCAAGAAUGAGGGGGAAUUUUGUGAAGUCCAUGGCAAUGCAAGUUAAAGCUCAAAUACAUGAAGAAUCCAAGCUUUGGAGCACUUCAUAGCCCUUUGCCAAGCCAAUCAAAGAUGCAAGGAAGAAAACCAAAGGAAGAAAUCCAACAAUCAGCAUUUUGGCAUGGCUAUGUGAAAUUUCGCACACCAUGCGAAACCACAAGAGGCAGCCAAAGAAUUUCGCAUGGUAUGCGAAAUCUUCUUGUGCACUGACUCUGUUAGAUUUUUAUCUUCAGAUAUUUUGUGUAAUUUCCUAGUUUCUCCUUGUAACCAACUUAGAUAUUUUCUUUUAUAUCUUUUUUUAUAUUUUUUAGGUAACAUCAUAUAUAAGAGGAGAGACAUAAGGAGGAUAUGGAUGUUUUUCAUAGAACACUUGUAAAUUUUUGGUAGUAAGAAAUAUACAAAGCUUUUUGCUCUGCCUUACCUUCUCAAGGGAUGAGUGGCUAGGUUUUCUUGGAGUGAGGGAAGCUAGGUGAAGGACCUGAAUGCAAAGGUGGGAGUUUUCCUUACUUUAAAUGAAAGUAGUUGUUAAACAUUAAUGGUUUUUAUUUUAAGGUUUAGCUUUAAAUCCCUGAAAAACACCUUGAAUGGCCAAUACUUGGUAAGCUUUUUAGAUUCUAUGGAUGCUUAUUGCUAGAUCCAUGGAUGUCUAUUAGUUAUCAUUUACGAGCCAUUGGAAGGUGAUUCAAGGUGAGGGUCUUUAGUGUUUGAAGCCAUUAAUGGGAAGCAAUUACCAUUUUUUCAUGAAUCCUUUGGAUCAAAUCUUAAUUGCUAAAUAUAAAACCGGUUUCGAGAGAUAACCACCAUCCUUUAUGUUAUUAUCCCCAACGCGAGGAGAAGAUCCGAAAUCUUCCUUUUUAUCUAAGGAACCCGAUCCUAGUGACCUAAAGCUCCAAGAUACCUUUUCUUUGUAGUUAACUUCAUUUAUUGUUUUUGCUUAACUUAAAAUCAAUCUUUGCAACCACAAUUCCAUUUUCUUUAAAAGCUAAUUUUUAUAAGGAAAAACACCAUUUUAUUUCCUUCACUAAGUCAACUGUACGAUGAAAACCCAUCCCUGUGGACGAUCCUAGAGCCACUAUACUAUGUUAGCUAUGCUACCCUAGUGUGAGGUGAUUUAGGUUUUAUAAAUUUUUUUGAUAACACCCAUCUGAGCCAGAAUCAAAUGGCACGACUGAACCAGGGACGAAUCAAAUGACGCCGCUACCAAGGAUGGUGCCAAAGUACAUUGACAUGACUUUUGGUGAACACUUGUGAUCUUCACCACAAGUUUGGUGAUUUUUCUUUUACUAAUUUUUUUUAUUUUAGCUUAUCUUUUAUUUAGUUUUUAGUUAACCUUAAAUUUUUCCUAGAAUUGUAUUUCUUUUGUUUUCUUUGUUUUUGUUUCAGUGAUCUUUAGUUGUGCAUGCCCUAUUGGAUAAGAGAUAUUGAGGGAAUACUUGUGAAGAUUGAAACUCCUCGAGAAACUGAGUUAGAAGUGUGCUUGAACAUCAUGGAUGUUCCACCUGAAGACCAGAAUAGCCAACAUGGUUAAGAGGAUAAUUUCAACACAUACCGAUCCAUGAGGAACCGCAUACAUCCACCUUGUAUGAGUGCACCGUCAGGCAUAAUGCCUCCCACUGAGCAGCUAGUAAUCUGACCUCACAUUGUGCCACUCCUACCUACUUUCCAUGGGAUGGAGAGUGAGAAUCCCUACUCGCAUAUUAAGGAAUUCGAGGAGGUUUGUAAUACAUUCCAAGAAGGAGGAGCUUCAAUUGACUUGAUGAGGCUCAAGCUAUUUCCUUUCACUUUGAAGGAUAAGGCCAAGAUUUGGCUUAAUUCUUUAAGGCCAAGAAGUAUCCAAACUUGGAUUGAUUUGUAAGCCGAGUUUCUUAAGAAGUUCUUCCCUACCCAUAGGACCAAUGGUUUGAAAAGGCAAAAUUUGAACUUCUCAGUUAAAGAGAAUGAGAAAUUCUAUGAGUGUUGGGAGAGCUACAUGGAAGCUAUUAACGUUUGUCCUCACCAUGGCUUUGACACAUGGCUCUUAGUGAGCUAUUUUUACAAUGGUAUGUCUUCUUCAAUGAAGCAACUCCUAGAAACUAUGUGUGGAGGAGACUUCAUGAGUAAGAAUCCGGAGGAAGCCAUGGACUUUUUGAGUUAUGUGGCUGAAGUUUCAAGAGGAUGGGAUGAACCAAAUGCUAGAGAGGUGGGAAGAAUGAAGUCUCAACCUAAUGCUAAGGGUGAGAUGUAUGUUUUGAAUGAAGACAUUGACAUGAAAGCAAAGGUUGCAGCUAUGGCAAGGAGAUUGGAAGAGCUAGAAAUGAAGAACAUACAAAAAGUGCAAGCCAUUUCUGAGACAUCAAUGAAAGCUAUGCCUUGUUCCAUUUGUCAAUCUUAUAAGCACCUAGUGGAGGAGUGUCCUACAAUUCCAGCAGUGAGAGAGAUGUUUGGUGAUCAAGCAAAUGUUAUUGAUCAAUUCAAGCCUAAUAACAAUGCUUCAUAUGGCAACACCUACAAUUCAAAUUGGAGGAACCAUUCAAAUUUCUCUUGGAAACGAAAGCCACCUCAAUACACACAACCUACUCAAGCACCUUAGCAAUCCUCGAAUCUUGAACAAGCUAUUGUGAACCUUAGCAAGGUUGUGGGAGACUUUGUGGGAGAUCAGAAGUCCAUCAAUGCUCAACUGAAUCGGAGAAUUGACAGUGUGGAGAGUACAUUGAACAAAAGGAUGGAUGAGAUGUAAAAUGAUCUGUCUCAAAAGAUAGACAAUGUCCAAUACGUAAUCUCAAGGCUUACCAACCUCAACACAGUGUAAGAGAAAGGAAAGUUUCCUUCUCAACCUCAUCAAAAUCCUAAGGGUAUCCAUGAAGUAGAGGCUCAAGAGGGAGAAUCUUCAAAGGUGAGGGAAGUCAAAGUAGUUAUCACCUUGAAGAGUGGUAAAGAGGUUGAUCAACCCACAUCCAAGCCAAAGCAUAAUGAAGAGAGUGUAGCAGAAAAAGAAAAGAGAGGAAAAUAAAGGAAUUAGAAUAGAGAAAAAUACAAAGAAAGAUGACCAUGAGUCUAGUGUGGAUGAAGAGCCCGAGAGGAUGGUGAUCAAGGAAGAUAUGAUGAAGAAACACAUGCCUCCACCUUUCCCCUAAGCUUUGCAUGACAAAAAAAGAACCAAUAAUACAUCAGAAAAUUUUGAAGUAUUGAGGCAAGUGAAGGUCAAUAUCCCUUUGCUAGACAUGAUCAAACAAGUGUCGACAUAUGAAAAAUUCUUGAAGGACUUGUGCACUGUAAAGAGAGGGUUGAAUGUGAACAAGAAAGCUUUAUUGACCGAGCAAGUGAGUUCCAUCAUACAGUGCAAGUCCUAGUGAAGUACAAAGAUCCGGGUUGCCGUACCAUCUCAGUGAGUAUUGGAAGGACUUGUGUGGAGAAAGCUUUGUUGGACUUGGGAGCAAGUGUGAAUUUGCUAUCCUACUCUGUCUAUAAGCAGUUGGGAUUUGGAGAGUUGAAGCCAAUAUCCAUCACUCUAUCUCUAGCGGAUAGAUCAAUGAAGAUUCCAAGAGGGAUGAUCGAAGAUGUCCUGGUUCAAGUUAACAAAUUCUACUAUCCAGUAGAUUUUGUUGUUCUUGAUAUGGAUCCGGUUGUCAAAUGAACUAAUUAUGUUCCUAUCAUACUUGGAAGACCCUUCCUAGCUACAUCAAAUGCAAUCAUCAAUUGUAGGAAUGGAGUCAUGCAACUCACAUUUGUCAACAUGACAUUAGAGCUCAACAUCUUCCAUUUGUACAAGAAGCAUAUCCAUCAGGAGGAAAAAGAAGGUCUAGAGGAAGUGUGAAUGAUUGACACUUUAGUGGAAGAGCAUUGUGAUCGAGAAUGCAAAAAGAUUUAGUUGAGAAUUUUGGGGAUCUUGAUGAAAGGUUACUUGAACCCUCAGAUUUGCUUGCUACCCUACUCCAUUGGAAGAGAAGAGAAGAAAUUCUACCCUUAUUCAAUGAGGAGGAGACGCAAAGAGCUGCAAAGGAGAAACCCCCAAAACUUAUUCUUAAGCCACUACCCACAGAGUUGAAGUAUGUAUACUUGGAAGAAGACAAGAAGUGCCCUAUUGUUAUAUCUUCAACUCUUACCAUUCAUCAGGAGGAUUGUCUACUUGAAGUCCUUAGAAGAUGUAAGAAGACAAUAAGGUGGCUAAUUUCUUAUUUGAAAGGGAUCAGCCCUUUAGUCUGCACCCAUCAUAUUUACAUGGAGGAUGAAGCUAAGCUAAUUCAUCAACCUCAGAGAAGGUUGAACCCUCACAUGCAAGAGGUGGUUCGAGCUGAAGUUCUGAAGCUACUUCAGACCAGUAUUAUUUACCCCAUAUCAAAUAGCCCAUGGGUGAGUCCUACUCAAGUUGCGCCAAAGAAGUCUGGGAUCAUGGUGGUGCAAAAUGAUAAGGGAGAAGAUGUCUCUACACGCCUCACUACAGGUUGGAGGGUGUGUAUCAAUUACAGGAGGUUGAAUGCAGUGAUAAGAAAGGACCAUUUCUCAUUGCCCUUUAUUGAUCAGGUGCUUGAGAGGGUCUCUGGGCUUUUUUUUUUAUUGUUUCUUGGAUGGCUACUCCGGGUACUUUCAGAUAGAAAUUGAUGUUGAAAACCAAGAUAAGACCAUUUUCACAUGCCCAUUUGGAACCUAUGCAUAAAGGAGAAUGCCUUUCGGCUUAUGCAAUGCACCCGCAACUUUCCAAAGAUGCAUGUUAAGCAUUUUCAGUGAUAUGGUGGAGCGUAUUAUGGAAGUCUUUAUGGAUGAUAUCACCAUUUAUGGAAGUGCAUUUGAUGAAUGCUUGGUCAACUUAGAAGCUGUUCUGAACCGAUACAUUGAGAAAGACUUAGUGCUUAACUGGGAGAAGUGCCAUUUCAUGGUACACCAAGGGAUUGUCCUUGGGCACAUUAUCUCCAAGCAAGGCAUUGAAGUUGACAAAGCAAAGGUUGAACUCAUUGUUAAGUUGCCAUCCUCAACAAAUGUCAAAGGAGUAAGGCAAUUCUUUGGCCAUGUCGGGUUCUAUAGGAGGUUUAUCAAGGAUUUCUCUAAGCUUGCAAGGCCUCUUUGUGAAAUAUUGGUGAAUGAUGUUAAAUUCAUAUGGGAUGAUGGAUUUGAAAGGAGUUUUGAAGAAUUGAAGCUAUUUUUGACAACCGUACCAAUAGUGAGGGCUCCCAACUGGCAACUGCCCUUUGAAGUAAUGUGUGAUGUCAAUGAUUUUGCUAUAGGAUUUUUUCUUGGGCAAAGAGAAAAUGGAAAACCUUAUGUGAUCUACUAUGCGAGGAAGGCAUUGAAUGAGGCACAAAGAAACUACACAACCACCGAGAAAGAAUUGUUAGCUGUAGUUUUUGCCUUGGAUAAGUUUCGCGCUUACUUGGUGGGGUCCUUCAUCAUGGUUUUUACUGAUCACUUUGCUUUGAAGUAUCUGUUGACUAAGCAAGAUGCUAAAGCAAGGCUGAUUAGAUGGAUUCUCUUACUUCAAGAGUUCAAUCUCCAUAUCAAAGAUAAGAAAGGAGUGGAGAAUGUGGUAGCAGACCACAUUUCAAGGCUAGCUAUCGCACAUAAUUCCCAUGCUUUGCCCAUUAAUGACGAUUUUCUAGAGGGGUCUCUCAUGUUGGUGGAAGUUGUCCCUUGGUACGCUCACAUUGCUAACUACCUGGUCACGGGAAAAGUUCCAAGUGAGUGGAAAGCACAAGAUAAGAAGCACUUCUUUGCAAAAAUUCAUGCCUACUAUUGGGAAGAGCCAUUUCUAUUCAAGUAUUGUAUGGAUCAGAUAAUAAGGAAGUGCGUUCCUGAAGAAGAGCAACAGGGGAUCCUUAGUCAUUACCAUGAAAAUGCAUGUGGAGGCCACUUUGCUUAUCAAAAGACAGCCAUGAGGGUGUUGCAAUCGGGUUUCUGUUGGCCAUCACUUUUCAAAGAUGCCCACACCAUGUGCAAGAGUUGUGAUCGAUGCCAGAGGCUUGGGAAGUUGACACGCAGGAACAUGAUGCCUUUGAACCCCACUUUAAUAGUUGAUAUUUUUUAUGUUUGGGGCACUAACUUCAUGGGACCUUUCCCUAUGUCUUUUGGCUACUCUUACAUCUUGGUAGGAGUAGAUUAUGUUUCUAAGUGGGUUGAGGCAGUCCCAUGCAAACACAAUGACCAUAGAGUGGUUCUCAAGUUUCUUAAAGAGAAUAUCUUCUCAAGAUUUGGGGUGCCCAAAGCCAUAAUUAGUGAUGGGGGUACUCAUUUUUGCAACAAGCCUUUUGAAACUCUCCUAGCCAAGUAUGGGGUGAAGCAUAAGGUAGCUACACCUUACCACCCUCAAACUCAUGGACAAGUUGAGUUAGCAAACAGGGAGAUUAAAAACAUAUUGAUGAAGGUGGUGAACACAAACAGAAAAGAUUGGUCAGUCAAGCUUCUUAAUUCACUAUGGGCAUAUAGAACAACUUACAAGACCAUUCUCGGGAUGUCUCCUUAUCGCCUAGUUUAUGGCAAAGCAUGCCAUCUCCCUGUGGAAUUGGAAUACAAAGCUUGGUGGGCAAUCAAGAAGCUCAACAUGGAUUUGAGCAGAGCUGGGUUGAAGAGGUUCUUAGACCUUAAUGAGAUGGAGAAAUUGAGAAAUGAUGCCUACAUCAAUUCAAAAAUUGCAAAAGAAAAAUUGAAGAGGUGGCAUGAUCAGUUGAUUUCCCGCAAGGAUUUUCAAAAUGGACAAAGAGUCUUACUUUAUGACUCUAAACUCCACAUCUUUCCGGGCAAGCUGAAAUCAAGGUGGAUAGGUCAUUUUACCAUUCACCAAGUGCAUUCAAAUGGAGUAGUGGAACUACUCAACUCCAACAAUAUCGAGAACUUCAAAGUGAAUGGCCACCGUCUCAAGCCCUUUGUGGAGUCUUUUUCUCACAACAAGGAGAAAUUCAUCCUCCUUGAUCCACAUCAAGCUUAACAAGACCAAUUUUCUUGAUGGACUUAGUCUUUCUAAAGACUAUCGAGUCCAUAACUUUUUGUUUUAUUUUUUAUUUGAGAUUUUUUCGGUAUUGUUACUUGUUUUGUUUUUUAUUUUUCGUUUUAAUUUUAUUUGGUUUGAUUUAACUUAGGUUUUUGAUGAUCAAUUACAGGGGGGAUUUCAAAUAGAGGAAAAACCAAGAUAAUUCGCACACCCUACGAAAAUUUCGCAAGGCAUGCGAAAUUUAUGGCUUAUUUUGCAUGGGGUGAAAAUUUUCGUACAUCUUACGAACCAAUUUCGAACACUUUGCGAAAAUAAACCAACCCUGCGAAAUCAUUUCGAUUACUCUACGAAAUUUUCGUAGAGCAUGCGAAAAAUUUAGCACACCAAACACCAUUUCGCAUACUAUGCAAAAACCUAAGGGGUCUGCGAAACCAUUUCGCACCUCCAAAUCCAUUUCGCACAUUGUGCGAAAACCAAGAGGCGCUGUGCGAAAAUGAAAAGUCGCCCUGUCAUCCCUUUUUAAACCCCUCGAGCCCUAAAAUCUCCAUUUCGCAAGCACCCCUGUCCUUGCGAAUCCCUCAUUUUCCUCUACUACCUUGCAACCUCGUCCCUUUCCAUUUGAUAUUGUGCCCCGCGCACAUCUCAUUUCAGAGACUCGCACUCCGCGCCCCCUCAAAGCAUGGACUCGAGACCCACCUUCCAUUUCCGACGUGGCACGGACCCAAGGAGCCCUUUCUGCCCCUUCACUAAGACACACACCAAGGCAGAAAGCCUCCUUUGCUCAAGUGCCUAGUGAUUCUCCAUCUUAGGCCUCAGAGGCCUCGGAGGCCCCGUGGAUUCCACCUUCCGAGGGUAGAGCAGCCAUUGGUCCUUCCUCUUCUACUCCUUAGCGUAGAUACGAGACGAGGAGACCACCUACUACACAAGGGGCGACUACUUCGAGCCUUGAGAAUUCAGUACGAUGCCUUCCUGCCAAGAGGGUCAAGACUUCAGGUCCAAGUGAGUCAUCCAGAGCUUCAUAGCCUAAGCCUCCUGUAGAUUCCAAGGUUCCUACUGACAUAUCACCGGAGUCUAUUAUCAGAAGCCCGAUGCUCAUAGCACCGCCCAUUGAGGGCAACUCAGAUUAUAGAGCGAGAUCUUUCCACUUGGAGCUAUAUUUUGAUCAGGAGGCCAUACGACAGCAGCCUGAGCUCCGAGACUCUUAUGGCUUACUGCAGAGGUACCAUCUUGAGGAACUUAUGACUCCUCGUGAGUUUUUUUAUCCCAGAGUAGCACUAAACUUUUACCAGUCCAUGACUACUCGUGGCGUCCCGAGUCCUACCACGAUUCACUUCACCAUUGAUAGACGUCAUGGUAUCCUCAAGGCCAGACAUAUUACAGAGGCUCUACAAAUUCCUUUCGAGCUAGAGGAUCCAUCUGUUUUUCGCUAAUGGUCCCCAGUAUCUCAGAGGGACAUGGUCCGUAUUUUAUCUAGGGGAACAUCUACAGAUUCGAUCUUUCUACGGAAGGAGCUUCGACCUGGGAUGCUCCUCUUAGAUGUGGUGCUAUGCUCCAACCUCUUUCCCUUACAACAUUCGGUACAUAGGUGAUGAGCUAUUUUGGACGCUUUAUUCCGUAUAUCAGAGGGCUUCUACUUUGGCCCGCACCACUUGAUCAUGGUCUCCCUCAUCCACUUUGAGGAGAAGGUUCAUAGGAAGAAGCUUCAGAGGGUGGACACCAUUCCAUUACUAUUCCUGAGGUUACUUUGCCAGGUCUUGGAGUACAUGGGCUUUCCUACUGAGCCUCGGCUCGAGCUUUGCCGCCUUUGUCGAGAGUGAUCCACUCUCGACAAAUGGAAUUAGUUGGCGGGCUAUUCUGCACCUCCAGGAGCCCCUCCCAUGGUAGCACCUCCAAUGUCCCCACAGGCAAAGUAGGGCGAGCUCCCGGCAAAGACUGUACCACCAAUGCCCACACUUGAGGCUAUUUCUGCUGCUCUGCCUAUGACUCCUACUGUUCCACCAGUUGGUCCUUUUACAUCCGAGCCUUCCAUCACCAUCUCGGCUUCGGAGUUUCGCGCCCUUGUGCAUACCUUUCAGACACUCACCACCACACAUACUCCUCUCUUCUAGCAAAUGGUUGAGAUGUGUGCCCAUCAGGACCGGAAGACUACUAUACUCUGCCAAAUUCAGCAGCACCUAAGACUUUUGCCUCAACCUCAACCUAACCAUCCCAUAUCAUCAGAGCCUCUAGCUCCAACUGAGGAUACUAUUCCACCUGAGAACACUACCACAGUAGAGGUCCGGUUUCCACCACCUUAAGAGGCCACCACAGCUACAUCAGAGGAUGUGUCAUCUCCACUUGAGGCUCCCACUACUUGAUCAUAGGACAUAUCUUUAUCUUAUUGUAUUUACAUAUUAUAUUACUAGAGAUUUGUCCUUGUUUUGAUACUUUAUAUUCUGGGAUUGGAUGUAUUGCCUGAUGAUAUCUCAAUUGUACUUUCUCAUAUUAAUAUAUAGACAUCAAUUUUUUUUAGUAUACUUAGCAUUUUUCUAUUUCCUCUACUCAUUACUCUUUUGUUUUUUUUUACUCAUGUGGUUUCUCUUAUACAACUCAGACUCCAUUUCACUCAGGAGGUACCACUUCCUCCCUUUAUUUUCAAUUGCUCUUGAAAUAUUGAGUGCAAUGUUGAUCUUGGUUGGGGGGAGAGUUGAGGAAGGAAGUUUUGUUAAUAAUGCUAGGUUAAUUUGUUAAUUUAGUUACUUUCUGCUUAAUUUUAAAAGUUUUCACUCUACUUUCCAUGGUUAUUAAGGAAAAAUUCUCAAAAUGAAAUGGGAGAAAUCGAAUUCUUGCAUUUUUACUUGAAUCUUAGAAUUUGUAUCAUGCUUAUUAAAGUUGAUGAAUUAUUGAAACUCCUAUUGAAUUCAACCUUAUUUUUUCCACUUUAAUCUUACCACACACGGUGCACAUUAGGUUCCAGUUAUAAGAUAAAAAACUAUCUCACCCCCUAAACUUAGAAAAAUUUACACUUGGUACCUUUGACAUCGUUUUAAUAGUGUUGGGACACCUUAUAAAAGGCCAAUGAGCCUUUAAAAAAAAAAAAAAAAAAAAAAAGAGAAAGAACAAAGUAUUGCACUUGCCUUGAAACCUGAGCAAGAUCCGAGGGGUAUACAGUGAAAGUCUUUAAAACCUGGUGCCCUAAGCCUUGAUUGGUUGGGAGUCACCGACCUCAAUGCUCGUUAUAAGGGUGAAUAGGUGGAGUUUAACAUAUUGUAGGUGCUUGGGUAUUGAAUUUCAAUCUCAAAAGUCCGGGAAAAAAUCUAAGGAGUUAGUGGUCAAAAGAUCCUUAAAGCUUGAUGCCCUAAACCUUGAUUGGUUGAGAGUCAUUGAUGGAUCCCCGCUACAUGGACAUUUUAGAAAACAAUACCUUUAGCAUUGCACGCCUACAAUGAAAAAAAAAUGUGAAAUAAAAGAGGUGCGUUCUUAGCCUAUUGGAGGUUGGUCAGUUUGCUAAAGUUUGAGAAAUCUAGGUUGGGGGGAGAGAAUAGUCCGACAUACUAUAAUAAAAAACUAAUAACCUUAACACUUAGAUUUUUGUGGAAGAGUAAGGAUUGGACCUUUAGGGGUGGAAAUUCUUUUGAUGCUUAAAUUUGCAUAAUGCCUACUCUUUAUAAAUUAUGAUUAGGCAAGAGAUUUGAUGACUCUUGUUCAAAGUUGGGUUUUUCCUCUUUGAUGUUCCAUGAGAGAGUAUAAUCCUCAUCAUGCCACUUGAAAUCUUUUUGGAGUGAUUAACAUGAUUUUGUAAAUUAUUUUACUGUCUAUUUUUCUUUAUCUCUCUUUUAUUGCUAAUGGACUAGCAAUAUGUCAGUUGGGGGGAGUGAUUACUACUCAAAAAGUACUCUUUUAUAGCUUGAAACUAACUGUUUUAAACACUUUUGAGUAGGUGUUAAUACAUUUUAACUCAAUUGGCACAUUAAGGAACCUAACAAGGGUUACUAAUAAGUUUUUGGCAAGUUUUGGUGUUUUUGGUAGCUAUUUGAUCAUUGAAACAAGCCAAGAAUGAGGGAGAAUUUUGUGAAGUCCAUAGCAAUGCAAGUUAAAGCUCAAAUACAUGAAGAAUCCAAGCUUUGAAGCACUUCAUAGCCCUUUGCGAAGCCAAUCAGAGAUGCAAGGAAGAAAACCAGAGGAAAAAAUCCAACAACCAGCAUUUUCGCAUGGCUGUGCGAAAUUUUGCACACCAUGCGAAACCACAAGAAGUAGCCAAAGAAUUUUGCACACCAUGCGAAAUUUCGCAUGGUAUACGAAAUCUUCCUAUGCACCAACUCCGUUAUAUUUUUAUCUUCAGAUAUUUUGUGUAAUUUCCUAGUUUCUCCUUGUAACCAACCUAGAUAUUUUCUUUUAUAUCUUUUUUUUAUAUUUUUUAGGUAACAUCAUAUAUAGGGGGAGAGACAUAAGGAGGAUAUGGAUGUUUUUCAUAAAACACUUUUAAUUUUCUGGUAGUAAGAAAUAUACAAAGUUUUUUGCUCUGCCUUACCUUCUCAUUUUGUUUUCACCUAUCUUUCUAGCCAAACAACCUCUGAGAAUGAUUUCUCAGGGGAUGAGUAGUUAGGUUUUACGUUUCUUGGAGUGAGAGAAGCUAGGUGAAAGACCCAAAUGCUAAGGUGGGAGUUGUCCUUGCUUUAAAUGAAAGUAGUUGUUAAAUAUUAAUGGUUUUUAUUUUAAGGUUUAGCUUUAAAUCCCUUAAAAACACCUUGAAUGGCCAAUACUUGGUAAGCUUUUCGGAUUCUAUGGAUGCUUAUUGCUAGAUCCAUGGAUGUCAUUAGUUAUCAUUUAUGAGCCAUUGGAAGGUGGUUCAAGAUGAGAGUCUUUAGUGUUUGAAGCCAUUAAUGGGAAACAAUUACCAUUUUUUCAUGAAUCCUUUGGAUAAAAUCUUAAUUGCUAAAUAUAAAACUGGUUCGGGAGAUAACCAUCCUUUAUGUUAUUAUGCCCAAUGCAAGGAGAAGAUUUCGAAUCUUCUCAUUUGUCUAAGGAACCCGAUCCUAGUGACCUAAAGCUCCUAGAGACCUUUUCUUUGUAGUUAACUUCAUUUAUUGUUUUUGCUUAACUUAAAAUCAAUCUUUGCAACCACAAUUCCAUUUUCUUUAAAAGCUAAUUUUUAUAAGGAAAAGCACCAUUUUAUUUCCUUCACUAAGUCAACUGUAUGAUGAAAACCCAUCCCUGUGGACGAUCUUAGAGCCACUAUACUAUGUUAUCUAUGCUAUCCUAGUGUGAGGUGAUUUAGGUUUUAUAAAUUUUGUUGAUAACACCCGUCUGAGCCAGAAUCAAAUGGAACCACUGAACCAGGGACAAAUCAACAGCCUAUAUGGGAGGGACACAAGUUUAAUUGAUUUGCAUUUCAGCGUUAUAGAUAAGUAUGUUUUGGAAGAUUUGUUCUGGAAAUACUGCACCAAGUACGAUUCUUUUUCUCUUGAGUGAGUCCAUUUGCAUGCCAAUUAACGAGUUGAAAAGUAGGAGCACCUACCUCGUGCUCAUGGAACCGAAUGUCAGUGAAGUGGGGCUCCUUUUAGCCUCUUGUGUUUCUGUUCCAACCAAGGCGGCGUAGGGAAAAACAACAAUAUGUCUGUGCUAAAUAUCAACGCAUGAUAGAUGUUUUUUUUUUUUUUUUUGGUAUGUCAAGGCUAACGAAUGAAAUGCAUUAGCUUGUUUUGUGACUAUAACUGCAAAUGUCCAAAUUGGAGUAUCUCCAUUUCUCACUUCGGAUGGUUAACUUUAUAAACAAGAUAUAGGAAACAUGUGAACAUCUUGAGGAACAAUUCAAAUUAUUCAUUAGAAGUCCUGGGUUAAGUUCCAAGAUUUAAAUCAGACCCUUCUAGCAGCUUCAAGGGUACUUAGCAACCUAUAACAUAUUAAUGAAGAUUUAGGAUUUAGACUCCGGAAUACAAAUAAAUAUGUAUCUCAUGCUUUGACUAGCUUCCCUACAUAUGCAUAAAAUGGAGAUGACCCAAAAAAAAUAGCAGAAUCUAGCUUCCCUACAUAUGCACAAAAUGGAGAUGACCCAAAAAAUAGCAUAAUCGCCUUAGUUUCUGUGGUUAAGGUGAUUCUCCGCUUAAUAUCCACAUUGACUCAUUAUGCAAAAUCAACUGAGCUAAUUUUAUUUAUUUAUUUAAUGUCAAAUAGGAACUCCUAAUUAACUGAUUACUGUCGAAAAGUGCUAUUUUGUAGACCUAAUUAUAAGGGUUUUAAGCACCUUUGAGUAGUAAUCAUAUUCAUUUAACCUAAUUAAUUCAUUAAGCUCCUUAGUAAUUAGUUCUAACCAUUUUUAGUGGCAAGUUUACAUGUUUUUCAUCAGCUUAUGAACCAAUUCAAGCAUGCCAAUUGAUGGAGGAGCUACUUGGGCGAGUUAAGCAAGGAUUUUGGACGUUUACAGGCUUGAAUUUCAAGUGGAAACACGAGCACAAGCAAUGGGAACACCAUUUCGCAAGGGGAGGCAAUUCACCUUGCCAAAUGACCAAUUUCGCAAGGGGAUUUUCCUCAUGGUGCAAAAUUUGGUCAUUUCGCACCAUGAAGAAACCACCUUGCAAAAUUUCGCAAGGUGGAUUUAGGCACCUUGCGAAAUGCCAAAUUUCACAAGGUGGCUUUUCACCUUGCGAAAUUUGGACCUUUCAUCUUCCCCCCUUGCGAAAUGCCUUUGAAAUCCCCUGUUUUGAGACGCUGUUGAUGAUAUUCCACUGCCGGUUCUCCAAGAUAUUUUGCUUGACUUUUAGCUUUAUAAAUACCUAUUUUACCCUUGUAAUCAACCAAUGAAAAGGUUGCUUUUGUAAUAGCUCUUGUAAUUUAGCUUUUUAUUGUCUUUAAAUAGAGGUGAAGAGCCUCAGACACGAUCAUCUUGUAACCUGUAACUUUAUAAGUUAUAAGAGCACUUUUGUUCAUACGCUUCUUUUCUCUUUUCUUUCUCAUUUUCUUAGUAGCCAAACAUCCUUGGAGGAUGAAAUCCCCAAGGAUGAGAGGCUAAAACCUUUUAGUUUCUUGAAGUAAUGGAUGCCAUGUGAAGCUCCCGUGUCAGGAUGGAGAUUUCCAAGCCAUAAAUGUAAGUAGCUGAGCGUCAUAAAUGUUUUCAUUCAAAGUAAAGCUUUUAAUCCCUCUGACUUGCUUUGAAUGGCCAAUACUUGAUAACCUUUUGGUCUCAAUGGAUUCUUAUUGUUAGAUCCACUGACGUUCAUUAGUUAUCUCCUACGAGCCAUUGUAUUGCAAGUCGAGGAGAUGACCUAUACCAAUAAAAGAGCAUUUAUGAGGUUCAACUACCCUUUUUGUAAGUUUUCAAGGACUAAAACUCAGUUGUUAAACUCAUACCGGUUCGAGAAGUAAGCAUCACCUUAGUUGCUUCCCCAACUCGAGGUGAAAAGUCCCAAAAUCUCCAUUUUUACACAGUGAGUUAAGCAUGGCUAUCCAAAGCUUUAAGAAACUUCUUUUUCCAUCUUUUAACCUAUUUUCAUGUUAGUUUAGUUUACAACACCUUCAUCUUUUUAUGUUUUCAUCUUAACCUAAUUUUUAUUAAGAAAAGUUCACUCCAUCCUCCGAACUUCACCAGUUAAAGUAAAAACCCUUCCCAGUGUUCGAUCCUAGAGCCACUAUGCUAUAGUAGCUUUGCUACUUUAGUGUAAGGACCUUAGGUAUAAAUUUUGUUGAUACCCUUACAUGCCAAGCUACCAAGAGUCGGGUUAUCAUUAACCUAACCAUUGGCCUGUGUAAAUUGAUUUCACAUGCACAAUGUUGUAGUAGAAGUCCAUAUUUUGAAUUUUAUUUUUGUAAAGGUAAGGAAAAUGAAGCAUUGUGUAAUUAUAAAAAUAACUUCAUUGGAAUUCACAAGGUUCACCCAAAAUGGAGCUACAUCUGUAUUCUAUCCUACAGUAGACUAUAUAGAUUGUACAAUAGUAAAUUGCAAAUACAAUUAAUAAGUCUUGUGCUUCCUUACUAAUAAUCCUUUGACAUGAACAUUGCAGCACUAAGGUCCUCUUGGGAAGACACCUUGCACCCAUGAGAGCACUAAGAGGAAGCAAGGCAGAGUCAUGGGUGCAAUGUCAUGACUUGUUGUUGCACCAAGAGAGGCUUGGUGAUGCCAUGGUGUUGCAGUAGCAAGAAUGUUGCCUUGGCAGGGACACGAUCUAGGGAUAGAUGCCAAGAAAGGCUUAGCACUCACAUGAGUUGCACAAAGAUGAAUGUAAUAGAGCAUCAGAGAGACGUCUUGGCAAGUAAAUGAAUGGAUCCAAGAGACAACAACAUGAGGAGUUUCAAAUGGAUAAGGAAUGACUCAAAGACAUUUGAAAGCUACAAGUUGGAUUCUAAUUACGAUUGCAAUUUGAGUUUGAGUAGGAGUUUAGAUUUUGAUUGUAAUUGUAGUAUGAGUUGGACUAGGAUUGCUUAUCCUUAGUCAAUAUAGGAGCGGUUCGUGUCACCCUAUGAAAAGAGUUUGAGUAGGGACUAGGAUUGCUUACUCCUAGUCAAAUAUGGAGUAGGUGGUGCCACACCUAUAAAAAAAAGGGACAACAUGAGAGAGAGAGAGAGAGAGAAAGAGAGAGUGAAUUCACUAAAGAUAUUGUGGGAGUUUUGCUUUGUUACGUCUUGUAUUAUUACUUAGAAUAGGAAUAAAAUACAAGUUGGGGCUAGAGCCCCAUAAUUAAUCUCGUGUGCCUUUGUGGUUAUUCUUUAUUUGUCAUCUCGUGUGGAUUGGAUUAGGUUGACUUAGAGGGCUUCUAAGCACCACCUUUGUGGGUUAUUAUUUAUUUUCCAUCUCUUGUGGAUUAGAUUAGGUUGACUUAGAGGGCUUCUGAGCACCACCUUUGUGGGUUAUUAUUUAUUUUCCAUCUAUUGUGGAUUAGAUUAGGUUGACUUAGAGGGCUUUUAAGCACCACAUUUGUGGGUUAUUCUUUAUUUUCCAUAUCGUGUGGGUUGGAUUAGGUUGACAAGGAGAAAAAUUAUGUGGGAAAUUUGUGUUGGGACACUUACCAUAACCAAGUAAAAUCUACCAAGUCCUUUGUAAUAUCUUCAACAAAUAUUUUAGACUAGUUCUUUCAGUUAGUGUAAAGGAGGAAGAAGUGGUAUUGAUUCUAGAAAUAGGGUGUGUGUAUUUGAACUACAAUCCUUAUGAUCCUUAGGUCUCUAAACCUUCGUGAUGGGCUCCCUGACAUUUCAUAGGUUGUGCUACACAUGCGUUUGAAAUUUAGAGUGCGUUUGACAGUGAUUCCGGGAAGUGUUUUUGGCCUUUCUUACACUUGAAAAUUUUUAUUUUUCAAGUAUUAGAAAUGCUACAAACACUUUUGAAAAUUACUGUCAAACACACUCUUAGGAGCGCACAUAUAUAGUAGAAAACUAGAAAUUGUGGUUUUUUUAGGAUUUACUGUAAUGUCAUUAGGAGGGUAGUAAGUUGAAAUUGAGUAUGAACAAAUAUUUCUUUCUUUGGGAUGUUCUUCUAGUAGGUGCUGAUGAAACUGUUCUUUCUACUGCCAAUGUCACAUAUCAGCCAGAAAUUGAAAAUUUCAGUCAAGGUGUCCUCUGUUUUAGUGGUGAGGAAAGCUAGAAAUUUUAAGGUGAAGUUUUGUUAAAAACCUUAAGUAGCUGGGAUAUCAGGCCUGUUUUGCUUGAAAAAAAAAGUUGCAAGAUAACUCAUAUGCCAAACAGGUUCUGAUAUUGUGAAUCUAUCGGCAGACAUCAGUAAUCUCAUCUUCUGAGAUGGAUGUUGGGGGUGCAUGUGGUGGUGGAGGGGCAAGGUUUCAUUUGGUUUAUUUUGUUGAUGGAUAUUGUCUAGCCACCUGCGCCAAGUUUGAGGGGUGGUGGGUUGUGAUGACCCUACAAUUACUAUUAAUUUCUUCAUCUUUUACCGAUUAAAGUGUCCGAACAGUCGAAGUUACCCUUAUGCAUGUCAACUUGAUCACUUACCUCUUCAAUGGAGUUUAUGCUGGUUCAUUUAGGAACUGAUUUUUAUUGUUAUGUAUUAUAUGCUGAUGUUUAGGUCUCUCCAUCAUCACUAUAUACAAAAAUUCUAGGUUGAUACUAUAGGUUGAGAUUUAUUUUUUAAAUAAAAAAUAAUAAAAAUAAAAAUUAUGGUGAUGUUUAGUUGUUUUAUGGAAAAUUUUAACAAGUAAAAGUUAUUUUUGGGCAAGUUUUCAAACAAAAAGAAAAGUAAAAGUUGUUUUGACAAAAACAUAUAGAAAAAAAAAUCAUAGAAAAUAAAUAAUUUCCCCAUAUUCUAACUUUUUUGAAUUUUUCUCAAUGGGCAAAGGAAUAUCAAAUCAAGUUUGAGUAGGAUUUCUUAAUUUUUAAAAUAACUUACAAUUAAAAAAUUUUGGUGUUUUCAUUUUUGGACAAUUUUUUAUUAAGCAAAUGGACUCUGAGUCAUGCAAGAGAUAUGGUUCAUUAACCGGUCGAACAAUUUUUUUAAAUUAAUUUAAAAGUCAAAUACAUAAUCAAUUUCACAAAAUUUAUAAACAAAAAUAGGUUUAGAGAAGAUCUACACAUAAUUUUACUUUUCUAAUUUUAUUUUAUUUUAUUUUUUGUUGGAAAAUAGUCUUCAAAUCAUGUAAGAUUUAAUAGGUUAAAUUUGUUAACAAUAAAUUUUAAAUUAUAAAAUAUAAUCUGGAACUCAAAAAUCAAUUCAAGUAAUGCUAAAAAAAAAUCAAAUUUGGUAUAGAAUGACUUUGUAAAUUUUUUUACAAAACAAAUGAAUUUUAAAUCAAGUGAGAUUUAAUGCAUUAGAUUUUUAUCAAAUAUAGUAAUUUUAAAAAUAAAUUUGGAACUCAACAAUAGACACAAUAAAUACCAAAAAAUAAUGAACCAAAAUUGGUUUGGAAUAACUCCACAACCUUUUUUUUUUUUUUUUGGUGCACACGAAUUUUCUUACUAGGUAUAUUGCUUUCAAAUUGAGAAAGAUUUACCAUUUAGAUUUUUUUUUAAUGAGUUUAAUGGUAUUUUAAAAUAAUUCAAAAUUUAAAAAAUUGACUAAUUAAUAUUAUAAAUUGAUAAACCAAGACUAUUUCAAAAUGCAUUGGGGGCUAAGGGGGUUGAAAAUAGGGACAAUGGGAUGGGUUUGGGACAUGACACUCAUAUCUCAUUUCCAUUCCAAUUACACAGUUAUCUCCCAUCCUUAUCCCAAACUUGUGUUGGAGCAAGUUGAUUUGUUCCCAUCUUUGUUGACGAAAUGACUAAUAACCUCAUCCCCUCCUUAUCUUAGAUGUACAUUUUGUCAAAUUUGAUCAGGUAUGAUUGAUCCAAGCCCUAACCCUAAUUGGUAAUGAGUGAAUACUACACCUAAUUGCAUUCUUCUUUCAUUGCAAAAUAAUGAGAUUAUAAUAAUCUAGCAAAUAAGAAAAAAUAGUAUGGAAGUUCAAAUUAACACCAUAACUAUCAAUAAUUUUAAGCUUAUAGAUGACUUAAAUGAUUAAAAACUAAUGCAAAAUCCUAAAAAAAAUAAAAAUCAUAUAAAGAAUUCACAAGAGAACAGAAUGAACAAAAACCAAAUAUGAACAUGGGUCAACAUUAGUUAUGGAUUUGGAUUCCUUUCAAGGCCAAUCUUUGAACCAAGACUUCAUCAAAUCAACUACUUCAAAGGCUUUUGUGUUCUUCUUGGGUUGUGCUCUCAAACAAAGACUUCGAGGUGAUGUUCUAGAUGAUUGAAUUACACAUAUUUAGGGUGGAGAGAUUGGAGAAGCUUGAAGAUGCCAACGAUGGGUACAAUUGAGUGGUCAAUAAGAACAAUGUAGCCUAUGACUAGUUUGAUGUCAUGGUACAAGAGUUUUAGGCAUUGAGGUUAAAGCAAGAGCAACAUGGAAUUGAUUUCGGAGUCUUUCAGUUAGUGUAAAGGAGGAAGAAGUGGUGUUGAUUCUAGAAAUAGGGUUUUAAGUGGUGCGUGAUUACUACUCAAAAAGUGCUAUUUGAUAGCCUUUAAUUAAUCCUUUUUAACACUUUUGAGUAGUAGUUUAGGCCUUUUAACUCAAUUGGCAUGUUAAGGAUCCUUUAAAGCAAUUUUGAUCACUUUGUGCAAGUUUUGGUGUUUUUGUUAGUAUUUUGAUCACCAAAGCAAGUCAAGAAUGAGGAGAACUAUGAGGAAUCAUGGGCAAAGCUUAGAAUUCAAUUGCCAAGAGUGAAUCCGGAUUGCAAGGAGAAAAAGCAAAGAGAAUCUGUCAUGAAGCCUAUUCUUGAUGACAGUCGUAGCAGCCACUUUUGGAGCACUUUCUGAAGUCCAAAUGAUGCAAGCUAUAUACCAUUUCAAAGAUCAGGAAGUCAACAAUCCAAUGCUUCAAACGGUGCGCGAUUCGGAGUUGAAACGAAGAAGUUGCAGCCAUUACAAGCCAGUCACUCUAAAGUGUUGCGGAAUCAGCCUUUUGUUGCGAGAAUUUCGCAGCACUUUUGUACAGUAAGGUGUUUCUCCUUCUGACGAUGCACGAACCAUGCCGCGAGAGGGAAGCUAGGAACUUCAAGAUGGAAGCCAACUUUGCAGCCUGGUGAAGAUAGCUUGGUCUUGCGAAAUAAUUUCGCAGCCCUCUUGGGUGUCUGCGAAAUUUCGCAGGCACCACUUUUUUCCUGCGAAAUGGCUCCGGAAGCCUCCCGAAGCUUGCUACCGACAUUGGGAGAUAUUUUCCAUUAGAUUUUUGUUGUCUAAAUUCCAAAAUACUCCUUGUAAACCACCAAUUACAUGAUUCCUUAGUUUUUAAGUUAGUAAAAAGACCAAAUAUCUAUGUAAUAAUUAGUUUUAUAUUAGUUUGCUAUAAAUACCUCUCGGGAGCAUGUUCUCAGAGAGGAGUUCCUUCUGUAACCAUUUUGGUAAGCAAGUAAAGUCUUUUCUUUCUACUGCCUUACCUUCUCACUUUGUAUUUUCAUUUUAUUUCUAAGUUAUGAAUUCUCUGAGGAGCUUUCCCCAGAGAAUGAGUAACUAAACCUCCAAUUCCUUGGAGCUAAGGUUGCCGGGGAAGGUUCCAAGUGCAAGAAUGCAAAGCUCUGUGGUUUUAGCUAGUAAUGAAGAGGAAGUGAAAUCCUUUAGUGAUUUCAAUGUUUUUAGUUAACUUAAAACACCUUGGAGUCACCUGGGCCAACACUUGGUAAGGCAAGUGAUUUCCAACCGUGGAAAUGCACUAGUUUACCCCUUGCGAGCCUCUGGUAGGUGACUUCAAGGUAGGAUUUUCUGGAAUUACCAACACUUGGUAAGCUUUUGGACUCCUAGGAGACAUCCAUUAGUUAUCUCUUGCGAGUUUGUGAAGGGGAAUCCAAGGUUAAAGAUCACCUUGAAUGGUAAGUGCUCGUGAGAGGCAUGAACCAUUGCAAGUUGUAUCAGUGAGAGAAUUAAAGUGAAAUCUAAUUGAAGGAGUCUCUGUACAUCACCGGUUAGAGAAUUGACUAUAAGUUGAAUCUCUAAUGCGAGGAAAUGAACCAUCUGACCGGAGCUAUGUCUUUUGCAUGAGGAACCACCCCAGUGAACCUAAAUCUCCAAGGAAUGCUUUUCUUCCUAAAUUAUUCCAAACUUCUGUUAAGUUAGUUAGUUUAAGUCUAAACCUUUACCAAUCAAACUUUGUGUUUUAUUUCUUAAGCUAACCGUGAAAUGAAACAAAACCAAUUCACUUGGAAUUGGUAUCCUUGAUUGCUUGCAAAUCAUUCCCAGUGAACGAUCCUUAGAGCCACUAUACUAUAGUAGCUUUGUAUUUGCUACCCUAGUGUAUGGUGUUAUAGGUAUAAAUUUUGUUGAUCACUUCCUCAAUCAAGGAACACCAGCUGAACACAAAUCAGCUGAGACACCAAUUGGGCAUGAGUCAAAUGGCGCCGUUGCCGGGGAAUGAGUGUCAAGAUCAUUGUGAUACCAUUUUUGAGCACUUGUGAUUUUCAUCACAAGUUGGUAAAGUUUCUUUCACUUUACUAAUUUUCAUUCUCUCUUUGUUUAUUUACAAUCUAAGUUUAUCUUUUUAAAAUUUAGUCUAGUUUAAUUUUGCUAUUGUAGCCUUGUUUCUCUUGUUGUCCUCUGUUCUUGUUGUCCUCUGUUUUCAUUUUAGUUGCAGCUGAAUACUAGUUGUGUAUGCCAAAGUGGAUACGAGACAUUGGAGGUAGGCUUAUUAAGUGUGAUACACCUCAGAGAGGAGAAUUGGAAGUAAUCUUGAAUAUCAUGGAGGCUGCACCUGAAGAUCAGCAUAGUCACCAAGGUCGUCAAGACAAUCUCAAUGAAUUCAGAUCAAUGAGGGACCGUAUGCAUCCACCUCGUAUGAGUGCACCAUCAUGUAUAGUGCCCCCUACAGAGCAACUAGUGAUCAGACCAUAUCUUGUUCCACUUCUACCAACUUUCCAUGGGAUGGAAAGUGAGAAUCCGUAUGCACACAUCAAGGAAUUUGAAGAUGUUUGUAAUACAUUCCAAGAGGGAGGAGCUUCAAUUGAUUUGAUGAGGCUUAAGUUAUUUCCUUUUAAUUUAAAGGAUAAGGCCAAAAUUUGGCUUAAUUCUUUAAGGCCAAGGAGUAUCCGCUCUUGGACUGAUUUACAAGCUGAAUUCCUCAAGAAAUUUUUUCCUACUCAUAGAACAAAUGGCUUGAAAAGGCAAAUUUCAAACUUCUCAGCUAAAGAGAAUGAGAAAUUCUAUGAGUGUUGGGAAAGAUACAUGGAAGCUAUAAAUGCUUGUCCUCACCAUGGCUUUGAUACUUGGCUACUGGUGAGUUAUUUUUAUGAUGGUAUGUCCUCCUCAAUGAAGCAACUCCUCGAGAAAAUGUGUGGAGAAGAUUUCAUGAGCAAAAAUCCAGAGGAAGCUAUGGAUUUCUUGAGCUAUGUAGCUGAUGUUUCAAGGGGAUGGGAUGAACCAACUAAAGGAGAAGUGGGAAAGAUGAAGUCUCAGUUGAAUGCUUACAAUGCAAAGGCUGGGAUGUAUACUUUAAAAGAGGAUGAUGACAUGAAAGCAAAGUUGGCAGCUAUGACAAGAAGAUUGGAGGAGCUGGAGCUGAAAAGAAUGCAUGAAGUGCAAGCUGUUGCUGAAGCACCAGUGCAAGUGAAGUUGUGUCCCAAUUGUCAAUCGUUUGAACAUUUGGUAGAGGAAUGCCCUGCAAUUUCAGCUGAAAGGGAAAUGUAUAGAGAUCAAGCAAAUGUUGUUGGACAAUUCAGGCCCAAUAACAAUGCUCCUUAUGGAAAUACCUACAAUUCAAGUUGGAGGAAUCAUCCAAAUUUUUCAUGGAAGGCCAGAGCAACUCAAUACCAACAGCCGGAUCCACCAUCUCAACAAUCUUCAAGUAUUGAACAAAUAAUAGCUAAUCUCAGCAAGGUAGUGGGAGAUUUUGUGGGAAAGCAAGAAGCCACCAAUGCUCGAGUGGAUCAAAGAAUGGACAGAGUGGAUCAAAGAAUGGACAGAAUGGAGAGUAUGUUGAACAAAAGAAUGGAUGGAAUGCAAAAUGAUAUGAAUCAAAAAUUUGAUAACAUCCAAUAUUCAAUUUCAAGGCUUACAAAUUUGAAUACACUGCAAGAAAAGGGAAGAUUUCCUUCUCAACCUAACCAAAAUCCCAAAGGUGUCCAUGAAGUGGAAAGCCAUGAGGGAGAAUCAUCACAGGUGAAAGAUGUGAAAGCUUUGAUCACUCUAAGGAGUGGUAAGAAAAUUGAGCAGCCAACACCCAAGCCACAUGUUGAGAAAGAAGAAGAGAUGAAGAAAGGGAAGGAAAUGGAAGAUAAAGGCAGUGAGAUCAGUGAAGAAAAGAAGGACUCUGAUGCAACAAUGAAAGUAAUUCCAGAGAAGGAGCUUCUGAAGGAAGAAAUGCUGAAGAAAUCAACUUUUCCACCUUUUCCUCAAGCAUUACAGGGGAAAAAGGGGGUUAGAAAUGCAGCUGAAAUCCUAGAAGUAUUGAGGCAAGUGAAAGUUAAUAUUCCACUGCUGGAUAUGAUCAAACAAGUUCCAACGUAUGCAAAAUUCCUAAAGGACUUGUGUACUAUCAAAAGAGGGUUGACUGUAAACAAGAAAGCCUUCUUGACUGAGCAAGUAAGUGCAAUCUUACAGUGUAAGUCUCCUUUGAAGUACAAAGACCCUGGAAGUCCUACCAUUUCAGUCAUGAUUGGAGGAAAGGUAGUGGAGAAAGCCUUGCUAGACUUGGGAGCAAGUGUGAAUUUGCUUCCAUAUUCUGUCUACAAGCAACUGGGACUUGGAGAGUUGAAGCCAACAGCAAUCACUUUGUCUCUGGCAGAUAGAUCAGUGAAAAUUCCAAGAGGGGUAAUUGAGGAUGUAUUGGUUCAAGUAGAUAAUUUCUACUAUCCUGUAGAUUUUGUUGUUCUUGAUACAGAUCCUACUGUAAAGGAAGCUAAUUUAGUUCCUAUCAUCCUUGGAAGGCCAUUUCUUGCAACUUCAAAUGCAAUCAUCAACUGUAGAAAUGGGCUUAUGCAACUCACUUUUGGUAACAUGACACUGGAUCUAAAUAUUUUCUAUAUGUCUAAAAAGCAAAUCACUCCAGAAGAAGAAGAGGGUCCAGAAGAGCUAUGUAUUAUUGAUACUUUGGUGGAGGAGCACUGCAAUCAACAUAUGCAAGAUAAGUUGAAUGAAAGUUUUGUGGAUAUUGAGGAAGGUUUUUCUGAAUCUCCUAAUGGGCUUGCUACUCUACAAAGUUGGAGAAAGAUAGAAGGAAUUCUACCUUUGUUCAAUGAAGAAGAGGAGGCAGCUGUUGAAAAAGAAAUUCCAAAACUCAAUCUGAAGCCUUUACCUAUGGAGCUGAAAUAUACAUAUCUUGAAGAAAAUAAUCAAUGUCCUGUCGUAAUAUCUUCAUCUCAAACCAAGUCUCAAGUGAAGGAUGCAAGCUUCAAAUGGGAUCCGGGCAAACUGAAUCAGGAAGGGCAAAAAGUUUUGAUGUAUGACACAAGACUCCAUAUCUUUCCUGGGAAGCUCAAGUCAAGGUGGAUUGGUCCAUUUGUUAUUCACCGAGUAUAUUCCAAUGGAGUGGUGGACUUAUUGAAUUCCAAUGGCAAGGACAGCUUUAGAGUCAAUGGAUAUCGUCUUAAGCCGUUCAUGGAGUCAUUCAAAUCAGAAAAGGAGGCAAUCAACCUCCUUGAACCUCAAAAAGCCUAAGUGAAAUGGGUUUGCUGGACGUGGUUUUACCACAGUCCAAAAAUUUUUGUAAAUUUUGUAAAUUUUCAAGUUGUUUCCAUGCUUUUAAUCUUAGUUUUUGAUUUUAAAUCAUGUUUUUAGGUGUGUUUUAAUCGUUUUAUAUGAUCCCAGGCGGAAGAAAUUUCAAGGGGAUUGAAAAGAAAAAAAUCGGGUCGAAAUUGGAGCCGAAACAGAGCAAAAACAGGGGAAAAACAGAGCUCUGCGAAAUUUCGCAGGGUGAAGGAAACUUCUGCGAAAUUGGCAUUUUGCUGCCAAACCAUUCCGCAGCACUGUAGAAGCCUCUGCGAGUGUAUUUCGCAAUUGCGAAAGUGGAUUUGGCACACGAGUGCCACUUCGCAGCACAGUGACAUCAAUUUCGCAGCUGCGAAACUCACUGCGAAGUUGCUGCGAAAAUGGCAAGUUGCUGCGAAAUUGGCGUUUUGUUGCGAAACGUAAUCUGACCCCUGGGCUUCCGUUUUUCCUAUUUAUACCUGUCAAAAGUGCUGCGAAAAAGGUUUCAAAAAUUAGAGCACCAUUCUCGCAGCCCUUUCAUCUUCUUCGCCAAGCCACGCCGUCCGUUUCUCCGGUCGUCUUCUCCGUUUAGCAGCGCCGGCCAAAGAUCGAUAGCCCAAAAAUGGCACGAACGCGAGGGGCAAAGUCUUCAUCCCCUUCGAACCGCAAAAGGAGUCUGCGAAAGGAGCCAAGUUCAGGCUCUGUUCCAGAACCUGCUCCAAAGCCUUCGCCGUCGAGACCACAACCUUCUCCAGUGAAGCCGGCGCCACCAAAGCCGCCGGCAAGGCGAUAUUUAACCAGGUCAGGUGGUCAGCCAUUGAAGAAGAAAGCCAGAGUUGAGAGCUCUGAACCAAUCGAUUUGACUGAGCAAUCCCCUGAGAAAUCACCAAAUCCUUCACCGGUACAAAUUCCAGUGCCAUCACCGGUUCCCUCGCCAAUUCCCUCACCAGAAGCAACUCCAAUUCCAUCGCCGGUACCAUCUCCGGCACCCCAAGAAAAAGCUCAGGAGCCUCAAGCGCCAAUUCCAGAGCCCCAAAUUGCAGCUGAAGCACCUCUGGAAGAAGUGAUCCGAAGGCCAAUGCUGCCUCAGCCCCCAAUCGAAGGAAACCUGGAUUGCCGAACUCGGGCAUUCCAUUCUGAGCUUUGCUUCGAUUUAACAGCAUUCAGAGUGAGGCCAGAGCUUGCCCAAUCCUUCCAACUGCUGAGGAGAUAUCAUAUGGAGCAUCUGCUAGCUCCAAGGGAUUUUUUCUAUCCCCGGGUAGUCACGGAUUUCUACCAAACCAUGACAACCAAAGAAGUAAGAAAUCCAACUCUGAUUCAUUUCAUAAUUGAUGGAAGGCAUGGUAUUUUGGGAGCAAGACAUAUUGCUGAAGCCCUGCAAAUUCCUUUUGAGCCAACUCAAUUCGACAAUUUUAAAGCUUGGACAAAUCCUACUGAGUUAGAGAUGGUUAGCACACUAACCAGAGGAGCUGCAAAUCGAUCGCAUUUGUUGAGGGGGGAGCUACCUCCAGUUAUGUUUUUGAUUGAUGCCUUUUUGAGGCAUAAUAUCUAUCCCCUGCAGCAUUGGACCCAAAGAAGGGGAAUUCUCCUAGAAGCCUUGUACAAAAUGUCUGAAGGAUUCUUCUUUGGGCCUCAUCAUCUGAUCAUGGCAGCCCUUCUAUACUUUGAGGAGAAGGUUCACAAGAAGAAGCUUCAAAGAGCAGAUUGCAUUCCACUCCUCUUCCCAAGGCUGCUAUGCCAAGUUUUGGAGCAUCUCGGAUACCCCUCUGAGCCUCAGCAGGAAAGAAAGAGAAUAUGCCGUGAGCCUUUUACCCUUGAUAAAUGGAAUAAUAUGACGGCCUACAAAAUUGAUCAGCCUGGGCAGCCUCAGCCAGCAGCAAGGAGAGUCUCCCCAAGACAUAUACCUGAAGGUAUAACACUUGCUACUCCUGCCAUCCCUCGAGCUCCACCAGCUGCACCUGCUCCAUCACAGCCAUCCACAUCAGCUGAGCCGAGGAUGGCCAUCCCUAUAUCCGAAUAUCGAGAGCUGUGCCGUGCAUUGGAGACUCUUACAGCUUCUCAGAGCAAUCUUGCUCAGGAGUUGGCAGCCAUUAAAGCAUGCCAGGAGCAGAUGUUAGCCUCUCAGACUCAACAAGCUGCCAUCCUAAGGCAGCUUCAAGUCCAUUUCGAUCUGCCACAAGCUGUAGAGCCCUCUAUUCCUACUCCACCAGAGCCACACUCUCAGCCUUCAGAGUCUCAUCCUCCAGAACCCGAAGCACCAGCUGAUCCACCUACUGAGGAGGCAGAUCCUUCUGCCUAGCACCAUCACCCCCCUCAUCAGACAUUAUAUAUAUAUUUGCUGUUUAUGUUUUUAUGCAUGUUUGUUUUGUUUUAGUUGAAAAGAAAUCCCAGUAUUUUGGUACUAUAUAUGGGAUUCCUUGUGUUACUUGUCUUUAGUAUUGUAAUCACAUGAACUCAAAGUAAUACAAGUUGACUAUUUCUUGUUAAAAGUUAGCAUUAAAGUUUCCUUAUUUCCUUUUCUCACAUAUUCUAUUCUUUUUGAAACAUGUGGUUUUCCCCAAUCAAUAUUCGAAUUUGAUAUCAGCAUGGAGGUACCACUUCCUCCCUUUUAUUACAGUCACUCAAAUCACAUUGAGGACAAUGCUCAGUUCGGUUGGGGGGUAUGAGGAAGGAAGUAUUCUAAACCUUUUUGGUAUUGCAAUUAUAUUGGUUAAUUAGUUGUAGAUUUUACUUUUUACUAGUGUUACUCUAUUCUCCAUGAAUUUUGAGGAAAAAUUUUCAAAUUAAACCAAGAGAAAUUGAACUGUUGUUUUUCACUUGACUUAGAGUAUGGAUUAUGCUUACUAAAGUGGUUCAAUUGUUGAAACUUCUACUGAAAUUGAAUUGAGUUCUUCCACUUUAAGCUAUCCACACACUGUGCACAUUAGUUUCCGAUUAUAAGAUGAAAAGCUAUUUCCCUCUUGACUUAGUAUAUUUUUGGGACUUGGUAUAUUUGACCUCAUUUGAUAAAAAUUGAAACACCCUGCAAAAGGCCAAUGAGCCUUUGAAAUAAAGAAAGUUGUUUGCUUGCCUUGAAACCCGAGCAAGGUCUGAGGGGUAUAUGGUGAAAAUCUUUAAAGCCUGGUGCCCUAAGCCUUAAUUGGUUGGGAGUCACCGACCUCAAUGCUCGUUACAAGGGUGAAUAGGUAGAGUUAGCAUAUGGUAGAUGCUUGGGUAUUAGAAAUUCAUUCUUAAAAGUCCGGGGAAAAAUCCGAGGAGUUAGUGGUUGAAAGAUCCUUAAAACUUGGUGCCCUAAACCUUAAUUGGUUGGGAGUCAUCGAUGGACCCCCAUUACAUGGACAAGUCAGAAAGAGUACCCCAUAAAGCUACCUUAAAAAAAAAAAAAAAAAAAAAAAAAAAAAAAAAGAUGAAAGUGUGUUCUUUUCUUAUUGAUUUUGGUCAGUUUGCUAAAGUGUUGAAAAGAGAUAGGUUGGGGGGUGAGAUUAGUAGCAUAUUAUUCUCGGAACCUAAGGAACCAAUACACAUAGAUUUUUGUGGAAGAUUGAAGUUUAGUUCUUAGAAAAUGAAAUGAUUUUAAAACUUCAGUUUGCAUAAUGCACUCCCUUGAUUGACAGUGUUUAGCAUAGGUGUUAUGACUCUUGUUGAGAUUUGGGUUUGUAUUUCUUUAAUGAUUCAUGUGAGAAAUAGAUCAUCAUGCCACUUGAGAAUUAUUUUCCUUUUAGCAUGAUGUUGUAAAUUUUAGAUUAGUUUGCUAUUUAUUUUUUAUUUUCUCUCCUAUAUUGCUAAGGGACUAGCAAUAUGUCGGUUGGGGGGAGUGAUUACUACUCAAAAAGUGCUAUUUGAUAGCCUUUAAUUAAUCCUUUUUAACACUUUUGAGUAGUAGUUUAGGCCUUUUAACUCAAUUGGCAUGUUAAGGAUCCUUUAAAGCAAUUUUGAUCACUUUGUGCAAGUUUUGGUGUUUUUGUUAGUAUUUUGAUCACCAAAGCAAGUCAAGAAUGAGGAGAACUAUGAGGAAUCAUGGGCAAAGCUUAGAAUUCAAUUGCCAAGAGUGAAUCCGGAUUGCAAGGAGAAAAAGCAAAGAGAAUCUGUCAUGAAGCCUAUUCUUGAUGACAGUCGUAGCAGCCACUUUUGGAGCACUUUCUGAAGUCCAAAUGAUGCAAGCUAUAUACCAUUUCAAAGCUCAGGAAGUCAACAAUCCAAUGCUUCAAACGGUGCGCGAUUCGGAGUUGAAACGAAGAAGUUGCAGCCAUUACAAGCCAGUCACUCUAAAGUGUUGCGGAAUCAGCCUUUUGUUGCGAGAAUUUCGCAGCACUUUUGUACAGUAAGGUGUUUCUCCUUCUGACGAUGCACGAACCAUGCCGCGAGAGGGAAGCUAGGAACUUCAAGAUGGAAGCCAACUUUGCAGCCUGGUGAAGAUAGCUUGGUCUUGCGAAAUAAUUUCGCAGCCCUCUUGGGUGUCUGCGAAAUUUCGCAGGCACCACUUUUUUCCUGCGAAAUGGCUCCGGAAGCCUCCCGAAGCUUGCUACCGACAUUGGGAGAUAUUUUCCAUUAGAUUUUUGUUGUCUAAAUUCCAAAAUACUCCUUGUAAACCACCAAUUACAUGAUUCCUUAGUUUUUAAGUUAGUAAAAAGACCAAAUAUCUAUGUAAUAAUUAGUUUUAUAUUAGUUUGCUAUAAAUACCUCUCGGGAGCAUGUUCUCAGAGAGGAGUUCCUUCUGUAACCAUUUUGGUAAGCAAGUAAAGUCUUUUCUUUCUACUGCCUUACCUUCUCACUUUGUAUUUUCAUUUUAUUUCUAAGUUAUGAAUUCUCUGAGGAGCUUUCCCCAGAGAAUGAGUAACUAAACCUCCAAUUCCUUGGAGCUAAGGUUGCCGGGGAAGGUUCCAAGUGCAAGAAUGCAAAGCUCUGUGGUUUUAGCUAGUAAUGAAGAGGAAGUGAAAUCCUUUAGUGAUUUCAAUGUUUUUAGUUAACUUAAAACACCUUGGAGUCACCUGGGCCAACACUUGGUAAGGCAAGUGAUUUCCAACCGUGGAAAUGCACUAGUUUACCCCUUGCGAGCCUCUGGUAGGUGACUUCAAGGUAGGAUUUUCUGGAAUUACCAACACUUGGUAAGCUUUUGGACUCCUAGGAGACAUCCAUUAGUUAUCUCUUGCGAGUUUGUGAAGGGGAAUCCAAGGUUAAAGAUCACCUUGAAUGGUAAGUGCUCGUGAGAGGCAUGAACCAUUGCAAGUUGUAUCAGUGAGAGAAUUAAAGUGAAAUCUAAUUGAAGGAGUCUCUGUACAUCACCGGUUAGAGAAUUGACUAUAAGUUGAAUCUCUAAUGCGAGGAAAUGAACCAUCUGACCGGAGCUAUGUCUUUUGCAUGAGGAACCACCCCAGUGAACCUAAAUCUCCAAGGAAUGCUUUUCUUCCUAAAUUAUUCCAAACUUCUGUUAAGUUAGUUAGUUUAAGUCUAAACCUUUACCAAUCAAACUUUGUGUUUUAUUCCUUAAGCUAACCGUGAAAUGAAACAAAACCAAUUCACUUGGAAUUGGUAUCCUUGAUUGCUUGCAAAUCAUUCCCAGUGAACGAUCCUUAGAGCCACUAUACUAUAGUAGCUUUGUAUUUGCUACCCUAGUGUAUGGUGUUAUAGGUAUAAAUUUUGUUGAUCACUUCCUCAAUCAAGGAACACCAGCUGAACACAAAUCAGCUGAGACACCAAUUGGGCAUGAGUCAGUGCGUUAGAGGAUCAAGAAGAAGAAAAAGAAGGAACUGUUGGAAUUAGUAUGAGUGUGAAGAGAAAAGUAUAUAAAUAAGGGGAAGUAAAAGCAAAGUUCAAAAAGCUAUAUUUUUUUAUUGUUGGUGUAUGGUUGCAUGAUUAUCCCUAUAAAUAAUAGGAGUUUUUUGGUAUUCUACUAGUAGUUGAAGCAUAAUUUCAUAAAUUAAUAUUUAGAGCGGGGUGGGGUGAGUUGUGACAAAAUUCAUACCCGUCCCAAACCUUGGUUCAGAUUUUUAAAAUAUUCUCAAACUUAUCAUAUACCCAACUUUUAUAUUUCAUACUUGUCCUAAUAGAGGCACGUUAGGCCGGGUUACUUGAGUAACCUACAUAAUUGUCAUCCCUAGUUGAAAUACACUUUUUGGCAGUGGCCACCAACUGAGCUAGAAGCUUGAUUGAUUGACCUACAAGAUUAGUUCUCAUCAUUUUAAAAAAAGUUCUGGCUUUGGUUGUGAGUGCAAUUGAAUCUAAACUGGCAUUUGCUUAAUGCAUCUACUUCAAUCCUAAACUUCUUACUUCUUAAGCCUCAAUUGUUGUUAGGAUUUUGGAAAACCCAUUUCCUUAAAUUGUAAAUUUAAGAUAAAAUAAAAUAAAAGUGAGACAUUUCUUGAUUGAAUAUUGUUAAAGGUCCCUUGGCAUUAAGACUUGGUUGAAGCCUUGGAAGAUUAGUGGAACUCUCAACAUGUGUUUGAAUCUUGAGGAGAGUGGAUGUAAGCCAAAAUUUUGUCAAACCAUUAUACAAAUUGAGUUUGAAUCCUCAUUUCUUGAUUUCUUAUUUAUUUGCUUUUUCUUAUUAUUACUUGAAUUGUCAUUUGCAUUCAUUAAUGUUAAAAUUGGUUAUAAUUAACCAACACUAAUUCUCUUUCCCCUUCCCUUUCUUGGGUGUAAACCUAGGUUGGAUUAACUAGAUAAAUCUAUUAAGAUGGUAAAAGAAUAAUUAUUCUUAACAUACAUAAGAUCAUCUUCAAUCAAAUGACUCAUUGGCUAAUAUGUUGAAUUUGCUUAUUACUUGCAACUCAAAAUUGUGUUCUAGUUGUGUCAAGUCCCCAGUGUAUGGACAUUAAAUUUGUAGUACGUGAUGAGUAAUUAGAUGGUCCAACUCCAAGAAAGUGAUUGAAAAGUAGUUCAAGAAAGGUGCAAAAGGGAAUUGUUUUGGUAUUUUCGUUUUUAUUCUUGAAGGUGGCAGAGCUAAAAUUUGAGAAAUCAAGCAAAACAUACUGAAAUUACAUUGAAAGAAAGAAGAUGGGAGUUAAUGUCUUGCAGUACAUGAUAAGGACUUCAUGCAUGUAGUGUGACCCAUGUCUUGGACUGAUGCCAACUCACGGUUACACUUAUACCCUUGGUUCUCUCUUUACUACCUUGGCUAACCUAGAUCAGGCUAUGAGAUAGGCUCCUCACCACACCAUUACUUGCCCAUUAAUUAGAGACAUUUUCAAGCAAUGAGGUAACAUGGUGACACCAAGAGGGUCUAUUCCUCGCCCGGAACAAGUCUAGACUUGGUCUCAAAAAAAUGGAGAAAAAUGAGGUGUCGUUAUGUAGAAAUACAACAACCAUGCCUUCCUCAUUACUUAGAUUCAGAAUGUGAAGGUGAAAUUGAGAAACAGAAACUCUUGAAACCAAAAUGAAAAUUGAUACUUUUACGAAGAAUUACAACAACAUUAGAGGAAGACUACAUUCUUCCUCUUUAUUCCUACAUUUCUACACUACUUCUACUCCACUCCAUAUUUCUACAUACAUCUUUAAUCAGUCUUCCCUCCUUUAUAUAGAGCCAUCUUCACACAAAUUUCGCAAGGUAGAAAAGAGGAAUGAAACUUGGAGCAAGGUUCGACUACUGGUUGUAGCUUGUCAAGGCUGGAAGUGAACUUUUCUUGGCUUUCUGGGCAUGGGUAGUAACUUGUGGGUUCCUGUUUGGCAUAAAAAUGGCUAGAACAUGUGGCACUAUCUUGUUGGAUGAUGUGUCAAGCAUGUGGCAGCCAUCUAGUGGCGAUUAUGUCAAUUUUGGGAUGGAGAGUUGGCAUCCAAUUGCAAAGAAAUAUGACGUCUACCAACAUGCAAUGUAAACCUAUGUAGAUCAUAUGAAGAUAGAGAGGAAAAAUAUAGAAAUGGAUAUAUACCUAGAACUAGCUUUUUAUUAAAUGAAACGGAGAGACAACAAUGAAGGAAAAUAAAAUUUUUUGGCUUAUAUCAAAGAGUUCACAUUGUGUUACCCUAGGUUUUCUUAAAACUUACUUUUAUGAUAACAAAAAAGAAAAAACCAUUAUUGUUUAAUCCUUUGUUUUAAACGCAUGUAAGGUGUAAUUAAGUUAGUUCAAUGCAUUAAUUUAAGAAACUUGACCUAUCAAAAGUACAAAAUUAGAUGAAAUCCAUUUCAAUGGUUAAAAUGAUCAAAAUCAAACUUUUUCUAAGUAUUUUUUAAAAGCAUCAAUAGUGAAAGACAAUUUUAUAUUUAGUCGGAGUUUGGACAAAACUGAAAAACACACAAAAUCCAAGCGACCAUCUCUAGCUUGGAUGGUCGCUUGAUCCCACCUAGAGAUGUGCAUGAGUAAAAGGAUUUGAAAAUGGAAAUUGACUAUGUAGUCGAUCAAUUAACUUUGCAACAUCAUAUGCAAUCCUAAUUGCUAGUCAUCUAAUCAAUUAGGUAGUCAAUCAACAGGCCAAAAAUAUGUUUAUAAUGACUAUUUUGUACAAAAACCACCUGUAUAGUUAAAUAUAAUGCAUUUCAUUUAUAAAUCUUCUAAUUCUUGAAUAACGAUCCUAUCAUCCUUUGAAAGUUUUUAUUACACUUUUUUUACUUUUGUUCUAAAACUUACACAUCACCCUUAAUUGUACCAUGAGAACCUAGCUAUUUUUUAUUUUUUUUUUUGUAAUUCAUCAAAGUUAGCUUUUGUAUUCAUUGUUGUAUUAUUUUUAGUAUAACUUAGAAAGCUAGUGUUUUCAAGUGAGUAAAAUUAACUUGUAAAUAUUGUAAAGAUUCAUCGACAUGUAUCUUAAACUAAGUGUACAAGUUAAAACAUUUGCUAGUAGAUUUUCUCAAAAUUUAGAAUAGAGCUUGAGACUAUUGAAAUAGGUGGGGUUGCACCAAACCACAUCACAUCGUUGUUUGCACCUUUUUUCACUCUCUUUUACUUAGUUGCUCUAUAUUUGUUGUCUAGUAAUAUCCUAUAGGCUUGAUGGGUUAGGGAGCAUCCCUUUGUGAAAAAAUUUUAUUCAAUCCUUAGUUGUAUCACGCAUAUAUAAAAUGCCUCAUUGUUUUAAUGGUAUUCAGUCGUGGCAUCACAGAUAUGGGCAUCUAAAUUUUAAAAGUUUGAAACUUUUAUCUAAAGAAAAUAUGGUGCUUUGCCUUUUUGUAAAGCAUGUUGAUGAAAUCCAUGAGAAUUGUGUACUUGGGAAGCAACACCGAGAUGACUUUUUUUUUUUUUUUAUAAUAUUGUUUGUCCAAAUUCCCUACAAAUUAGGCCACCAGAUGUUCAUAAUUCUCCCUUCUUGAAUUUGAAAACUCGGACAAUUGGACAAUGCGACACCUAAGUCCGGUUUCUAAAUGCUAAAGUGAAAGGGUAGGUAUGGACCAUUGAAAUGUGAUCACAACUUUUCUCUGUAGCCAUGUUGUCUCUUUUUUCUUUUGCAUGAUUUUCUUACCUUAACAGAAUCAUAGACUUGUUUAGUCUCUAAAUGGGAUUAAUUUCAUCCAGCUUUAAGCUACUAUAUUAUAUCUAGGUGGAGGACUUUUAAGAGUGCAACCGACAUAGAGCACAUGGAAGUGGGUAUAUGGGACAUGAAAUUUCUUCUUAUAAAGAUUGCAUGAUUUUUAUAUUAGAGUUGUUGAGGCGCUAUGUAUUUAGCUUGUUUUGCAGUUAAAUUAAUUGGAUAAGUAGACAUUGGCGUUUCUAAAUCUACUGUGAAGUGCUUCAUGUACGUGUGAAGUAUUAGAAAUUUCUUUCUUGGCAACUUGUUUUUCUUUGCGGUCUACUGAUAGGUUUGACUAAAAUUAUAUUCCCUGUCAUGCUAAUUAAUUUUCACGUGCAUGCUCAAAAGAAAAGUAUGACCUUAGUGCACCAAAAUCACUUUGAUUAAUUUGUGAUAGGUUUUUGUGCAUCAUGACAUUAGCCUUAUUCAUUUAGAUAAUGUUUAGUUUUUAGAAAGUAUUAAGAAAAGGAAAAUAAAUAUUAAGAAAAAUAUUCUUAUAUUUGAUUGUAUUAUGAAAAAUAUCAUAAAAAAAUCAAAUAUAAUUUAAAUUAAUUAAUAAUUUAUACAUUUUCAAAUUAUUUAAUCUUUAUAUUGAAGAUAUAAUAUAAAUGAAAUGAGUUUUAAGUAUUAUAUAAAAGUGAUUUAUUGAUCUUACAUAUAUAUAUUUCUUUUUUUUUUCCUUCUAUUUUUUCUCUUUAUUUUAUUUUCCUUAUGUUUUCCUCAACAUUUUCCGGAACCAAACAUAGCCUUAGGAAAUCCACAAUUACCUUCAACUGAGUAGAUUCUGUUGUUUUAGCAAUGUUAGGCUGCUAACUUGUGUUGGUACGAACCUAUUAAGCCUAAAGAUGUAAUUAGUUAGGAUAUUCUUUUCCCUCUAGUCUUGUAGCUCCACGUGUACAGUUGGUUAGGACCUCAUUGUAUAUAAUGCUUGCCCUGUUAUUGUAGAAGACAACAAAGAUAAAUAAUAUUAACAUUUUUCCUCUCAUCUCUCUCUGUUUCCCUCUGUUUUCAUCUCCUCUCUCAUCUUGGUAUCAGAGCCUCCAUGGCUUCUUUCAAAGAAACCUCCGAAUCACCUUCUGCUAGCAUUGUUAAUGUGCAAAACCCAUUAUCUCAAUCAAACAACCUUCCUUCACCAGUAGCCACACCCUCUUUUUCUUUCUCGUCUAUGAAUCAACCUCUCACAGUGAAGCUGGAUAAUGGGAACUACCUCAUAUGGAAGAAUUAGCUUCUAAAUGUCAUCAUUGCUAACGGACUCGAUGAUUUCAUUGACGGAUCUCGACCCUGCCCUCCUCGAUUUCUCGAUCUGCAACAACAAACCCUCAAUCCAGAGUACUCAGCUUGGCAGAGAUACAAUCGACUUCUGAUGAGUUGGCUGUACGCAUCCUUGUCCAAAGAUAUAAUGGCUCAGAUUGUUGGGUAUUCAACAGCUAUGGAGAUUUGGAAUGCCCUUAAUCAGAUUUACUCUGCCUCUUCUAUGGCGCGGUUUACUGAGCUUCGCACCAAGCUUCAAACGCUCAAGAAAGAUGGACUCUCAGUUGGUGAAUAUAUUCAAAGGCUCAAAUCCAUUUGCAAUAGUCUUGCAGCAAUAGGAGAACCAGUUUCUGAGAAAGACCAUCUUAUCUAUUUGUUCAAUGGAUUAGAUUGUGAGUAUUAUUCUUUUGUUACCUCCAUUCAAAAUCGAUCUGACCAACCAACUAUUGACAAAAUCCAUAGCCUAUUGCUUAGCUAUGACUUCCGGCUUGAACAACAAAACUCUGUUUCUCUCCAUUCUGCCCAAGUCCAUAUGGCUCAUCUGAACAAGAAACCUUAUAAAUCAACUCCUCAACCUACAUUCAAUCAUAUUCACAUUCAACCUAGAUACUCUUCUCCACCUUUUAAGCCAACCACUAGUCAAUAUCAACCCAACAUUUUGGGCAAACCACAACCACAACCAUGACAGCCUCAACCUCAAUGGAAACCACAUUUUUCAAUCUAAAAUCAAAAGCCUCAGCGCCAAAUUUGUGGUAAAUUUGGACACACUGCUCUUAUUUGCUUCCAUCACACAAAUUUGAACUAUUCACCCCAACCUUCUCCUAAAUCUUUCAAUACUGUUCUCACCACAAAUUCCCAGCUCCCUAAUCCUCCAAAAUUUUCUUACCCUACAAUGGCUCAUCCUGCUGCUACGCAUAACACGGUUCCCGAUACAAAUUGGUACAUGGACUCAGGUGCUACACAUCACUUUACUCUGGACAUCAACGUGCUUGACACUGUGACACCAUUUAGUGGUUCAGAACAGGUGACAGUUGGGAAUGGUAAGCAACUCUGUAUCUCACAUCUUGGUACUGCAAAACUACCAUCUUCGUAUUCUCCUCCUGUUCUACAUCAGGUAUAUCACACUCCAAAAAUUUCAAAUAAUCUUAUUAGUGUUAAAAAAUUGUGUUCUGAUAAUAAAGUUUUUGUUGAAUUUUAUGCCACUCAUUUUCUUGUCAAGGAUCAGGUUUCGAAGAGAGUUCUCCUUUAGGGUCAACUUGAUAAUGGCUUAUACAAAGUUCAGUCGUCAUGCUCUCCUUCUGCUGUUUCCUUUCCUCCUCAAGUUUUCAUAGCCAACAUCAAGUAUCCAAAUCUGUGGCACAAGAGACUAGGCCACCCAGCUUUAUCUGUUGUUAAUCAAAUCUUGGAUUCUUGUAACAUUGCUCGAACACAGAAAAUUUGUUUUAAUUUUUUAAAUUCUUGUCAAUUAGCAAAGAGCCACAGGCUUCCUUUUUCUCUGUCUCCAUCCAUUGCAGAAAAACCUUUUGAGUUAAUUCAUACAGACCUAUGGGGUCUUUCGCUCGUUCGCUCUAUUUCUGGUGCUCUUUAUUUUUUACUUUUCAUUGAUGAUCAUACUCGUUUUACUUGGUUUUAUUUGCUCAAAACAAAAGAUGAAGCAUAUCCUACUUUUCUCAAGUUUCAAGCUCUCAUUGAAAAUCAAUUUAAUACCAAGAUUAAGGCUGUCCAAUCUGAUUGGGGAGGUGAGUUUCGAUCUCUCUCCAUACCGUUUUCAAAUAUGGGCAUUGUCUAUUGUUUAUCGUGUCCAUACACCUCACAACAGAAUGGGCGAGUUGAGCGAAAAAAUCGCCAUGCGAUUGUCCUUUCUUGCUUGCUCUAUGCCCUUAUCUUAUUGGCCUUAUGCCUUUCAAACUGCCACUUACCUUAUUAAUCGUCUCUCUACCCCUGUGCUGCAUCAUCAAUCCUCUUACUUCGCACUCUAUCACAAACUCCCAACUUAUACUCAUCUUAAGGUCUUUGGUUCCUCUUGUUUUCCGUAUUUGCACCCUUAUAAUACCCAUAAACUCCAAUACAGGUCACUAGAGUGUGCUUUUCUUGGUUACAGUUCACACCACAAAGGUUAUCUAUGUCUUGACAUUCAUUCUAGCAGGGUGUAUAUUUCUCGCCAUGUGAUUUUUAAUGAAGAUUCUUUUCCAUUCAAGAAUUUGAAAUCUUCUCUCUCUCAGUCUAUUUCUUCUUCCUCUUCUUUAUAAGUUCCUCUGUUCAUUCUCUUGCCUCCCCUUUCCCCAUCUCCUCUUAUUUCUUCAUCUAUACCUCAUUCUUUUCCCUCUUCUUCUUCUACCUCUAGUACUUGUUCCCCUCUCGUUGCUCCUACCUCUCUUCCUUCCUCUUCACACUCUGUGUCUCCAUCUAUUCCACCUCCUUCUCCACCUUCUCCGAGUGUGGACCUGCUUGCACCUUGUGUGAAUACAAAUUUACAUACUUCUUCUCGCACUCACAAUAUUCAUCCUAUGGUGACUAGAUCUAAGGUUUGUAUCUAUAAACCUAAGUUGUUGUUGAGUGUCUCCAUAGGUUCUCUCACUAAGCCUACUUCCUUUCUUCAAGCUAUUAAAGAUCCUUCAUGGAAGCAAUCCAUGGAAUUCGAGUUUGCUACCCUUCAACACAACAAGACCUGGCAUUUGGUUCCUUCACCUUCCUCAGGCGAAGUAAUCGGUUGUAAAUGGGUCUAUAAGCUAAAGCUUCAGCCUGAUGGCUAAAUUGAGAGAUACAGCCUGCUUAGUAGCUAAGGGUAUCAUCAAAUUGAAGUAUGGACUACUUCGAAACAUUCAGCCUGAUNNNNNNNNNNNNNNNNNNNNNNNNNNNNNNNNNNNNNNNNNNNNNNNNNNNNNNNNNNNNNNNNNNNNNNNNNNNNNNNNNNNNNNNNNNNNNNNNNNNNAGCUUCAGCCUGAUGGCUAAAUUGAGAGAUACAAGGCCUGCUUAGUAGCUAAGGGUUAUCAUCAAAUUGAAGGUAUUGACUACUUCGAAACAUUCAGCCUGAUUGUCAAGCUUUCUACUAUCUGUAUUGUGCUCAGUCUUACUUUUUCCCAGAAUUGGUGUAUUAGACAGCUGGAUGUUCAUAAUGCCUUCUUACAUGGUGACUUAGCUAAAGACGUUUUCAUGGAACAACUGCCUGGAUUUGUUGAUCCUCUCUAUCCUACUCAUGUCUGCAAGUUGGAUAAGUCUCUCUACUGUCUUAAAUAGUCACCUCGGGCUUGGUAUACUAAGCUGAGUACUUCUCGCUACACUUGGGAUUUGUUACUUCUAAGAAUGACUCUUCCUUAUUUAUUUGUCAUUCGUCUCAUGGGUUACUUCUUGUUCUUGUCUAUGUGGAUGAUAUAAUCGUCAUUGGGAGCCACUCUCCUCAGGUUACUCACCUUAUCCAACAGUUGCAUCAUUAGCUUUCUUUAAAGGAUCUUGGUCCUUUACAUUAUUUUCUGGGCUUGGAGGUUCAUCACACCCCUACUGGUAUUCACCUCAGCCAAGCAAAGUAUAUCACUGAUCUCCUUACCCGGGCGGCUAUGUUGGAUGCCAAGCCAUGUCCCACUCCUAUGUCCUCCAACACAUAUCUCUCUUUUCAUGAUGGAGUGGCUCUUGAAAAUGGUUCAGAUUAUCGAAGUUUUGUUGGUGCCCUUUAGUAUUGUACCAUGACACGCCCAGAUAUAGCUUUUGCAAUAAAUAAAGUGUGUCAAUUCAUGCACCAUCCCUCUAAUGUUCACUGGCAGGCUAUAAAACGUAUUCUCCGGUACUUAAAGGGCACAUCUCAUUUUGGUCUCUUCCUACAGCCUUCCUAUGACUUCAACAUCACUUGCUAUACAAAUGCCGACUGGGCUUCCUGUCCUGAUGACAAGUGUAGCACCAGUGGCUACUGCCUCUUUCUUGCCUCUAAUCUGGUUUCUUGGUCAUCUUCCAAACAAAAAGUGGUCUCCCGCUCCAGCGCCGAAUCAGAGUACCGAGGGGUAGCAAAUGGGGCUGCUGAAAUUGCUUGGACUGAAUCUCUUCUUUGUGAACUUUCCAUUACUCCCCCUCCCCUCAUUCUCUGUGACAAUAUCAGUGCCACGUACUUAGCUGCCAAUCCUAUUUUGCAUGCCCGCACCAAACAUGUGGAAAUCGACUAUCACUUUGUCACGGAACGUGUUCUUCAAUGCUCUCUUUUUGUCCAGUUUACACCUUCUGAUGAUCAACUUGCUGAUUGCAUGACCAAGCCUCUCUCCACCCAACGUUUCAUCACUCUACGCUCCAAGCUCACUGUUCUCACUAGACCAAUGAGCUUGAGGGGGGAUGUUAAGCCUAAAGAUGUAAUUAGUUAGGAUAUUCUUUUCCCUCUAGUCUUGUAGCUCCACGUGUACAGUUGGUUAGGACCUCAUUGUAUAUAAUGCCUGCCCUGUUAUUGUAGAAGACAACAGAGAUAAAUAAUAUUAACAUUUUUCCUCUCAUCUCUCUCUCUGUUUCCCUCUGUUUUCAUCUCCUCUCUCAUCUGAACCAAAUGAUCCAUGUUAACCUUGGCUUGGUUUGAUUUGGCUCUAUCUUAGAGAGCUCAAGGAUCACGUCAACUCUGGUUUCUACUAUUCAGGUCCAUUCCCAUAUGAACUGGUUCAAAUUUGAGAAAAUGGUAACAGACCUUUAGUGAUGUUGGUUUGGAGCCAGUUGCCAAACCCGCCCUGAGCUUUACCACUAAUGUCAAGGGAGAAAGCCAUUUGAACAAAAACAAUAGCUUCAAGGGACUGAAUCGUGGAUGAAAUCUGAUCCACAUUUCUUCUCAUUUUGGAAACAAAUGAGAACUUAACUAAGAAGAUUCUACGGCCUCAUAGUGCUUUUCCUGAUCUAAGGUUGGUUCGUUUCCCAAACUGUGAGAUGCACGUGCCAGACUUCAGAACUCUCACGCUCAGGAGUGUAUCCACGUGGUGGACAUAAGAUGGUGGCUUAAGAUCUGGUGUCGGUGGCUUUACUUUACUAGGAGAGUAGUGUGUCUUCAUCUCAUUCACUGCCGGAGGGUGGCGUAAGCAGUGACGCUAAGGUGGGGCACAGUCAAUAUCAUUUGCAUUUGACCAUUAUAGUUUUCUCCCGGCUUUAAAGUAACCUUAUCGUGAUAAAGGAUUACUAGCACUAGUUCAGAUGAUAGUCAUGUUAAAUUCGGACCAUGUUUGUGUCACAUUAUCAGCAACCAUGUGUUUAUGGUUCAUGCUUUCUGCAACUAAAAUUGAUAUAUAACCAGGUGAACUUCAAUCUAAAUUCUGAAAGUACUCAUGUGAUAGAUGGUGCCCGUCUGCAGAGUCCAUCAAUUGAAAAAUGGAGUGAGUGUAUCUAUAAGAGGGAAGGCUUGGAAAAUGUUCAGUUUUCUGGGAAUUCAACAAGGAUCUAAAAUAGAUUGUUUUCUUUGCUGAUUUCAAUGGUUGAAAUUUGAGAAGAUUGUGUCCACAUAACACAACUAUUACUGGUCCUUCUGUUGCAAUUUAUCCUCUAAAGCUCUAGCAUGUCUUCCAAUUCCCACUUCCCUGUUACUCCAGGAAAGCUAUUUCUGUCAUUGUGAAGAAGAAAAGAGAAUGUACAUAUCGAUGCUUUUAAGUGACUGGAGCAUUUAUAUCAGGUGGUCUGCAGCCAUAUAUGCCACUUUGUGAAGAUUGGAACAGUCAAUCACUAGGCUAUAUAUUAGUGUGGCCCAGCCACUUUAAUCAAGGACAAGUCUUCAUACUUAAAGUCAAAUUCUGCCUUUAGUCUCAUUAUAAAUUUCUGUUUAAAUAUUAAGCAAACAUUUGUUUAAUGCGAUUAAGACAGUACUAACUCAAUACCUGUUCUAUUUUUGGAUGCAAAUGCUUGAUGGUUUCAUCAUUGGAUGGGAUAAAGGUGCAUUCAUGAUUAGGAAUACUAGUAGUUAUAUUUUAAUUCUCUUUUUUCUCAAUGAGACUUGUUGGCACAAUUUUGCUGUUGAGAAACCUACCUCUCCAUGGAAAAUAAGUUGUGAUUGAUAGUACUGGAUAUAUUCAAGAAAUCUAAAUAUAGAUAGCACAAAAUAUUAUCGACAUAAAUAGCAUUAACAGCGUACGUAUGUCUCAGUGCUCAUCAGCUAUAAGCAUGGGGCAAACACUUACUAUGAGCAACUUACGUCAAAAUUCCAGAAUAGGACAUAGAAGUGACAGAUAUAGAACAUUGCAUAUGAGUCACAAGAAAGGAAAUUACGGGUGCAUAGCAGCUCUUAUUUUACAUACUACUACUCAUACUGAUCAAAGUCACUCAGUUGGGAUGGGUGGGAGUAGGAGGUUUGUGGGGUGGCUUGUGCGGAGGAGUUGGCAGCUUCUUUCCAGGACCUGGUUGCUUCUCUGCUGGAGUUGAAGGAGGCUUAAUCUUCCGAGGUGGCUUGUAUGAGUCUUCAGCAUUCUCAGCUGGAGGGUGACCAGGGUUGUGACCAUAAUGUGGUGGCUUCUCUCCCUUAGGUGGUUUGCCAACUGGGGUUGGUGGCUUGUAUGAGUCUUCAGCAUUCUCAGCAGGAGGGUGACCAGGGUUGUGACCAUAAUGUGGUGGCUUCUCUCCCUUAGGUGGUUUGCCAACUGGGGUUGGUGGCUUGUGUUCUGGGAGUGGCUUCUCCCCCUUGGGAGGUUUUUCCAAUGGGGUUGGUUUGUGUUCAGGAGGUGGCUUCUCCACUGGAGGCUUGUGUUCAGGAGGUGGCUUCUCCACCGGAGGCUUGUGUUCAGGUGGUGGCUUCUCCACCGGAGGCUUAUGCUCUGGUGGUGGCUUCUCGAAUGGGGGAUGCUUAGGAUAAUCAGCAAGUGAGGGGGCGGUGAGAACCACCAGGCCAAGCAACACCACUAGCAAAUAUGUAGGAGACAUCUUUGGGUUUGGGCUCAGAUGGUGCAAAACUAGGAGAAUUGGCUAGCCUUUUAUAGCGGAUCGUACCCAAUAAUGAAAUGACACGUGUCAUUAUGACCCAUGUGUAAUGGGGUCGAUUUGGGUCCUACAGUGUUGAAAACUUCGACAUCCACUUUUGGCCUUUUGCUUUCUCUACAGCCGCCUUGCUUUUUCCCUCUUUCCUUUUGUUUUCCUCCUGCCCCAUUCUAUCAACUAAACACAAUUAUGUAGUUGUUUAAUUCUUAAAUGAGAUAUUAUCCGUCAAUCGUAUUAUAUUUUAUCAAGAGAGAACGGAGUGCAAUGUGGCUGUAAUUUUAUCGUUUAGUUUUAUCUCUUGGACCACUGCAUUUUUGUUAAGAGGUGCAAUAAUACACGUCUUUAUCUGCCAUUCAAUAUUUACAGUAAAGAGAGGGCACAAAACUCUUCACUUCGCACCAUAAUUAUUUUGUUUUCUGGACACCCCGGGGCCCUUUGGUUGGUUUGGGGGUCAGAAAGUGAACAUCAUAGGGGGUUUUUCCCUUAUGUGCAUUUGUAUCUGAUGGCUUUAACUCGCCUUGUUACUACAAAGAAACUGUCACAGAUAGGAACUUAUUCCAGGCUGAGUAUCUCCUCAUAGACCCUAUAAAAGAAGACAAGUCAUAAUGAACAUCUAACCUUUGUUCAAUUUGAUUCAAUGCCCCCAUUGUGUCCAUCUCACAAAUCUGAAUUAUUAUAUCCAUUGAAUACAUAAAUUAAUGAAGAAAAUAUGAAACCCAAGAUACAUCUCUGCACAACCUCAACCCUGGUUGCUAUGUUUCCCUUCUAUUCACAUGAUUUGAUGCUAAUUGCCAAACUUGCAACAAGCCCUGAGUUUGACACCUAGUAUCGAUGGGCGAAUUUAAAGUCUCCUCCAAACAUAUAUUCCACAGCUUGAAGCUCACAGAAGAUGUUACAGGCAGGGAAAAACCUUCAGAGUUCGCUACCAAAGAUAAUUAUUAAGGAGAUAUCACAAAGAGAAUUCCAAGGGGUCUGAAUCAAAGACAAAUUGGUCGUUCGUGGGGGUUCUUACUUUCUUUUGGGUAUAACUCACUGAGGGCACUGUCUUUGUUAUUUGCAUUUCACAUUUAGAGUUCUGUUCUGGAAACAUAUAAAAGGAGCAUCAUUUUGUUCUUGGGUAACCCAUAGUCGUGAGUGGGUCCAUUUGCAUGCUACUUAGUUGAAAAGUUGGACCAUUUGCUCCGACGCCUACCUCCCGGAUUCCAUGCUCGGAUAAAACAAGAAUAAAAAAAAUAUUUAUAAUUUACAAAUGGGGGAAAGAAAAAAAUGUCAACAACAAACCAGGAAAAAAGAGUAGUAAAAUUCAUGUCACAUGCUAGUGAGAGAAGGGGUUGUUACACUCACUCGAAGUUCUUUCCAAAAUAUCGCAUGGUAUUUUAUUUUAUGUGUCAGCGCAGUUGUGAAUGGAACGUGCAAAAGUCCAAAUUGGCGUUUUUCCUUUUCCCGUGUAGGAUGGCGACCUUUAAUAAAUAUUUAAAACAAAAAACGAAAAAAAGGAGGGAAAAGGGAUCAGAAAAGAUAAAACAAUGUGUACAAGAGCUCAAUUAGUUUGCAAAUUACUGUUUGGAUUUUGAUAGUAUUUUAUUUGUCCAUCUAUAUUUGAUGGAAAAGAGAAUUUAAGAUAUUUCUGAAACAAAAGCAUUAGUGUAAAACUAAAUUAAGGUAUAAUUAAGUUAGUUCAAUGCAUUAAUUUAAGAAACUUGAUCUAUCCAAAGUACAAAAUUAGAUGAAAUCCAUUUCAAUGGUUAAAAUGAUCAAAAUCAAACUUUUUCUAAGUAUUUUUUAAAAGCAUCAAUAUUAAAAGACAAUUUUAUAUUUAGUCGGAGUUUGGACAAAACCAAAAAGCACACAAAAUCCAAGCGACCAUCUCUAGCUUGGAUAGUCACUUGAUCCCACCUAGAGAUGUGCAUGAGUAAAAGGAUUUGAAAAUGGAAAUUGACUAAAUAUUUAGUUGAUCAAUUAAAUUUGCAAUGUCAUAUGCAAUCCUAAUAGCUAGUCAUCUAAUCAAUUAGGUAGUCAAUCAAGUGUUUGUAAUGACUAUUUUGUACAAAAAACCACAUGUAUAGUUAAAUAUAAUGCAUUUCAUUUAUAAAUCUUCUAAUUCUUGAAUAACGAUCCUAUCAUCCUUUGAAAAUUUUUAUUACACCUUUUUUACUUUUGUUCUAAAACUUACAUAUCACCCUUAAUUGUACCAUGAGAACCUAGCUAUUUUUUUUUUUUUUGUAAUUCAUCAAAGUUAGCUUUUGUAUUCAUUGUUGUAUUAUUUUUAGUAUAACUUAGAAAGCUAGUGUUUUCAAGUGAGUAAAAUUAACUUGUAAAUAUUGUAAAGAUUCAUUGAUAUGUAUCUUAAACUAAGUGUACAAAUUAAAACAUUUGCUAGUAGAUUUUCUCAAAAUUUAGAAUAGAGCUUGAGGCUAUUGAAAUAGGUGGGGUUACACCAAACCACAUCACAUCGUUGUUUGCACCUUUUUUCACUCUCUUUUACUUAGUUUCUCUAUAUUUGUUGUCUAGUAAUAUCCUAUAGGCUUGAUGGGUUAGGGAGCAUCCCUUUGUGAAAAAAUUUCAUUCAAUUCUUAGUUGUAUUACGCAUAUAUAAAAUGCCUCAUUGUUUUAAUGGUAUUCAGUCGUGGCAUCACAGAUAUGGGCAUCUAAAUUUUAAAAGUUUGAAACUUUUGUAAAGCAUGUUGAUAAAAUCCAUGAGAGUUGUGUACUUGGGAAGCAACAUCGAGGUGACUUUAUUUUUUUUUCCUUUUAUAAUGCCACACCUAAGUCCGGUUUCUAAAUGCUAAAGUGAAAGGGUAGGUAUGGACCAUUGAAAUGUGAUCACAACUUUUGGCCUUUUCCUUUCUCUGCAGCCAUGUUGUCUCUUUUUUCUUUUGCAUGAUUUUCUUACCAAAACAGAAUCAUAGACUUGUUUAGUCUCUAAGCUACUAUAUUAUAUCUCGGUGGACUUUUAAGAGUGCAACCGACAUAGAGCACAUGCAAGUGGGCAUAUGGGACAUGAAAUUUCUUCUUACAAAGAUUGCAUGAUUUUUAUAUUAGAGUUGUUCACGUGCAAUGUAUUUAGCUUGUUUUGCAGUUAAAUUAAUUGGAUAAGUAAACAUUGGCAUUUCUAAAUCGACUGUGAAGUGCUUCAUGUACGUGUAAAGUAUUAGAAAUUUCUUUCUUGGCAACUUGUUUUUUCCUUGCCAUCUACUGGUAGGUUUGACUAAAAUUAUAUUCCCUGUCAUGCUAAUUAAUUUUCAUGUGCAUGCUCAAAAGAAGAGUAUGACCUUAGUGCACCAAAAUCACUUUGAUUAAUUUGUGAUAGGUUUUUUUGCAUCAUUUAGAUAAUGUUUAGUUCUAAGAAAAAUUUAUAUAAAAAUGGUUUAUUUAUCUUACAUAUAUAUAUAUAUAUAUAUAUUUUUUUUUUUUUCAUUUUUUUUUCUUCUAUUUUAUUUAUUUAUUUUAUUUUCCUUAUGUUUUCCUCACAUUUUCCGGAACUAAACAUAGUCUUACGAAAUCAACAAUUGCCUUCAACUGAGUAGAUUCUGUUGUUUUAGCAAUGUUAGGCUGCUAACUUGUGGUGGUACGAACCAAAUGACCCAUGUUAAUCUUGGCUUGGUUUGAUUUGGCUCUAUCUCAGAGAGCUAAAGGAUCACGUCAACUCUGGUUUCUACUAUUCAGGUCCAUUCCCAGAUGAACUGGUUCAAAUUUGAGAAAAUGGUAACAGACCUUUAGUGAUGUUGGUUUGGAGCCAGUUGCCAAACCCGCCCUGAGCUUUACCACUAAUGUCAAGGGAGAAAGCCAUUUGAACAAAAACAAUAGCUUCAAGAGACUGAAUCGUGGAUGAAAUCUGAUCCACAUUUCUUCUCAUUUUGGGAAAAAAUGAGAACUUAACUACAAAGAUUCUACUGCCUCAUUCAUAGUGCUUUUCCUGAUCCAAGGUUGGUUCGUUUCCCAAAUUGUGAGGUGCACGUGCCACUCUCACGCUCAGGAGUGUAUCCACGUGGUGGACAUCAGAUGGUGGCUUAAUAUCUGGUGUCGGUGGCUUUACUUUACUAGGAGAGUAGUGUGUCUUCAUCUCAUUCACUGCCGGAGGGUGGCGUAAGCAGUGACGCUAAGGUGGGGCACAGUCAAUAUCAUUUGCAUUUGACCAUUAUAGUUUUCUCCCGGCUUGAAAGUAACCUUAUCGUGAUAAAGGAUUACUAGCACUAGUUCAGAUGACCGUCAUGUUAAUUCGGACCAUGUUUGUGUCACAUUAUCAGCAACCAUGUGUUUAUGGUUCAUGCUAUCUGCAACUAAACUUGAUAUAUAACCAGGUGAACUUCAAUCAAAAUUCUGGAAGUACUCUUGUGAUAGAUGGUGCCUGUCUGCAGAGUCCAUCAAUUGAAAAAUGGAGUGAGUGUAUCUAUAAGAGGGAAGGCUUGGCAAAUGUUCAGUUUUCUGGGAAUUCAACAAGGAUCUAAAAUAGAUUGUUUUCUUUGCCGACUUCAAUGGUUGAAAUUUGAGAAGAUUGUGUCCACAUAUCACAACUAUUACUGGUCCUUCUGUUGCAAUUUAUCCUGUAAGGCUCUAACAUGUCUUCCAAUUCCCACUUCCCUGUUACUCCAGGAAAGCUAUUUCUGUCAUUGUGAAGAAGAAAAGAGAAUGUACAUAUCGAUGCUUUUAAGUGACUGGAGCAUUCAUAUCAGGUGGUCUGCAGCCAUAUAUGCCACUUUGUGAAGGUUGGAACAGUCAAUCACUAGGCUAUAUAUUGGUGUGGCCCAGCCACUUCAAUCAAGGACAAGUCUUCAUACUUAAAGUCAAAUUCUGCCUUUAGUCUCAUUAUAAAUUGCUGUUUAAAUAUUAAGCAAACUUUUGUUUAAUGCGAUUAAGACAGUACUAACUCAAUACUUGUUCUAUUUUUGGAUGCAAAUGCUUGAUGGUUUCAUCAUUGGAUGGGAUAAAGGUGCAUUCAUGAUUAUGAAUACUUGUAGUUAUAUUUUCAUUCUCUUUUUUCUCAAUGAGACUUGUUGGCACAAUGUUGCUGUUCAGAAACCUACCUCUCCAUGGAAAAUAAGUUGCGAUUGAUAGUACUGGAUAUGUUCAAGAAAGCUAAAUAUAGAUAGCACAAAAUAUUAUCGAUAUAAAUAGCAUUAACAGCGUACGUAUGUCUCAAUGCUCAUCAGCUAUAAGCAUGGGACAAACACUUACUAUGAGCAACUUACGUCAAAAUUCCAGAAUAGGACAUAGAAGUGACAGAUCUAUAUAUAUAGAACACUGCAUAUGAGUCACAAGAAAGGAAAUUACGGGUGCAUAGCAGCUCUUAUUUUACAUACUACUACUCAUACUGAUCAAAGUCACUCAGUUGGGAUGGGUGGGAGUAGGAGGUUUGUGGGGUGGCUUGUGCGGAGGAGUUGGCAGCUUCUUUCCAGGACCUGGUUGCUUCUCUGCUGGAGUUGAAGGAGGCUUAAUCUUCCGAGGUGGCUUGUAUGAGUCUUCAGCAUUCUCAGCUGGAGGGUGACCAGGGUUGUGACCAUAAUGUGGUGGCUUCUCUCCCUUAGGUGGUUUGCCAACUGGGGUUGGUGGCUUGUAUGAGUCUUCAGCAUUCUCAGCAGGAGGGUGACCAGGGUUGUGACCAUAAUGUGGUGGCUUCUCUCCCUUAGGUGGUUUGCCAACUGGGGUUGGUGGCUUGUGUUCUGGGAGUGGCUUCUCCCCCUUGGGAGGUUUUUCCAAUGGGGUUGGUUUGUGUUCAGGAGGUGGCUUCUCCACUGGAGGCUUGUGUUCAGGAGGUGGCUUCUCCACCGGUGGCUUGUGUUCAGGAGGUGGCUUCUCCACCGGAGGCUUAUGCUCUGGUGGUGGCUUCUCCACCGGAGGCUUAUGCUCUGGUGGUGGCUUCUUGAAUGGGGGAUGCUGAGGGUAAUCAGCAAGUGAGGGGGCGGUGAGAACCACCAGGCCAAGCAACACCACUAGCAAAUAUGUAGGAGACAUCUUUGGGUUUGGGCUCAGAUGGUGCAAAACUAGGAGAAUUGGCUAGCCUUUUAUAGCGGAUCGUACUCAAUAAUGAAAUGACACGUGUCAUUAUGACCCAUGUGUAAUGGGGUCGAUUUGGGUCCUACAGUGUUGAAAACUUCGACAUCCAGUUUUGGCCUUUUGCUUUCUCUACAGCCGCCUUGCUUUUUCCCUCUUUCCUUUUGUUUUCCUCCUGCCCCAUUCUAUCAACUAAACACAAUUAUGUAGUUGUUUAAUUCUUAAAUGAGAUAUUAUCGGUCAAUCGUAUUAUAUUUUAUCAAGAGAGAACGGAGUGCAAUGCAGCUGUAAUUUUAUCGUUUACUUUUAUCUCUUGGACCACUGCAUUUUUGUUAAGAGGUGCAAUAAUACACGUCUUUAUCUGCCAUUCAAUGUUUACAGUAAAGAGAGGGCACAAAACUCUUCACUGCUCUGCAUGUGUCCCAAAAAUGCGAUUGGACAAAUUAUGAUUUGCAUGCUAAAAAGAGGCAAAUGAGGUUAAUUCGCACCAUAAUUAUUUGGUUUUCUGGACACCAUAAAAAGAUGUUAUACAGGCAGGGAAAAACCUUCAGAGUUAGCUACCAAAGAUAAUUAUCAAGCAGAUAUCACCAAGAGAAUUCCAUAGAGUCUGAAUCAAAGACAGAUUGCUCGCUCGUGGGGGUUCUUACUUUCUUUUGGGUAUAACUCACUGAGGUCACUGUCUUUUUUAUUUGCAUUUCACAGUUAGAGUUCUGCUCUGGAAGGUUUGUUCUGGAAACAUAUAAAAGGAGCAUCAUUUUGUUCUUGGGUAACCCAUAGUCGUGAGUGGGUCCAUUUGCAUGCUACUUAGUUGAAAAGUUGGACAAUUUGCUCCGACGCCUACCUCCUGGAUUCCAUGCUCGGUAAAACAAGAAUAAAAAAAAAUAUAUAAUUUACAAAUGGGGGAAAGAAAAAAUGUCGGAAAAAAUAGUAAAAUUCAUGUCACAUGCUAGUGAGAGAAGGGGUUGUUACACUCACUCGAAGUUCUUUUCAAAAUAUCGAAUGGUAUUUUACUUUAUGUGUCAGCGCAGUUGUGAAUGGAACGUGCAAAAGUCCAAAUUGGCGUUUUUAUUUUUCCCAUGUAGGAUGGUGACCUUUAAUAAAUAUUUAAAACAAAAGACGAAAAAAAAAAGGAGGGAAAAGGGAUCACAAAAGAUAAAAUAAUGUUUACAAAAGCUCAAUUAGUUUGCAAAUUACUGUUUGGAUUUUGAUAGUAUUUUAUUUGUCGUUCUAUAUUUGAUGUAAAAGAGAAUUUAAGAUAUUUCCGAAGCAAAAGCAUUAGUUUGCUCUGUGAUGUCCCACAUCGAAUAGGGGAGAAAGUUUCUGGCGCUAUAUAUGUAGAGGCUCCUCUUAACCAAGUAGAUGCGUUUUAAAACCAUGAGGGCCCCCUUAGGUCCAAAGCGGACAAUAUCUACAUGAUUGGGUGUAAGUCAUUACAAAUGGUAUCAGAGCCGAUCCCCGACCCCGGUGUGGGGGUUUGUUUGGCCCUGUAAGGGGUGUUUGUCUGUUUGACCCCACAAUCCCAUGGGACACAACGAGGACGUUGUGUCUGCAUGGGGGGGCGUUUGUGAUGUCCCACAUCGGAUAGGGGAGAAAGUUCCUAGUGCUAUAUAUGUAGAUGUUUCUCUUAACCAAGUAGAUGCAUUUUAAAAUUGUGAGGGCCUCUUUGGGCCCAAAGCGGACAAUAUCUACAUGGUUGAGUGUAAGUCAUUACAUGCUCCAUGUCAAUUUCAGCAUUUCUCAUAUGUUUCACACAUACACAGAAGAGCAUCGUUUUUUAAAGCAUGCAUUUAUGUUGGAUUAAUUUGGAUUUUGUGGGAACUGGGGCAAGGAUCACAUGGAAGAGAGGUUGACUUUUUUCAGUACUUCAAUGGUUGAAAUAUGUGAAGGCUUGAUUGAUACUAAAGCUUGAAAUUGCGACUCUGUCAUUUGUAAAAAAAUAUGACAGCUUCCAUGCUCUCGUUUGGUUGCAUUGUCCGGUCGAGAGGUGCAAAAAGCAUUCUCUCUCUUCUAAUAGUCUUUUCGUUUAAAUCAAGGGAUUUGCCUUCCCGGUCGAGGUCCAAUAGAGGGUAACGGUCACCUACUAAACAUUAAAUGCUCCAACAACUAGUGAACUGAUCGACCCCAGCUCGACUAGUUGAGGUUACUUUUUGGUUUUCUUGUCUCCCGAGGUUAGAAACCUAUAAAUAGAGAGCUUCACUUCAUUUAUGAGUAAGAGAACACCUAAAUUUAUUUGUUUACCUACUUGUUUUUGCCAUAAAAGCUCUCAUUUCUUUUCUUGGUGUAUUAAAUCUCCAUUUGCAUAUCCUUUAGUGCACCUUUGUGAUUCAUUCUAGCCUUGAGUUGUAUUUAAGCCUUUGUUGAGCUAGGUUGAGAGUUUCAUACUUGUUUAUUGAGUGUUAAAGCCUUCAAGUGAGUUAAAACUUGAAGAGAUUGUGUAAGAGCCCAUUGGAGUCGGAAUCCAAGUGUAAAGGUGAUUAAAAGCUUGGUUGAAGCUUCAAGUUAGUGGAACUCUCACUCGGUUAUGAGCUUGAGAAGAGUGGACAUAGACAAGGCAGUGUCGAACCACUAUAAAAUCUGAGUUUGAUUUCUCUAACCUUAUCUCUUUAUAUUUGCUUCUCUUGUGCUUAAAUUUUUUGUGUUUAAAAAGAAUUUUUAAAAACUCAAUUCACCCCCUUCUUGGGAGUUUUUCUCUUUUAAGAUCAGCUUUUAUUUUCUCAAUUGGUAUCAGAACUAUGCCUCUUGUUUAAGACUUAAUCGUCUAAGAGGAAAUGGCUAAUCCAUCAAGUUCAUCUCACAUUGAAAGUUUUGCAACCAAUAGACUUCUUUUUUUUUUUUUGCGGGAACUGAUUAUCCCUAUUGGAAAACUAAAAUGACUUGGUUUUUACAAUCAAUUGAUUUAGAUGUAUGAGAUGCCAUUGAAGAUGACCUAACUUUUCCUUCAAAACUAGUUGAUGGAGUCAUGGUUCCAAAACCUAAGCAAGAAUGGGAUGAGCGUGAUUGAAGAAAUUUUCAAUUAAAUGCUAAAGUCGUUUAUACUUUGCAAUGCUCUAUGGACAGAAAUGAAUAUAAUAGAAUAUGUCAAUGCAAAUCGGUUAAAGAAAUUUGGAGAUUGCUUGAAAUAACUCAUAAAGGAACAAAUCAAGUUAAAGAGUCAAAAAUCAAUUUACUUGUUCAUAGAUAUGAAUUGUUUUUUAUGAAAGAUAAUGAAACUAUUGUUAAGAUGAUCACUAGGUUCACCAACAUUGUUAAUGGUCUUAAAGCCUUGGGAAAGACCUACAAGGAAUCCGAAAACGUGAUGAAGAUCUUGAGGUCACUUCCAUCAAAGUGGCAUACCAAGGUCACCGCAAUUUAAGAAGCAAAAGACUUGAUCAAGCUACCUUUGGAGGAGUUCAUAGGGUCAUUGAUGACAUAUGAAAUCAAUUUGGCAAAGAAGUAACAAAAAGGUGAAGACAAAAAGAAGAAGAACAUAACUCUCAAAGCUACAACUAAGGAAGAAGAAGUUGAAGAAGAAAAACAAAUUGAAGAAGAUGAAGAUUUAGCCCUCAUCACAAGAAAGUUCAACAAAUUCAUGAGGGGUGAAAGGUUUAGAAGAAGAAGGUUCACUUCUAGAAGAGACUUUUCUAAAAAGGAAUCUUCAUCUAAUGGUGACAAAAAGAGAUGGGAAGAGAAAAGAGACUUGGUGUGUUUCAAGUGCAAGAAACCGGGACACAUUAAAUAUGAUUGUCCUCUCUACAAAAGUGAAGUCAAGAGGAAAAAGAAUAAGGCAAUGAUGGCCACUUAGAGUGAAAGUGAAGAUGAAUCAUCCGAAGAAGAAAAUGAGAAAGAAGUGGCAAACAUGUGUUUCAUGGCAAUAGAUGAACUUGAUGAGGUAAAAUCUAACCUUAGUGAUUAAGAUAUACAUGAUGCAUUUGAAGAAUUGUAUGAGGAUUUUUAAAAACUUAGUUUGAAAAAUAUUUCUCUUAAAAAGAAAGUUCAACAACUUGACAAAGAACUUAGAGAAGUAAAAGAAAAAUUUUCAAAUGUUAAAGUUUCUAAAACUCAUCUUGAAAAAGAAAAUGAGAUUCUAAGAAAGAAAAAUGAAUAGUUGAACUCCUCUCUUUCAAUCUUUUCUUCUAGACAAAAAUCUUUUGAAAUGAUUCUAACUAGCUAAAAAUGUGUUUUUGACAAACAAGGGUUAAGAUUUAAAUCUUCAAAAAAUCAAAAGUAUUUUAAAAACUAUUUUGUAAAGGAAUCCACAAGUGCAAGUCCUUCCACUACUUGCAACUUUUGUGGAAGAGAAUGGCACAUUAGUAGUACGCCCUUUAAGAAAUGGUUCUCAAAAGAAUUUAAAUGCAAAAACUAAAAAAGAUUUGGAUUGAGAAAUCCAAGGUCACUAACCCUCAAGGACCCAAAAAGAUAUAGGUACCUAAAUCAACUUGAGUUUUAUGUUGUAAGGUUCAAAGAAUGAUAAGUGGUUCUUAGAUAAUGGUUGCUCAAGACACAUGACCGGAGAUGAAUCCAAGUUUGCUUUUCUUAAAAAGAAAAAUGGAGGAUAUGUUACCUUUGGAGACAAUGCAAAAGAAAGGAUGAUUGGUCAAGGCAACAUUGGUAAUGGCACAUCCUCUCUCAUUGAAAGUGUUUUAUUAGUAGAUGGUUUCAAACAUAACCUUUUAAGCAUUAGUCAAUUUUGCGACAAAGGUUUUUAAGUGAUUUUUUAAGCAUCUCAUUGCAUCAUCAAGGAUAUUCAAAAUGAUAAAACCAUUUUCAUGGGCCAUAGAUGUGAUAAUGUUUAUGCUAUAAAUAUUUCAAAAUAUGAUGGCCAUGAUAGAUGUUUUUCAAGCAUGCAUGAUCAAAGUUGGUUGUGCCAUAGGAGAUUGAGACAUGCUAACAUAGACCUCAUUUCCCAACUCAACAAAGAUGAACUUGUUAGAGGCCUUCCCAAAAUAAUUUUUUAAAAAGAUAAAGUUUGUGAAGCUUGUCAAGUGGGAAAGUAAAUCAAAAACUCUUUUAAAAACAAAAACUUCAUUUCCACAUCUAGGCCACUUGAGUUGUUGCAUAUGGAUUUAUUUGGUCCCUCUAGGACACCAAGUCUUAGAGGAAAUUCUUAUGCAUAUGCUAUUGUGGACGACUUCUCUAGAUACACAUGAGUCUUGUUUUUUAGUCAAAAGAAUAAAGUUUUUUAUGAGUUUUCAAAGUUUUGCAAUAAGAUUCAAAAUGAAAAAGGUUUUUCAAUUACUUAUAUAAGAAGUGAUCAUGGGAGAGAAUUCGAAAAUAUUGAUUUUGAAGAGUAUUGCAAUGAGCAUGGAAUUGACCACAAUUUUUUGGCUCUUAGAACUCCUCAACAAAAUGGGGUAGUUGAAAGGAAAAAUAGAACUCUUCAAAAAAUGACAAGAACCAUACUAAAUGAAAACAACUUACCAAAAUAUUUUUAGGCCAAAACGGUUAACACUUCUUGUUAUGUUUUAAAUAGAGUAUUAUUGAGGCUCAUACUUAAGAAAACUCCCUAUGAGCUUUGGAAAAACAAAAAACCCAACAUUAGUUAUUCCAAAGUCUUUGGAUGCAAUAUUUUAUAAUAAACACCAAAGACAAUCUUGGAAAAUUUGAUGCAAAAUUGGAUGUUGGAAUUUUCCUUGGUUACUCAACUUCAAGUAAAGCUUUUCGAGUUUUAACAAAAGAACCAUGGUUGUAGAGGAGUCCAUCCAUGUUAUUUUUUAUGAAUCUCCAAGAAAGAGAGAGGAUUGAUGAUGAUUUAGGUUUGAAGACCUCUAUAGGAAGAUUGCAAAUCGAAGAUAGAAGACAACAAGAAGAAAAUGGAGAGAAUCCAAAGAAAGAAGGAUCACCAUUGGCACUACCCCCUCAUCAACAAGCGCAAGGUGAAUCAAGUCAAGAGCUUCCUAAAGAAUGGAAGUUUGUCAUCAAUCACCCACAAGAUCAAAUUAUAGGCAAUCCAUCUAGUGGGGUAAGAACUAGAUCCUCUCUUAGAAAUAUUUGCAAUAAUCUAGCUUUUAUCUCUCAAAUUGAGCCUAAAAAUAUAAAUGAUGUUUUAGAUGAUGAAAAUUGGAUAAUUGCAAUGCAAGAAGAGUUAAAUCCAUUUGAAAGAAGUGGAGUAUGGGAAUUAGUACCAAGACCUUCAAAUCAAAGUGUUAUUGGAACUAGAUGGAUCUUUAGAAAUAAAAUGGAUGAAAAUAGCAUAAUUGUUAGAAAUAAAGCAAGAUUGGUAGCCCAAGGUUUUAAUCAAGAAGAAAUGAUAGAUUAUGAAGAAACCUUUGCCCCCGUAGCUAGGUUGGAAGCCAUUAGGAUGCUACUUGCCUUUGCAUGUUUUAAAGACUUUGUUUUAUAUCAAAUGGAUGUGAAAAGUGCUUUUUUAAAUGGUUUUAUAAAUGAAGAAGUAUAUGUUGAACAACCACCCGGUUUUCAAAGUUUCAACUUUCCUAACCAUGUUUUUAAACUUAAAAAGACACUUUAUGGUUUGAAACAAGCACCUAGAUCAUGGUAUGAAAAAUUGAGUAAAUUUCUUUUGAAAAAAAUGUUUUAAAAUGGGAAAAAUUGACACAACUCUUUUUAUAAAAACCAAAGAAAAUGAUAUGCUCUUAGUUCAAAUAUAUAUUGAUGAUAUCAUUUUUGGUGCUACUAAUGUCUCUCUUUAUGAAGAAUUUUCUAAGUGCAUGCAUAGUGAGUUUGAAAUGAGCAUGAUAGGAGAACUCAACUUCUUCCUUGGACUUCAAAUCAAGCAACUAAAGGAAUGAACCUUCAUCAAUCAAGCAAAGUAUAUAAGAGAUCUUCUCAAAAGGUUCAACAUGGAAGAAGCCAAAACAAUGAAGACUCUAAUGAGCUCAUCCAUUAAGCUUGAUAAGGAUGAGAAAGGUAAAUCCAUUGACUCUAUUAUGUAUAGAGGCAUGAUAGGUUCUUUGCUCUAUUUGACCACUAGUAGACCUUACAUUAUGUAUAGUGUGUGUUUGUGUACUAGAUUUCAAUCUUGUCUUAAAAAAUCUCACUUAAGUGUCGUGAAAAGAAUCCUCAAAUAUUUGAAAGGGACAAUGGACAUAGGCUUAUGGUAUCCUAAGAGUGAUAACUUUGAAUUAAUUGGUUUUUUGGAUGCUGAUUUUGUCAGUUGUAGGGUUGAAAAAUAAAACACUAGUGGCACUUUUCAUUUCUUAAGACACUUACUUGUCUCAUGGCAUAAUAAGAAGCAAAAUUUGGUAGCUUUGUCAACAGCAGAAGCUAAAUACAUAGCAACUGGUUUAUGUUGUGCACAAAUCCUUUGGAUGAAAUAAACACUUAGUGAUUUUGAUUUAUCUUUUGAGCAUAUUCCUAUUAAAUGUGAUAAUAGUAGUGCCAUAAGUAUAUCAAAAAAUCUCGUGCAACACUCUAGGACUAAGCAUAUAGAGAUUAGACAUAAUUUUCUUAGAUAUCAUACACAAAAGGAUGAUAUAACACUUGAAUUUGUAAGCAUAAAAGACCAACUUGCCGAUAUCUUUACAAAACCUCUAAGAACAUUUUGUUGAUAUUAGAGGACAAUUAGGAGUGAUUUCUUUAUGAUCUAAUGUGAUGAAUUCUUGAUGAAUAUACUUUUUGAUUGCAUGAAUUUCAUGUCAUAUAUGCAUCAUAUAGAAAUAUACUUAGAUAAUGGUCAAAUUUCGACCAAAAAUCAAAAUUCCCAUGGCAUUAGGCAUAAAAAUUUUGGAAUUUCAACUGAAAAUGGUAGGAGGAGGAUCACAAAAUGAGAAAGUAUGCAAAAAUUGAAAAAUCAAAACGUUGACCAAGCGGUCAAUCGGACUAGACCGAUCGACUAGUUUGUCGAGAUUUAGGAUUUUUAAGAGACUCCAACGCUUCAAUUUUUGCACCGUUCUCCUCUAUUUCUUCACGGUUUCUCUGAUUUUGUCUUUUAGAGACUAAUUUGAGUGCGUUUUGGAUCAAUUGAAGCAUUUUGGAUUGGAUUUUAGGAAGAUUGAAAGUUAAGGUUUCGGAUUUGGGUCGCCUUCUCUUCCUCUCGCGUGUCACAAUCAGCUUUAGCAUUGUUCUCUUUCCAUUUUCACACACCUAGGGUUUCAGUUGUGAGCAUCUCUCUCUCUUUACCAACCACUACUCCCUUGCUUCUUCCAUAUGGCUCCUAGGCGAGAGUCCGCUACUUCUAGGGCACAAGGCAAGCACCCAACUGAGUCGUCUCAGUCAAAGGCACGUCGAAAAGUGAGAUUUGACAUUGCCUUGUUCAGUUCCAUGGAGGACUACCAACUAUACAAGCAACACUUUGCUUAGAGACGAGUAGUUCCCAAGAGAAAUAUUAAUUUUCCUCAACUUCAGCAUUUCGAAUUUAAGGGUCUAUUUACUAGGAUGGUUGGUUGUCUAUUGUCACAAUUUCGGAGCCGGUUUUCCUGACCUUAGUGCGAGUUUUUUACUCGAGGGCGACUUAUGGCAUGGGUGGCAUGAUCAUUUCUACUGUUGGAGGAGUUGAGAUCUGUCUGGACCCAGAGAGCAUCUGCCAUAUUUUCGAUAUUGCUCUGGUUGGACUCAAAGUAUACAAGUCCAAAAUGUGGCCCAUUGUGCCAGGAUUUGAGCUUAGAGAGGUCAUUCAGAGGAUUUGUGAACUUCCAGACGCCCAGGAGAUGGGCAAACCAUUGCCACACAGUUUGACGGUCAUCAACAGGGUGCUACACCAUAUAUUGUGCUCUAUCUUUCUACCACGAAGUGGACAUUGAGAUGAGGUCUCUUAUUAUGAGGCAUUCCUUAUUGACUCCAUUCUAACGGAGAGACGAAUUCAUCUACUAUGUCAUCAUUCACUAAGCCUCCUCACAGUGACAUACCACCUCAUCAGGCACCUCUUGCUCCUGACCAUGCUCCAUUGAUGGAUUUAUUUACUCAUAUUAGCUCUCUAGGCACUCGCAUGAAGGAGUUUGUUGUAGUUAGUGAUACAUGGUUCUACUCCAUAGAGGAUCGCAUGGAUCAGUAUCAGACUGGCUUCACGUCACAGUUUGAGUAUCUCCAAUAGAGGAUUGAGCAUAUUGAGGAUCACUUGAGCAUGAGAAGAUGAUGGCUUUUCUAUGCUCUGUGUUUCCACCUCCACCUCGUCAACCUUGAUUUCUUAGAGACCCAUUGUUUUCAUUUUGUAAUGUUGCCAAAAGGGGGAGAUAUUUAGGAUCUAGGACUCUAUAGGAGACUUACAUGCAUAUCAUUUUCAUAUCAUUGUUUGGAUCGUACAUAUUGGAUAGUGAUACUUUUUACUUAUAUAUGAUAUGCCUAUAUGUUUCAUGUCUUACAUUGUUUCUUAUUGCAAAUUAUCUCUAACAUGUCUUGAUUAUCUUUUUUUUAACUUCAUAAAUUUUGAUUGUUAACCCAUGAUUGGUUUGAGGGGAAGAUUCUUCUUCUCCUAGAUAACCAAGGUUUGUCAUCAUAAAAAAAUUGGAGAUUGUUAGCCCAAGGGUUCUCCUAAUCAUGUUUUGAUGAUAACAAACCAUGCUUAAGUUACUAAUUGGUUUGAAUUAUAAAGAAUUUCAAGUGUUAAUUUGAAAAUUCAUCAAAGAACCUAAUGGAUGCAAGAUCAAGAUUUUUGGAAGACCUUUAAUCAUAAGAAACAUAUGUAAGAUGAAUGCAUGGGUGCACUUAAGAUUUGCAUAUCAUUUCAUGCAUAUUUGGAAAACACGGUUUAUGCUUUAAAGUUACAUUUCCAUCAAAAUUUGAGAUCCAUCAAAUGAACCUUAGGAAAAAUGUUUUAAAAUUGGCAUAUAAUUUUACCUAAAGACCUUGCCUAAGUGUUAGAAGCAAAAGGACAAAAAAAAUAUAGGUUUUCUGGUCAAAAAUGGUGAACCAGUCAAGGCAUUGUCUAAAUCAGCUCAAUCGGCCAAGGUACCGGUCGAUCGGUUUCCCUUUCCCUGUCGAGAUCUAGUCAAGAGGUACAAAAAUCACAAUCUCUGUCUCUUUCUCUCUUUGUCUAUCUUCCAGUAGUCUUUCCUUCCCGGUCGAGGGAUUUGCCUUCCCGAUUGAGGUCCGAUUGAGAGUAAUAGUCACUUGCCAAAUAUUAAAUGCUCCAACAGUUAGUGAACUGGUCGACCCCCACCUUGCCCAGUUGAGGUUACUUUUUGGUUUUCUUGGCUCCCGAUGUUAGAAACCUAUAAAUAGAGAGUUCCACUUCAUUUAUGAGCAAGAGAACACUUGCAUUUAUUUGUUUACCUACUUGUUCUUGCCUUAAAAGCUCUCAUUUCUUUUCUUGGUGCAUUAAAUCUCCAUUUUGAUAUCCUUUAGUGCACCUUUGUGAUUCAUCUUAGCCUUGAGUUGUAUUUGAGCCCUUUUUUUAGCUAGGUUGAGAGUUUCAUACUUGUUAAUUGAGUGUUAAAGCCUUCAAGUGAGUUGAAACUUGUAGAGAUUAUGUGAGAGUCGAUUGGAGCCGAAAUCCAAGUGUAAAGGUGAUUAGAAGCUUGGUUGAAGCUUCAAGUUAGUGGAAUCCUCACUCAAUUAGGAGCUUGAGGAGAGUGGACGUAGCCAAGGAAGUGUCGAACCACUAUAAAAUUUGAGUUUGAUUUCUCUAACAUUGUCUCUUUAUAUUUGUUUAUCUUGUGCUUAAAUUUAUUGUGUUUAAAAAGAAUUUUUAAAUACCCAAUUCACCCCCCUCUUGGGUGUUUUUCUCUUUUAAAAUUAGCCUUUAUUUUCUCACAAACUAUUGUAGUAUAGUGGUUUUUAGGUGUCAUCCAUUAGGAUGAAUUGUUCUCGGUAAUUAAGGCGUGAAUGAGAGGAGAAUUAAUGAUUGUGAUUAAGUAAAAUUGAUUUGAAAAUUCAUGGUGAAAAAUCAAUUUAACAAUGGUUUCUAAUUGAGAAAAACAAUGAAAUGUGAAAUAAAAUAAAAUUAAUAGGAAAUGAAAUUCUCGAAGUUAGAAUUUUCUAAAAAACAAAUUCCAUGGUGAAUGGAUGUUGAGAUCUAAUUUUCAUCAAGUUAGAUUGAAAACCGAAAUUUUCAUAUAAACUGAUUUUUUAUUUAGUUUUAGGUCUAGAUUUAAUUUCCCUUAAAAUUAGGUUAUUUAAUCCAAGAAAUCAAUUCAAAUCAUAUAUUCAAUUCAUCUUAAAUUAUCUUCCAAUUAUUCACACAAUGCAACUAUUCAAUCUCAUCAAAUCUAGCUUUUAAGAAUUUAAUGAAUCUACCUAGUUUGCAUUGUAAUAGUCAUCCAUGACAAUUUGAAGAGAAAAAUAAUUCAAUUAAUCAAUCACUUGGAUCAAAUUACCUUUGCAAUUAAAGUUCAUUUCUCUAAUUCACCACAGAUUUUGUCUCUAGAUCCUCCUUUCUCAAAGAAAAAUGAGAUUUAGCCACACAUGAUUGGAGAUUUGGUCUCAUAAGGCAUGUUUAGCUAGUGAUAAAAUGAGAGAAAAUAAAGAAAAAUAGAGAAUUCGAUUAAGAAAGAAAAUCUAAAAAAUUCUACAAUUAGAAAUGUCCAAAAAGCUUUUUCAUGAGAAAAUCAAGUUUCUAUUUAUAGGCCAAGGUCAAGUGGACACUUGACAUCAUCUAAGAGGUCUUCCGGAAGCUUCUUCAUCAAGAAAUCUGGAGUUUAAUAAUAAAAUGGUCAUUUCACAAGAGCUCAAACAAUUUCGCAUGAUUAUGUGAAAUAAAAAAUGCAACAACAGCAAUUUACAUCUUCUUGGAGCAUUUCGCAUGACUGUGUGAAAUUUUCACAUGAUCAUGUGGAAUCGACUUGACAACUCUCAUUUAGCCUACAACAUAAUUCCACCUUUUGGUCCAUUUUUCAUAGUCAUGCGAAAUGGAAAUAUUUGAUUUUUAAGUUUUCUUUUGUCAUUUCUUUCAUUUCCUUCUCUUGAUUCCACUUCAACUACCUCCGAAUCCUGGUCCAAACCAAUUGCAUUACUUCUUUCAUUAUGCAUUUGGAUCAUCAUCAACAUUAUUUGUUCUCUUCAAUUUGAUUCAUCUCUUUUGUCACCAAUUUAUCAAAAUCAUACCUUGAAAUGACUCCAAAACUUCAUAAAACUUGUUAGUAACUCUUGCAAGGGCAACAACAUAUUAAUUAAGUGUUUUAGGCAUAGUUACUACUCAAAAGAUGCGAAACUCAUGAUAAUUAUUAUAUAAAAUAUGCUCUUUUUGAGUAGUAAUCAACUUUCUUGCAUAAGCAGACCUUUUAGGGUGGAGUACUAAAGACCAAUAUGCUUGUCCUUGUUGUAAUAAAGAAACUUGCUCUUAUUGAUUGCACCAUGGGAGAAAAUUUUGCUACAUGAGUUAUCAUCAAUUUCUUCCCACCAAUCAUAGAUUUAGACGUGACAAGAGGCCUCUUAAUGGCAAGGAGGAACUGACACUCACACUUAUACAAUUAUCGGGCAUUGAUGUGUUGCAACAAUUAGAAUAACUUACACCAAUUAUGUUGGGGAAGUCACAAAAGGCAAACAUGAAAACUAAAAGGAAAAAAGAAAAAUGUUACAUAUCACCACAACUGGAAAGAAAAAAGUAUUUACUUUCAUUUGCCAUAUUGGAAAGCACUUAUUUUACAUCAUAAUAAUUUAGACAUAAUGCAUAUUGAGAAAAAUGUGUGACAAUAUAAUUGAGACAUUGUUCAGUAUUGACGAAGAAACAAGGACAACCUAAAUAGUCAUCUCGAUUUACAAGCUCUAACUAUUAGAAAUGAGAUUCACCCAAUAGAAAGCAGGACCAAAUUUAUUUUGCUUGCAACAUGCUACUCACUCACCCCAAAUGAGAUUAAGGAAUUUUGCAAGUUUUUGAAAUCAAUAAAGGUCCCCAAUGGCUAUUCUUUCAAUAUCUCUCGUUAUGUGCAACUCAAUGAAAGGAAGAUAUAUGAGCUCAAAUUGUAUGAUUGUCAUGUCCUAAUGCAACAACUUCUCUCACUUGUAGUUCGUGGAGUUCUACAUAAGAAUGUUUGUGGAGUUAUCAUAGAAUUGCGUAAUUUUUUCAAGCAAUUGUGCUCAAAGGUGUUAGAAACAAAUCACUUACACCAACUUGAGAACAAUAUUAUUGUCAUACUAUGUAAAAUGGAGCAAAUAUUUCUUCCAUCAUUCUUUGAUAUUAUGGUGCAUUUACUUGUGCAUCUAGUAAGGCAAAGGUUGCAAGACUUGUGCAAUAUUGUUGGAUGUACCUAAUUGAACGAUAUUGUUAUAAUUUCAUAUGAAUCAUUUAAUUUUAUUUUAUAUUAUGUUCAGUUCAUUAACAUGUACAUUGGUCUACAUAUGGAUGAUGAUAGGUACCUAAGCACUUUAAAGUCAUAUGUGCGUAAUAGAACUUUUCUAGAAGGUUCUAUUGUAGAAAGGUACCUUGCAAAAGAAUGUACAACAUUUUAUUCUAGGUACUUGAAUGAUGUGGAAAUAAAGUAUAAUCACAAUGAUAGAAACUUUGUUGGUUUCAACACUAGAGGAGAUGAAAGGGGUUAUCUUUAAACAUAUUGGACAUGCAUUGGGAAAGCCCAUAUUUCAUUAACUUAGUUCAAAAGAGUGGUCACAAGCACAUUUAUAUGUGUUGACAAAUUGCGAAGAUGUCAUACCAUUCAUUGAGUAAAAAAUUUAUUUGAAUUUUAAUUAAAGCUCUAGUUUAUAUCCUUAAUCAAUGUUUUUUAAAUUCACAAGGAGCACAAGCAAACCAUCAAGGCUAGACCACAUAUACGUGUUUGAGACGUAGAUUUAAUUCAUAACAAGGAAUUUAUCAAGUGGUUUGAAAGACAUGUAAGUAUAUUCCUUAUUAUAAGGGAUUUAUUUCACAUUAUGUUUAUAUUGAAUCCAAACCUAUUAUUGAAUUGUAGGUUGAACAAUUACAUAAUGAAGGUCAUAUAUCUGAACACCUUCUCACAUUAUCAUGUGUUCCAAAUUCAUUAGUUACAUGCUUCAAAUGAUAUAUUGUCAAUGGAUUUAGAUCCCACAUUAAAGAACGUGAUAAAAAAGUUUUUAAAAAAAGACUCAGAAUAAUGGAAUUGUUGUAGUUGCAAAAACGUCAAGCUUUACAAGUGCAUGUGAUAUGAGUCCAAUUAUUAGUGAUGCUCUCUACUAUGGUGUUCUAACUAAAGUUGUUGAGUUACAUUAUCUUGGUGAAAAUAAGGUUGUUUUAUUCGAGUUUGAUUGGUGGGAUGUUACAAAUAUUGGAAAAUUGAUAAAAGAUGAUGAGUACAAUUACACAUUUGUUAACUUUGCAUGAAUUCUAACCACGAACGAACGAUUUGUACUUGCAUCUCCAGCAAAGUAAGUGUUCUAUGUGAAGAAUGCGAAUGAAUCAGAUUGGCAUACUAUCAUGGAGAUGCAACCUCAAGACCUCUAUAAGAUGAACGGGAUAGGAUCCAAUGGUGAUUUUGAACCAUUUCAACAAAGUGAACUACAUGAUCACUAAUAUAUCUCAGAUUUAGUUGAUGAAGAUAUAAUCAAGUGGAACAAAAGUGAUGUUUUAGGACUAAUCAUCCUAAAAAAUAUUGUAGUUUCUUAAAAAAAAAAUGAAAAUGAAGAAGAUAAUUGAACCUUUGUCAUACUUUAAAAAGCAACUAUGCAUUGUUCAUUUUGUAUGUUUUGGUUUUCUUCAUUUAAUUUCCUGAUUUUUGUGAUUCAAUGUCAUAUUAUUGAUCUUGAAAUAUUUUUCUAAUUUUUCAUUCUACGAUGGUUUCAACAAGGAUGACAUCAAGUCAAAAAAGGAAAUGUGGUCCCACACACAAUAUUGCAUUACAGGGAUUAAGGUCAGGGAAGAAGGUAAAAGUUGCAUUUAAUGAGUACAAUCAAUUGGUUAAACAGAAAAAUGGAAAACACUUAUCGAGCUACAUAGGGACACUUGUAUCUAACCAACACAAUGUACCUCUCCAAGCUAGUGAUUGGAAAAAUGUUCCAAAUGAUGCAAAAGAGAAAGUAUGGCCUUUGUUUUGGUAUGUUGUAUUUCUCACUAUAUGAUGUCAUUUCACUGUUAUUCUAUUUUGUGACUAACGUUUGAAUCAUAUGUAAGAAAAAUUUGAAGUAGAUAAAGACUGAAAAGAUUACAUGUUGGGUAUAGCCUCAAAUAAAUAUAGAAGCUAUAAAAAUAUGAUGAAUGCAAAAUACUAUGACCCUUGGCAUAAGGAUGCAUGAGGAGAGGUUAAUACAUAAAUCACCAUUUGUCUCUGAUGUUGAUUGGAAGUGGCUUGUCUCUGAUGCAUAAACCAAAUCCCCCACUGAAUGUUUGAUAUUUGAUAGCAGGAAAAACACACCCGCAGCUAUACACCUCCAUCAUUCAGAUAAUUAUAGUGGGGGAGAUGAUUCAUGGUUGCCCUUAUACCCUUUAUUUGCACCAUCUAUUGAGAUUCUUUAUCAUGGCCAGGUUUUACUGCAGCAAUAAGAUAUGGUGGCAACAAUUUUAUCUAUAGGUGCGGUUCCAGACCGCCUCCAUAGGUGCGGUUCCUGACUGCCUCCAUAGGUGCCUCUUCUUGUAAUGUUUGUUCUGGGAAUUACACUUGAAAGCCUUAUCGUGAUAAGGGAUUACAAACACUAGUUCAGAGGACAGCCAUGUUAAACUUCCACUAUGUUUGUGUCACAUUAUCAGCAGCCUAGUGUUUAUUGGUCAUGCUAUCUGCAACUAAUAUAACCCGGUGAACUUCAAUCUAAAUUCUGAAAGUACUCAUGUGACAGAUGGUGCCUUUCAGCAGAUAUCAUCAAUUUAAAAGUAGUGUGUGUGCCUAUAGGUGGGAAGGCCUUGGCAAAUGUUCAGUAUUCCGGUAAUUCAAGAAGGAUAUAUCUAAAAUAGAUUUUCUUCUUGCCCAUUUCAAUAGUUAAAAUUUGAGAAGAUUGUGUCCACAUCACACAAAUAUUAUUGGUCCUUCUGUUGCAAUUUACCUCUGAACAUGUCUUCCAAUUCCCACGGUCCUGUUACUCCAGGAAAACUAUUUCGGUCAUAUUGAAAAAAAAAAUAUUAAAGAAGGUACACAUGCUUUUAAGUGGACUGGGGCAUUCAUAUCAGGUGGUCUGUAUCCACAUAUGCCACUUCGUGAAAGGUGGAACAGCCUAAUCACUAGGCUAUUUAGUGUGGCCCAGCCACGUUAAUCAAGCACAAGUCUUCAUACUUAAAGUCAAAUGGUGUCUUUAGUCUCAUUACACAUCGCUAUUUGAAGAUUAACUCAUCACUAGUGUAAUGCGAUUAAGACAGUCCUAACUCAAUAUUUGUUCUAGUUUUGGAUGCAAAUGCUUGCUGGUUUCAUCAUUGGAUGGGAUAAAGGUGCAAUCAGGACUAUGAAUACGUGCAGUAAUACUUCAUUCUCUUUUUUCUCAAUGAGACUUCUUGGCACAAUUUUGCUGCUCAGCAACCUACCUUUCCAUGGAAAAUCAGUUGUGACUGAUAGUAAUGGAUAUAUUCUAGAAAGCUAAACAUAGAUAGCAUUCAAUAUUAUCGAUAUAACAUUAACAGCGUAUGUCUCAAUGCUCAUCAGCUACAAGCAAUGGACAAACACUUUGAGUAACUCACAGCAGUCAAAAUUCCUAAACAGGACAGACGUGACAGAUCUAUAUAUAGAACACUGCAUAUGAGUCACAGGAAAAGAUAAUACGGGUACAUAGAAGCUCUUAUUUUACAUAUUACUCAUACUGAUCAAAGUCGCUCAGUUGGGAUGGAUGGGAGAAGGAGGUUUGAGGGGUGGCUUGUGCGGGGAAGUUGGCAGCUUCUUUCCGGGAGCUGGUUGCUUCUUUGCUGGAGUUGAAGGAGGCUUAAUCUUCCGAGGUGGCUUGUAUGAGUCUUCAGCAUUCUCAGCAGGAGGGUGACCAGGGUUGUGACCAUAAUGUGGUGGCUUCUCUCCCUUAGGUGGUUUGCCAACUGGGGUUGGUGGCUUGUUUUCUGGGAGUGGCUUCUCUCCCUUGGGUGGUUUGCCAACUGGGGUUGGUGGCUUGUGUUCUGGGAGUGGCUUCUCCCCCUUGGGAGGUUUUUCGAAUGGGGUGGGUUUGUGUCCUGGUGGUGGCUUCUCUCCCUUGGGAGGUUUACCAAUUGGGGUCGGUGGCUUGUGUUCUGGGAGGGGCUUCUCUCCCUGGGGAGGUUUAGUGGGUGGCUUGUGUUCUGGAGGUGGCUUCUCCACCGGAGGCUUAUGCUCUGGUGGUGGCUUCUCGAAGGGGGGAUGCUCAGGGUAAUCACCAAGUGAGGGGGUGGUGAGAACCACCAUGCCAAGCAACAACACUAGCAAGUAUGUAGUAGACAUCUUUGGGUUUGGACUCAGACAGUGCAAAACUACGAGAAAUCGCUAGCCCUUUAUAGCGGCUCGGACCUAAUACUGACAUAAUAUAAAAUAAAUAUUAUAUUUUAUCAAGAGAGAACAGAGUGUAAUUUUAUCAUUAAUACCGAUCGAGGCCAAAGAAAGAAGACCCAUAAUCCAUUUCCCACAAGCAUACACAAUGCAGCUGUAAUUUUAUCAUUUACUUUUAUCCCUUGGACCACUGCAUUUUUGUUGAGAGACACAAUAACACAUUUUUAUCUGUCAUUCAACAUUUACAGUAAAGAGAGGGCACAAAACGCAAUUAGAUAAAUUAUGUUUUGCCUGCUAAAAAGAGGCAAAUAACUUUAUUUGCAACAUAAUUAUUUUGGUUUCUAGUGACCCCGGGGCCUUUCGGUUGGUUUGGGAUCGGAAAAUGAACAUCAUAGGGGGGGUUGUGCCCUUAUGGGCAUAUAUAUCUGAUAGCUUCAACUGGCCUUGUUCCUAGAAAGAAAUUGCCAAAGAUAUAAACUUAUUCCAGGCUGAAAGUAGAUGAGAGUCAUAAUGAACAUCAACCUUUGUUCAGUUUGAUUCAAUGCCCCCAUAGUGUUCAUUUCACAGAUCUGAAUGAUUAUAUCCGUUGAAUACAUAAAUUAAUGAAGACAAAUAUGAAACCCAAGAUACAUCUCUGCAUAACAACCCCAACCCUGGUUGCUAUGUUUCCCUUCUUCUAUUCACAUGAGGAUACUGGUUAUAAUUGUCAAACUUGCAACAAGCCCUUUGACACCUAACGUCAAUGGACGAAUUAAAAGUCUCCUUCAAACGUCUAUUUCACAGCAUGAAGCUUAUAAAGGAUGCUGACAACCUUCAGAGUUAGCGACAAAAGAUAAUUAUCAAGGAGAGAUAGUUCCAUGAGAAUUCCAAGGAGUCUGAAUCAAAGACAAAUUGCUCACUCAAGGGUUCUUAUUUUCUUUUAGGUACAAAUCUCUUGAGUGUUGUUAAAGAAACACGUCACUGUCAUUUUGAUUUGCAUUUAACAUUUCACUUUUGUUCUGGAAGGUUUGUUCCGGAAACAUAUCAAAUGAGCAUCAUUUUCUUCUUCGGUGACACAUGGUCGCGAGUACGUGGGUCCAUUUUCAUGCCACUUAGUUGAAAAGUUGGAAAGAAAAAACAUGCCAACAAGAAGAUAGUGAGAGAAGGGGCACUUCAAGCCUUUAACAUGAACAAACAGUAAAUAAAAGAUGUUUCUCCACUCAUAAAAGUGUGUUAGAUAGCAAUAUAACGAAUCACAUCCAAAAUCUUUACUAGGCUCAAACAUAAAGAAGACUCAUUUUUAAGAAAAGAUAAAAAUGGCAUUGUCUGAUAGUAUCCAAUACACGAGAUGGCACUUAAUUUGUACAAGAUCUGUCAAUGCUGACGCACAUUUUCUGAUUAAAAAAAAACUGAUCAGUCAAAAGCAAUGAAGAGAAGUGAUGACAAUGAAUGAUGCUUCCAAUAUUUUCACCCCUUAUAGUGUUCUUCAUGAUUCAGAUAUAUAAUUGGAAAUAGAACAACCCUAUGCCAUACAUUCGUCUAAGUAUGGUGUCUAAUUUUUUGUGUCAGCGGUUGCGAAUGGAGCGUGCAAAAGUCCAAAUUGGCGUCUCUCCAUUUCCACAUAGGAAGGUGACCUUUAUUGACAAAUACCCAAUAUUUGUAGACAUUCCUUAAAUAUCAUAACUUCUUGUUGAUUUGAAAAUCAUUUUUCAACUACCAUGUUUUAAUAAAUAUUUUUUAAAAUGUAUUUUUAUCAAAGUCCACCAUGAUGGAUAAUAUUCACCAUGCAAUAAUUAAUAAAGUACAAACUAAGCGAAAUGAAAAGCAUUUUCUUUGCUUUGAGUUGAUUUUGGUUGCAUUGAGUUGAUUUUGGUUUCAUGGUUUUUUCAACUCUUAUUUUGAUUGGAAGAUGUCAAGAAAAGAAAACAUAAAGAAAAAUUAAAAGGGAAAAAAGAAGAAAAAUAAAAAAAAAUAGAUUUAAAAGUUAAUAAAUUAUUUUUUAUAUUUAUUUUAAUUCAUUUCACUUAUUUUUCUUUUACUAUAUAAAAUUUAAAUAAUUUAAAUUUUAUAAUUAAUUUAAUUACAUUUCAUUUUCUUCUAUAUUUAAAUAUUGGAAAAAUAUUUUACUUAAUAUUUUUUUCUUUAAUUUCUUUGGCAUUUUGGGAACCAAACUUAGCCUUUAAAAUAAAAAACAAAAAAAAAAUGAAAAUAAGGAGGGAAAAGUGAGAAAAGAUAAAAACAAUAUGUAAAGGAUUUGAAAAGUAUUAGUUUGUAAUUACUAUUUGGAUUUCAAUAGUAUUUUAUUUGUCUUUCUAUAUUUCAUGUAAGAGAGAAUUUAAGAUAUUCCCCAAGGCAAAGCAUUAGUUACCUGCAAUCAGUGGUGAUAAGGCUCCAAGCCAAUUUUGGGCCCCAUAUCUUAAGACAGUACAAUUUCCAUUUCAACAUUUCUGAUUUCUCAGAUGUUUCACAUACCACAGAAGAACAUUGUUUGUGAAAAUAUGCAUUUAUGUUGGAUUUUGUAUGCUGUGGGGACUGGGGCAAGGAUCAUAUGGAAGAGUGGUUGACUUUUUCUGUACUUUAACGGUUGAAAUAGGAUAAGCACGGGCAUUUGUGAGGCUUAAUUGAUUUUGAAGCCUGAAAUUGCGUUUCUGUCAUUUUGUCAAAAAAAUGGCAGAUUCCAUACUCAUAUGUUUGGCCUGUGGCCAUGUACAGAUGCCAUUUAGUGACCAGUUUGUAACUGUCAAUCGUUGCGUUUUGACUCUGCCUCAACAACAUCUGCCAUUGACGGGUUUUCAUACUUGCAAAUCAAAUAGUCUUUCGUCCCAUCAGGAAUUUCGGUUUAAAUAUUAUUAAGCAUACGUUUGGCUGACAAUCAUUAUCCAGUUCAUGAUUUGGUUUCUUACCCUUAAUCAAUGGUUUCUAAGUGAAUAUAUGUAGAAGGAAAUCCGAAGUGUAGACAGUAGUAUCGAUAACUCUCAAUAUUCUCUAUAUAAUAGAAUAAACAGCGUCAUAGUGAUCGUCGCCUACAAGCAAGGUACAAAUACCAAAACGAGUGACUCACAUAGACAUCUCCCAACAAGAUGUAGUAGUGACUGACACAUGGACACAAUUAACUCGUAGAAAAGGAUAAGACCAUUGCACAGCAGCUCUUAUUUUACAUACUACUUAUGCUAACCAAAGUCAAUUAGUUGGGAUGGGUGGGAGAUGGAGGUUUGUGCGGUGGCUUGUGGGGCGGAGUUGAUGGCUUCUUUCCAGGAGCUUCUGGCUUUUUCAUCGGAGCUGAAGGAGGCUCAAUCUUAUGAGGCGGCUUGUAUGAGUCUUCUUUACUCUCGACAGGAGGGUGGCCAGGGUUGUGAUCAUAAUGUGGUGGCUUCUCUCCCUUAGGUGGCUUGCCAACUGGGGUUGGUGGCUUGUGUUCAGGAAGUGGUUUCUCUCCCAUGGGAGGUUUAGCAAUUGGGGUUGGUGGCUUGUGUUCUGGGAGUGGCUUCUCUCCCUUGGGAGGUUUAGUAGGUGACUUGUGUUCUGGAGGUGGCUUCUCCACCGGAGGCUUGUGCUCCGGUGGUGGCUUCUUGGUUGGAGGGGGCUUGGGGUAAUCAGCAAGAGAUGGGGUGGUGAGAACCACCAGUCCAAGGAACAACACUAGCAAGUAUGUGGGAGACAUUUUUGAGUUUGGGCUGAUCAGAUGAUGCAAAACUAAAGCAUUACGUGACCUUUUAUAGCAUGUAGCUCCCAAUACCCACUAAGUAUUGUGGGGUCCAUUUGUGCCCUACGGGGUUGAAAACUUAGACAAUUGGGCAAGGACCCACCUGACUAUGGAGGACUAGUGAGGUGUGAUCAUAGCUUUAGGAUUUUUCUUCCUCUGCAGCCGUCGUGCCGUUGGCAUGAUUUUCUUAAUCUUAAAUAAAGGCAUAGUUAUAGAGUUGUUUAAUCUCUAAAUGGGAUUUUAUAUAUAUCUUCAGAUAGCCAUUAAUAUAUUUGAUGAAGAAAGAAAGACAAGUGCAUACAACAUGUAUACGACUAGCUUUCAUGGAGUUCAUUUAUGAUCAGUUUUCCUGUACAUGUAAACCAGGAUCAUAUAUAUGUUUCUGUUCCACAACUAUUUUGGAAUCUUGUUUAUCAGUUUUUAUCAUUAUAAUGUCACAUAGGCUGCCAACUUGGGCGCUAAAAGAACCAGUUGGGCUAGUUCGUUUCAGAAUUUCAAUGUGGAUUCAGGAAUUGUUUUGUAAGAUAUGCGAAAUAGUAGAGGGAUGAAUAGUGUUUCAUUAAUAAAAGUGUCCUGUAAAUUAGAAGGUGUCAUAGAAACUAUAAUCAAUAAAUAACUUUUUUUCCCCACGGGUGGUGUUUCUUGUGGGGAUCAGUGACUGGUUUAGGUUCACCCAAAAUGAGUUCAGACUAAAAUUGGUUUGAGUCAAUGCCGUGUCUCUUUUUUCCAGAAAUCAACUAUUUUAUGCAUUGAAUAAAUCAUACAAAGAAAAUAUGAACGCCCGCAAAACCUAAACCCUGGUUGCUAACUUUCUAUGUUUCAGUUCUAUUCACGCAAGAAUAUUAGUUUAAGUUUGGGAAAAAUGGCAACUUACCUAGUGAUUACUUGGUUUUGGUUUGCGACUAUUUACGCAACCAACCAUGAGUUUGACUUUAACGUCAUGGGUUGAAGCCUCCUACAGGAAGGGAGAAAGCUCCACAGCUAGCUCCAAAAGAGAAUUAUCACAUUGAUAGCUCCAGAGAUUCCCAAGGGGACUGAAUCAAAGACAAGUUCCUCACUUUUUCUUCUUUUGAGGCCAAAUAUGAACCAAGGAUCACACAACCUCAUUCAACUUCAUAAGUUUGAUUUCAUGCAGUUGAACACUGGGUGAAGGCCAUGACAAGAAUUGAUUCAAAAAUUCUAUCACUCUUUUAAGUAAUGGAAGAUUAUUAUCUCUGAUUGGCAUCACAACAGCACAUGCUCCUAGAUCUUUCUAGACACUCCAUGCAAUGAAAGCACAAUGGAUCUUGUAACGAUAGAAACUAAGCCAUGCUACAGUACUAGAUGAUGAGGUAAAACUAGUAGACACGGGUGGCAGCCUAUAUGGGAGGGACACAAGUCUAAUUGAUUUGCAUUUCAGCAUUAUAGAUAGGUAUGUUUUGGAAGAUUUGUUCUGGAAAUACCGCACCAAGUAGGAUUCUUUUUCUCUUUAGUGGGUCCACUUGCAUGCCAAUUAACGAGUUGAAAAGUAUGAGCACCUACCUCGUGCUCGUGGAACCGAAGGUCAGUGAAGUGGGGCUCCUUUUGGCCUCGUGUAAACUUGAUUCAGAAGUGAAGUUAAUAGUCUUCCAUUCAGAUGGAUACAUGGGAAUUUUUCUCUUUUAUUUAUUUAUUUAUUUUUUUUUUGUGUGUGUAUGUCAAAGGAUAAUGAAUGAAGCGCGUUAGCUUGUUUUCUGACUGGAACCGCAGAUGUCCAAAUUGGAGUUCCUUCAUUUCUUACUUAGGAUUGUUACAUGUAUAAACAAGGUAUAAGAAAUAUGCCAACGUGUCUUGAGGAGUUAUUGAUUAGAAAUAACAAGUCACCCGACUGUAGAGUUCCAAGAUUUGAAUCUUCAGACCCUAUAGCAGCCUCUGGGGUACGUGGCAUCCUAUAGCAUAUUAAUGAAGGCUUUUUCGAUUUAGACUUCACAAUACCAAUUAAUAUGUAUGCACAAAAUGGAGAUGACCCCAAAAAAAACAGAAUCGCCAUAGUUUAUGAGGUUAAGGUGAUUCUCCACUUAAUAUCUACAUUAGCUAAUUAUGUAAAUCAAAUGAACUUCUAUUUUUCCUUUUUUUUUUUGGUUUAUGUCAAAUAGUAGCCCAUAAUUAACCCAACCAUUAGCCUGUUUGAAUUGAUUUCACAUGCACAAUGUUGUAGUAGUUCAUAUUUUGAAUUUUAUUUUUACAAAGGUAGUUAAGGAAAAUGAAGUAUAAUAAUUAUAAAAGCAGACUAUAUACACUACAAUAAUUGUUAGAAUGGUAUCUCAAAUUCUAAUUUAAAAUAUUAUUUUUUGUAAAAGAAAUAUUAUAUAGAAUAUUUCCUAAUUUUAUAAAUGAUUAUAAUUAGAUCUUUAUAAAAUAAGGAAAGUUGGUAAGAAUAUCUUUAUAAAUAUUUUAGGUCAUGAGAGAAAGAAAUGGGAUAAAAAUGUGAUGAAGAGGUGAAAUAAGAGAGUUGAUUAGGAUAUAGAUGUGAAGAAGAAAGGGAUUCAAUAUAUAUAUAUCUUUCAAUUACCACAUUAAAACCCUGUGAACCUUUUAUAUGGUUUACUUUAUUUUUAUAUUCCUCCUUUAAUAUAUUUACAUUAAUGCUUCCAUUGGCACAACAAUAACGAAUUACAAAUACAAGCAACAAGUCCCAUGUUUUAUUACCAAAAGCAGGUAAAAUCCACCUAAUAUAUUACAAUAUAUUCAUCCAAUAUUUUAGACCAAUUCUUCACCAUAAAUAUCAUAAUGUGGCUUUUGUUCUUUCUUAAAUUUAAAUUGAAUUGUCUUAUAUCAAUUUGUUUGUGAUUUUUUCAUUAACUUCACUUUCAUUUGGUUAUCUUUGGUUUUUGAAAAGUAUUAAGGAAUUAAUUAACAAAAUAAUGUUAAGAAAAAUAAUUUUCUCUCUUUUGAUUUUGAUUUUGUAGUAGAAAAAUAUAAUUAAAAUUAUUUAAAAAGUAUGUAAUUUUAAAUUAUUUAAUAUUUAGAUAAAAAAAAUAAGUCUAAUGAGUUUAAAAUAACAUAUAAAAAUAAUUUAUUUAUUUUAAAUUUAUUUUUUAUUUUCCAUUAUGUUCUCUUUCUCUUUUACUUUUUCAUAUUUUUUCUUACGAAGAAUCAAACACAACCUCAUAUUAUAUGUCAAGUGUUUGUCUAUAUUUGAGCAAUGUUAGAUACGGCCAUGGAUUCAUCAAACUAAACUGAUUUUAAUAGAUACUUCACAAAUUGAUUUAUACACUAAAUCAUUGGAUAGCAAUGAUGCAUUGGAAUUAAACGUAGGAUGAAGCUCGAAGAACACUGUUUGUGUAACAACAUAUUUAUGAAAUUAUGCAAAGGAUGAGCUUCGGGGUAGUAGUACAAGGUCAUUAAUGGAGAGCCGUGUUAAACCUUGAUUGUGAUUGGAUUCCGUUAUCAGCAACAGCAACCUUGUUUGUAACCUUGAAAGUCAUUCUGUCCACAUCGAAACUCCAAUUUGACGUUUGUAAUUACCAUUCCUGGAGUGUUCCUUGAUUGAAAUUUAAAUAAUAAUUGCGGCCCACAAGGAAUAUUUUCGAUUCUGUGGGAAUUUGACAAGGUUUGUUAGAGAAGACUGGUGACAUGUUGACUUCAAUGGUUCAAAUAGGAGACGUAUGUGGAUUUGGGGGGUUUAAUUGAAACUGAGUCCCUAUGGCUUUUUAAUAUUUGCAUUGAGCAGUCUCCAUGUGACUUCCUAAUUCCCACCAACCCUCCUGUCCAUGCUGUGAAACUAAAUUGUAAUUUAUCAGCCUUUGUCAAUGGUUUCUAAAUUAAAGAUAUAGACCAUGCAUGUACUUUAAUAAAAGCAAAUCUAAAGUGUAGAUAGCAGCAAUGGUGACACCCAAUAUUCUCCAUAAAAUAGAAUUAGAAUAAGCAGUGUUACAUUGUUCAUGAUCACCUACAAGCAUACAAGAACUUCCAUGAAUAACUCAUAGCAAUUGCCAACAGGGCGUCGUAGAGACUCAUACAUAGAACACUAUCCACCCAGAGGAAAGGACAAGACCAGUGCGCUGCAGCUCUUAUUUUUCACAUGUAUACCACCACUCGUAAUAACCAAAUUCACUCAGUUGGGAUAGGUGGGAGAUGGUGGUUUGUGGGGUGGCUUGUGGGGAGGAGUUGGAGGAGGCUUUAUUUUCUGAGGCGGCUUGUAUGAGUGUGCAGGAGGAUGCCCGGGAGUGUGACCAUAAUGUGGUGGCUUCUCUCCCGUAGGUGGUUUGCCAAAUGGGCUUGGUGGCUUCUCUCCCUUAGGAGGUUUACCAAUUGGGGUUGGUGGCUUGUGUUCUGGGAGUGGUUUCUCUCCCUUGGUAGGUUUGCCAAUUGGGGUUGGCGGCUUAUGUUCUGGGAGUGGCUUCUCUCCCUUGGGAGGUUUGCUAAUUGGGGUUGGCGGCUUAUGUUCUGGGGGCGGCUUCUCUCCCUUGGGAGGUUUGCCAAUUGGAGUUGGCGGCUUAUGUUCUGGGAGUGGCUUUUCUCCCUUGGGAGGCUUGCCAAUUGGGGUUGGCGGCUUAUGUUCUGGGGGUGGCUUCUCUCCUUUAGGAGGUUUGCCAAUUGGAGUCGGCGGCUUAUGUUCUGGAAGUGGCUUUUUUCCCUUGGGAGGUUUGCCAAUUGGGGUUGGCGGCUUAUGUUCUGGGGGUGGCUUCUCUCCCUUGGGAGGUUUGCCAAUUGGAGUCGGCGGCUUAUGUUCUGGGAGUGGCUUCUCUCCCUUGGGAGGUUUUGUUGGUGGCUUGUGUUCUGGAGAUGGCUUCUCCCCUGGAGGCUUGUGCUCCGGAGGUGGCUUCUGAAAUGGCGGGGGCUUGGGGUAAUGAGCAAGAGAUGGAGUACUGGUGAGAACCACCAUUCCAAGCAACAAUACUAGCAAGCAUGUGGGAGACAUCUUUGAGUAGUUGUAGCUAAGAUGGCGCAACACUGUAGGCAUUGGGUGGCCUUUUAUAAAGGGCUGGACCCAACAGCCAUAUGACACGUGUCAUGAUGACAAAUGAAGUUGAGGGGAUCCAGAUGGGUCCUACUGAGUCGAAAACUUGCACUAAUUGAUCUGGUGAGAUGACUAUUUCUGUCCUUUUGCCCUUCUCGGCCACCCUGUGCUGUUUUCCUUUUGCACGAUUUUCGUUGCCAAACAAGCAAAUAAUAUUUCGCCAAGAAAGAGGAGAGUGAAUGUGGAAUGCAUCAAGUCCCAUCAAGGAUGGCAGAGAAGAAAUAGAAGAUUGCCCAACUGUGAUAAACAUAGCAUACACGUAGCACCAGGAACUUCAUUUACUUCCAUCUAAUGGAACAUAACAAUCUUCUAAAGUUUUUGCAUGAUUUUGUUAUAUGUCUCUUAGCCUAAAGUUGGAAAUGCGCAACAAAUUUUGUCACUUCUCUAUUUCCCACUGAUGAUGUUAAUUAGCCUUCAUAGAUAUCAUCCUUUCUACAAAGUGCUUCAUUUGUGUGUUAUUGUAAAGUGUAAGAAAAGUAAUUGAACAUGUUCUUUUUCCUUUCAUAGAUGACUUUUGAUGUGCAUUUUAAAAGCAGCGCUGUGAGUCGGUGACCUUGAUUCACACGGAAACUAAGGCUCCUAUAGGACCCACUUUUAGCUGGUUAGGGGUGAAGAAAAUAUCAACUUUUCAGAGUGAUUUAAGUCAAGGCCAAGCCUCACUGUGUCAUUACUCGUGUGAAUUUUAUAUGCACAUACAUACAUAAAUAAAGUAUGAGACCCAAAUAACACCUUCCCUUUACAAACUUAACCCCAGCCGCUCUCUUUCAAUUCUUUUCACACAAGGGUAUUGACUCUAUAAAGGUCAAGAAAAUCAUAAUUUCCUAGGGUUUACAAGGUAAUUGGCUUAAUGCUAAUGUGAAAACAUAAAAGAUAAUAGUAUAUUGUAAGCUAACGAAUAUUCUAUAGUUAUAAUUAUUUGUGAUGUGCAUAAAUAAAUCUUCAUAUAUAUAAUGGAACAAUGAAUAAAGAACCAAUGAAAAAAUACUAUAUAUCAUUGCUUGGCAUUUAAACCGUAUAUGCUGCUCUUUCUAGCUACUCCAUCCACUGAAAGACAACAAGGUAAUCCAUGUUAUAAUGAUAGAAGAUACUGUCUCUAGGCUUUUUGUGAUGAAAAAUAUAAGAUAUGGGUAGGGUUGACCCUUGUAUGUUUGUCCUAUAAACACUUCAAAGUAACAUAUUUUUCUUCUUUAGCAACUCAUAAUGAUGGGGUUCAUUUGCAUGUCACUGAGUUGAAAAGUUGGACAAUUGCCCAUGUCGCCUUCCUCCUAGAUUCCGUAGUUCACGGGAAGGUAACUCAAGUUUGACAUAUUUUGAAUUCUUUUCACUCGGACGUCUUCAUAACCUGACAAAACAAAAAUGAAAAACAGAGGAUUGGUAUAUUAUUCAUGGUAAGCCUCAAAUUAUAGUAGUAUGAGAAAGGAGAAAAAGAUUUUGGGAACUCCAAUCUGGAUAAUUCUCGUUUCUUCUCUUGAAUAAAAAUUUCACUUACCUAACUUCGUUUGGAGAAAUGGCAUAUUUUAAUUUUGUACGUCAUUGCUAAUAAAUGGAGCAAUUUAGCAUGUUUUGUGACUGAAACUGCAAAUGUCCAAUUGGCAUUUCUUCAUUUCCCACUUAGGAUCUGAUCUUGUAGACCAUAUAACGAUAUGUAUCUGUGCAAGCAUUGAAAACUAAUGUGAACUAUGAGGAGUUACAAGCCACUGGACUGUAGAGCGAGUGCCAAGAUUUAAAUCUUCAGGCUCUAUCUGGGUAAGGGGAGGAUAGCGACCUAACCUUUUACCAAAGGCUUAGAAUUUAGACUUUUGGAAAAAAAUUUCUCAUGUUUUGGCUGGAUUUCUUGUGCUUGGCGCAAAAAGGAGAUGGCCUCAAGAAAUAGCAGACUCACUUUUGUUUUCAGCCCUUAAUAAUUCUCCACUGCUUUCCAUAACUACAUGGGUUAUACAUGCAGUCUGCUGCAAUAUUCCAGUUAUAUUUAUUAUUUCAAAGAGGGUGAAUGACUUCACAUGCAAUAUGUUGCAGUAACAACCCAAAUUUUGGCACACCAUCUUAAGAAUAGAAAAGUAUAAUAAAAGAAAUCAAUCAGAGAAUCACUUUGCAUGCAGUUCAUAGAGUUCGCCCAAAAUGGAGCCACAUGUACGGACAACCCCACAAUAGACAAUCUUCUCUAUACAGUAAUAAAAUACAGAAAUGGUUAAUGAAGCUCUGUAUUUCCUUAUCAUAUAUGACCGGUUGAAAACUCAGCAAGUCUUCCUCAAUCACAGACAGUUGGAGUUGCUUCAUCAAAAUCAUGCCUUCAUUACUGGCUUCAUUUUGGUUUCAAUGUCUGUUCUACCCUUAAAUUGGGUCUCUGCUUACUACCGGGAUAUCCUUUAGCGUCCUGCAAUUCUACUAGAUUAAAGAGAAUGACUUAAUUCUGCAUUCUGCCGUCCCUAGUCCAAGUGGUACUAGAAUUGAUGUUUCCUUUAGUGUCCUUUCUUCAUACUUUCAGGUUCUUCCCUUGUUUCAAUAAUGCUGUUUUCCUUCAUGUUUAACCUCUGUUGAACCACUUAAAACAACACAAUUUGCACACCAAUGUUUCUUUACAGAAAAGACUGUUUGCAAAAAUGCACAUGUUAUAAGGUUAAUGGAAGAAUUAAUUUGGGGAUAAGGGACUAGGAUUGGGCCAAUGAAGUUUGGUGUUAAAUUUUGAUUAUGAUUGCUUUUCAUUAUCAGGUACCUUAUAUUUGCUGAUGCUAUCUGGAACUAAAUUCAAAUCAGACAUUAUCCGAUUACUAACAGGACAUAUCAUGUCCCUCUGCAGAGUUUCUAAACUAACAUGUAUCGAAAUGUGGCCCCAAAAGGAAGGCUAGGAAGAUGGAGGAUUUUGUAGGAAUCGACCAGAAUCAGAUGGAAGAGAGAUAGUCCUGUUGACUUUAAUGGUUGUGAUAGGAACAUGCAUCAUUAUAUGAGAAGUUGCAUGAAUUUAUGUAUCCUGUUAUCGUUCCUUGACGAUUUCCCAAUGCAAUUUCACUGUCCACAAGACUAACCUCUCCAUGCAGUCAAAUGAAUUGUAAUUUCUCUAUUGGUACCAGUAGUACAUUUCAUACCAAACAUAUAGUAAAUAUAAAAUAUAAAUAGAUCAAGGAAAUCUGAAUUGUAGAUAGCACUGCAAGUAACACUCAAUAUUCUCUAUAUAUAAUAAAAUAAACAGUGUCACAAUACUCAUCACCCAGUGGCAAGGGAGAAAAACCUACAAUGAGUACUCAAAUCACCAUUCUCAAACAGAAACAUAGCAGUGACUGAUACAUAGAACCUAUAUGCUCACAGGGAAAGAAUAAGAUGACCAGUGCACAGCGGGCAGCAGCUCUUAUUUUACGUACAACUCAAAUCCCAAACUAACCAAAGUCGCUCAGUUGGGAUGGGUGGGAGAUGGUGGUUUGUGGGAUGGCUUCUGGGUAGGAGCUGGUGGCUUCUGUCCCUUUGGUGGUUUGCCUAAUGAGCUUGGUGGCUUGUGCUCCGGGAGUUGUUUCUCUCCCUCGAGUAGGUUUCGAGUCUUGUCAGAUGGCUUGUGUUCUGGUGGUGGCUUCUCUCCCUGGGGUGGUUUGCCGAAUGGGCUUGGUGGCUUGUGUUCGGGGAGUGGCUUCUCUCCCUGGAGAAGGUUACGAGUUUUGUCAUAUGGCUUUUGUUCUGGUGGUGGCUUCUCUCCCUGGGGUGGUUUGCCGAAUGGGCUUGGUGGCUUGUGUUCGGGGAGUGGCUUCUCUCCCUGGAGAAGGUUACGAGUUUUGUCAGAUGGCUUGUGUUCUGGUGGUGGCUUCUCUCCCUGGGGUGGUUUGCCGAAUGGGCUUGGUGGCUUGUGUUCGGGGAGUGGCUUCUCUCCCUGGAGAAGGUUACGAGUUUUGUCAGAUGGCUUUUGUUCUGGUGGCGGCUUCUCUCCCUGGGGUGGUUUGCCAAAUGGGCUUGGUGGCUUGUGUUCGGGAACUGGCUUCUCUCCCUUGGGAGGUUCAGUUGGUGGCUGCUGUUCCGUAGGUGGUUUCUUCACCGGCGGCUUGUGCUCCGGAAGCGGCUUCUCUACCUGGAGAAGCUUACGAGUUUUGUCCGAUGGCUUGUGUUGUGGUGGUGGCUUCUCUCCCUGGGGUGGUUUGCCAAAUGGAGUUGGUGGCUUGUGUUCGGGGAGUGGCUUCUCUCCAUUGGGAGGUUUAGUUGGUGAUUGGUGUUCCGUAGGUGGUUUCUGAAGUGGGGGAUGCUUGGGGUAGUCAGCAAGAGACGAGGUAGUGAGAACCACCAGUCCCAGCAGCAACACUAGCAAGCAUGUGGAAGACAUCUUUGAGUUCAGGCUGAGAUCUGUGCAAGGAUAACAGAAUUAGGUGGCCUUUUAUAGAGGCCUGGACCCAACACCCAUAUGACACGUGUCAUGCACUCAUGGUGACACAUAAUUCUAUGGGACCAUUUGGGUCCUACAGAAGUUGCAAAGUUGGACUACUGAGGUGUGAUCACAACUUUUGUCCUUAUUGCUUUCUCUGCGGCCAUUGCACGAUUUCCUUUAGCAUCAUUUUCUUGGCUAAAUAAGCGUAUUAUAUUUGUGGCAGACCGUCCACGUGUCAUAAACAGAUAUAUUAUAAUAAUGUAGUAUGCUUUUCUCCAAUGGAACAUGACACUCUUCUAAGUCUUGUUUUAAAUAUUGUGCAGGAUUACUUUAUACGUUGCAGUUCCAAGUCAAAAUUGGUGGGCAAACGUUGGCCUUUUUUCAUUUCACCUAAGAUUAAUGCUCACCUGGGAUAGGCACUACAUGACUUAUCUGCUCUUUUACUGUAAAGUUGCUUUGUGUAUGAGAUACACCUCCCCUGCACACCCUCAACAUUCGUUGCUCUGUUUUCCUUGUGUCCAGACGAGGAUAUUAAUUGGAGGCUGACAAAACGACUGCUAGCCCAGGAUUUACAAGGUCCUGGUUUGAGGCUUCGGUGAAAGUAUUUUUGAAAAGACACACAUAGAGAUAGUGCGUUUGGUGCAAUGCAGCACUGUGAGCCAUUCUGACGCGUUCUUAAUUUCAAAACUAAUGAAUGCUUCAAAAUUUUAAGAAGUGACAUUUCCAAAUAUUUGAGUUCGUUUAAUUGAACAUUGGAUAACUAGUGAUCAUAGAUUAUUAUCUGUGCUUGGCACUAUAAGAGGGUAUAUGCUUCUUUUUCUGGCCCCUCCUUCAAGGGAGGAGGGACAAUGUGAUCUGUAACGUUAGAAGCUAUUCCAUGUCAUCUUUGGGCUCAGUUCAAAACUAAAAGAUAAUGGGGGGGGGGGGGGGGGGCAUAUCAUUUUAUAUUUCUUCUAGAAGGUUUGUUCUGGAAAUAUUUCACAGGAGCAUAUCUUUUUCUUCUAUUACGUCAUCCGCAGCCUCCAAUAGGUCGGUUAACAAGCCACCGAGUUGAAAAGUUGGAAAAAUGGGAACACAGCCCGCCUCUUGUAUUCAGUAGUUAAAUAAAAGGUCACUAGAAGUGAGAUCCCUUUUGGCGUCUUGAUUUUCAAUCCAGCACCUCUGUGACCUGACAAACCAAAAAAACUAAAAAAUAAAAAACAGUACGUGGGUUGGUGUUAAGCAUCAAGACAUGUUAAUGAAAGAAGGUAGAGAAUAGGAUAUUGAAAUCCCAAUCCUGAUAACAUGAUUUUCUUUGCUAACAACCAUAUUAUAUUUUAUCAAGAAAGAGUAAUGCAUGUGGCGUCCAUCAAGACCCAUUAGAGUUCCGCUAAAGCUAUAGUUCUGUCAACGUUAUCAUUUACGUUUCCUCUAGAUAAUGGCAUUUUCCUCUAAAGCUCUUGCACCAUUAGGCUUCAAGUCAAAAUUUCACAUGUGAACUUUGGAAAUUUUCUCCAUUUGCCCCUAAGGAUACAGUUAGAAUUGACUUAAAAUCCUGAUUGAUAUGUACUAUUAACCAAAGAAUAUUGUAUAUAAUAAUUGAAAUAUUGUUGAUUCAUCGUGGAAAUACAUUUUGUAAGGAAAGUUGUUGAGAAUUUAGUAUGCUAUAUGGAGAAAAAAGUCAUGACUUAAGGUUGUGUAUGUAUAUUCUAUAUCAAAUAUUAGGUAGGAAUGUGGGAAAGAGCAGAGUGUAAUGAUAAGAAACAAAGAAAUAUAAGAUAUUCUUGAAAGUGGAAAAUAUAAAAUGGCUAACGAGUCAAAUUUAUGAUGCGUAAGGGGGAUCAUGUCACAUAAGAAAACCAUGGCAUACUAAAGACGUACGUGUGGUAUGGAGUAAUAAUUUUGUUAAAAUAAGUUUCUUGUUGGAGUACAUUAGGUGACUAUUCAUAACGUAUCAAAUUAAAGAGUCAAGUGCAUCAAUGAAGGCAUAUGUAGAAAAUUUGUUUGUGACAUGUACCAUAAAGAUAAGAUUGACUUGAUAGAAUUUAGUCUAAGUAGGAGUUGUUAAAGGUGUCUUAAAUUUCUAAUUGAUGUAUAUUUUUUUCUAAAAAAAUAUUAUAUAGAUAUUUUAAUAAAUGAUUAAUUCUUUGUAAAAAUACUUACAUAAUAAAAAACAUCAUUAAAAAUAUCUUUAUAAAUAUUUUAAGUUACAAGAAGGAAAAAAACCACUGUGAGAUAAUGAUGAACAUGCAACACUGUACCAAGUAAAUAAAAAUGUGAUAAAAAAAAAAGAGAAACACUCGAUAAAGGAAGGCUCGUAUAUAAAGAGUAAUAUUUUUAAUCAUAUGAUAGAAUGAUUUUCUCUCAUUCAUGAAUAUAGGCAAGAUUGGGGAACCAUUAUAAAAUUUUGUACACCUCGUGUAAAUUGAUGUUUGUCUUCAUAUUUUACACCAACAAAUGACAUUGAAGUUGUCAUUGAUAAAAGGGAAAAGGCAUGCCUCCACACCAUGUGCUUGAUUCGAAUGGUUCAAGUUUGAAGAAUUUUCUCCGGAAGAUCUAAAACAUUUUCGCCUUUAAAUUUCAUUUGAUUAUUAAUAUCCGAAAAAAUAGUUAAAUACUCUUUCUAUUUUUGAGUUGUUGAAUUUUUUGAAAGUUUUUAUAUUUGUUAUCAAGAAUUUCUAUUUUAUUAAGGGUGAAUAUUUAUAAAUAAGAUAUUAUAUAAUAUUUGGAUAAGAGAGAAUGGUGGAAUAUAAUAAAGUUUUAAUCCUUCCCAAUUUUGAACCUUUUUUUUUUUUUUUGAUAUAAUCGCCUUUCUCUUGCAAUCCUAUUAUCAGGUACCUUAUAUUUGCUGAUGCUAUCUGGAACUAAAUUCCAAUCAGGCAUUGUCCAAUUACUAAUAGGACAGAUCAUAUCUCUCUGUUUCUAAACUAACAUGUAUCGUAAUGUGACCUCAUAAGGAAGGCUAGGAAGAUGGAGGAUUUUGUGGGAAGCGACCAGAAUCAGAUGGAAGAGAGAUAGCCCUGUUGACCUAAUGGCUGUAAUAGGAGAAGCGUGUGGUUUUAUGGGACUUAACUGAUACUAAACCUGUAUGAUGCUUGGAGUGGUGUUUCUUUCAUUUUGUUAAGAAAAUAUGGCAGCAUACAUGCUUUCAACUGAGUGCAUCAGAGCAUCCAUAACAGAUGGUCUGCAACCCUAGGUGCAUGCCACUUUCUGACUGAUAAUGAAAUUGUCAGGUACCUGGCCUUGACUAAGCUCAACAGCAUCACAUAAAGAGAAGCUUUCAUACUUAGAUUACUGUUUAAAGUUUUUGCUUAUUUGAUUUCUUAAUGCCAUUAUGACAUUAUUGAUUCAAUUCUGCUUCCGAUUUUCGAAGUUCUGGGCAUCUACUGAUUGCAUCAUUAUAUGAGAAGUUGCAUGAGUUUAUGUAUCCUGUUAUUGUUCCUUUGCGAUUUCACUGCUCACGGGACUAACCUCUCCAUUCAGUCGAAAUGAAUUGUAAUUUCUUUACUGGUAGCAGUAGUACUUUUCAUAGCAAAGAUAAUAGAAAAUAUGAAAUAUAAAUAGAAGGAAAUCUGGAUUGUAGAUAGCACCAUAAGUAACACUCAAUAUUCACUACAUAAUAAAUAGACAGUGUUACAUAGGUAGAGAAACCUACAAUGAGUACUCAUCACCAUUCUCAAACAGAAACAUAGCAGCGACUUAUACAUAGAACCUAUAGGCUCGCAGGGAAAGAGUAACAUGAUAAGUUCACAGCGGGUAGCAGCUCUUAUUUUACGUAUUACUCAAAAUCUCAAACUAACCAAAGUCACUCAGUUGGGAUGGGUAGGAGAUGGUGGUUUGUGGGGUGGCUUCUGGGUAGGAGCUGGUGGCUUCUUUGUUGGAGUUGAAGGAGGCAUAUUCUUCUGAGGUGGCUUGUAUGACUCUUCGGCACUCUCUGCAGGAGGGUGCCCAGGGUUGUGACCAGAAGGAGGUGGCUUCUGUCCCUUUGGUGGUUUGCCUAAUGGGCUUGGUGGCUUGUGCUCCGGGAGUUGUUUCUCUCCCUCGAGUAGGUUUCGAGUUUUGUCAGAUGGCUUGUGUUCUGGUGGUGGCUUCUCUCCCUGGGGUGGUUUGCCGAAUGGGCUUGGUGGCUUGUGUUCGGGGAGUGGCUUCUCUCCCUGGAGAAGGUUACGAGUUUUGUCAGAUGGCUUUUGUUCUGGUGGCGGCUUCUCUCCCUGGGGUGGUUUGCCAAAUGGGCUUGGUGGCUUGUGUUCGGGAACUGGCUUCUCUCCCUUGGGAGGUUCAUUUGGUGGCUGGUGUUCCGUAGGUGGUUCCUUCACCGGCGGCUUGUGCUCCGGAAGCGGCUUCUCUACCUGGAGAAGCUUACGAGUUUUGUCAGAUGGCUUGUGUUGUGGUGGUGGCUUCUCUCCCGGGGGUGGUUUGCCAAAUGGACUUGGUGGCUUGUGUUCGGGGAGUGGCUUCUCUCCAUGGGGAGGUUUAGUUGGUGGUUGGUGUUGCGUAGGUGGUUUCUGAAGUGGGGGAUGCUUGGGGUAGUCAGCAAUAGACGAGGUAGUGAGAACCACCAGUCCCAACAGCAACACUAGCAAGGAUGUUGAAGACAUCUUUGAGUUCAGGCUGAGAUCUGUGCAAGGAUAAAAGAUUUAGGUGGCCUUUUAUAGAGGGCUGGACCCAACACCCAUAUGACACGUGUCAUGCACUCAUGGUGACACAUAAUUCUAUGGGACCAUUUGGGUCCUACAGAAGUUGCAAAGUUGGACUAUUGAGGUGUGAUCACAACUUUUGUCCUACUUGCUUUCUCUGCGGCCAUUGCACGAUUUCCUUUAGCAUCAUUUUCUUGUCUAAAUAAGCGUAUUAUAUUUGUGGCAGACCGUCCACGUGUCAUAAACAGAUAUAUUAUAAUAAUGUAGUAUGCUUUUCUUCAACGGAACUUGACACUCUUCUAAGUCUUGUUUUAAAUACUGUGCAGGAUUACGUCAUAAGUUGCUUGUUCCAAGUCAAAAUUGGUGGGCAAACGUUGGCCUUUUUUCAUUUUCCCUAAUAUUAAUGCUCACCUGGGAUAGGCACUACAUGAUUUAUCUGCUCUUUUACUGUGAAGUUGCUUUGUGCAUGAGUUACACCUCCCCUGCACACCCUCAACAUUUGUUGCUCUGUUUUUCUUGUGUCCAGACGAGGAUAUUAAUUGGAGGCUGACAAAACGACUGCUAGCCAAGGAUUUACAAGGUCCUGGUUUGAGGCUUUCACGAAAGUAUUUUUGAAAAGAUACACAUAGAGAUUGCGCGUUCGGUGCAAUGCAACAAUGUGAGCCAUUCUGAAGUCUUAAAUUUCAGAUUAAUGAAUGCUACAAAAUUCUAAGAAGGGCCGUUUCCAAAUAUUUGAGUUCAUUCAUCCGAACAUCGGGUAUAUGCUUCUUUCUCUAGCCCCUCCUUGAAGGGAGGAGGGACAAUGUGAUCUGUAUCGUUAGAAGCUAUUCCAUGUCGUCAUCUUUGGGCUCAGUUCAAUACUAAAAGAUAUGGGCGGGGCCCUUAUCAUUUUAUAUUUCUUCUAGAAGGUUUAUUCUGGAAAUCUUUCACAGAAACAUAUCUUUUUCUUCUCUACGUGAUCCGUGGUUUGAAAGUUGGAAAAAUGGGUCCGUUAACAAGCCACCGAGUUGAAAAGUUGGAAAAAUGGCAACACCGCCAACCUCUUGUAUUCGAUAGUUAAAUAAAAGGUCACUGGAAGUGAGAUCCCUUUUGGCCUCUUGAUUUUCAUUCCAGCAUCUCUAUGGCCUGAUAAAUUAAAAAACUAAAAAAAAAGACAGUACGUGGGUUGGUGUUAAGCAUCAAGAGUCAAGACAUGAUAAUGGAGAGAAAGGAUAUUCAAAUUCCAGUUCUGACAACAUGAUUUUCUUUGCUGAACUACCAUAUUAUAUUUGAUCAAGAAAGAGUAGUGCAUGUGGCCAGGAUCAAGACAUACAUUAAUUUCCACAUGAUGAAGACAGUUUCUGAGAGUUUCUUCUAAAGCUCUUGCGCGAGUAGGCUUCAAGUCAAAAUCUCCCAUGUAAACACUGGUUUUUCUUUCAUUGCCACUAAGGAUGCAGUUAAUAUUGACUUAAGAUCCUACGUGAUAUAUUUUUUUAAAAGAGCUAUAUUGUAGAUAAUAUUUGAAAUAAUGUUGAUUCGUUGUGGAAAUAUAUUUGUAAGGAAAGUUGUUGACAAUUUAAUAUAGUAUAAGAAGAAAAAAGUUAUCAACUAGCUAGAGAUGAGUAUGUAAAGUGAGGCUCACGAUUCAACGCGUAAAUAUAAGAUAUUUUAAGGCUCAAUAGUUAUGAUAUCUAUUUUAUUUUUUGUAUCUCAUAUAUUCAAAGAUAUAGUAAAAUGAUUUUACAUAUAUAUAUAUAUAUAUAUAUGAACAUAACUAUUUGUGCCAAUUGAUUUUUAUCUUUAUUUUGUAUAUUAGUAAUUAUAUUAAAGUUUUUACUAAUAUAAUAACUAAUAUAAAAGCUUUUUCUAAAAGAGUCAACAGAGCAAAACACUUAUUAUAAAAAAUAAUUUUGAUUGAAGGUGGAGUCAAUUAUUCUUUAUUUAACAUGUAAUGCAUACGGCGUGUACUUCAUAACUAAAGUAUAUAAGUGUAACAUCUCUUAUAUAUUCUCAUUCAAUCUCGAAAGUGGAAAUUUUAAAAAGAUUAAACGGUUCAAAUUUGUCGUGCAUAAAGGGGAUCAUGUCACAUAAGCAAACCAUGGCAUACCAAAGACAUAGGUAUGGACUAAGAAUUUUUUUCAAAUAAGUUUCUUAUUAGGGUACAUUAAUAGGUGACUUUUUAUGACAUAUCAAAGGAGUCAAGUGCACCAAUAAAAACAUAUAUAGAAAAUUCAUGCAUGACAUGUAUCACUAAGAGAAGAUUGACUUGAUAGAGUUUAAUCCAAAUAGGAGAUUGUUAAAAGGUGUCUCAAAUUCUUGAUUGAUAUAUAUUUUUUUUAUUAAAAAGGUUAUUAUAUAGAUAUUUCAAUAGACUAUUAAUUCUUUGUAAAAAUAGUUAUAUAAUGAGGAUGGUGAUUAAAAAUAUCUCUAUCAAUAUUUUGGAUUAUAAAAAGAAAAAAAAUGAGAUAAUGAUAAACAUAUAAAACUUGUACAAGUAGAUAAAGAUGUGAUGAAAGACACUUGAUGAAUGAAGGCUUUGUAUUUCAAGAUAUAAAUAUAUGGAGCAAAACUCUUAAUUAUAUGAUCAAAUGAUUCUCUCAUAUUCAUGAAUAUAAGCAGGAUUGGGGAACCAUGAUAGAAUCUUAUAUGCCUCUCCAUGUAGAGUGAUCGAUGUUUAUCUUCAUAUUUUACACCAGUGAAUGACAUUGAAACUCUUAUUGAUAAAAGGGAAAAGGCAUGGCCUCCACCCCAAGAAAAACAAGUAACCUCGGUUUAAAUCACUAGUCUACACCCCGAAGAGAGAACUAGCCAAACCUACUAAAAGAGAAACUUAACAAUUUAGAAAGAAACCGUCCAUGAUAAAGGGCCCCUAAAGGUCCAAUUCAGUGAGGUCGUGAACAAAAACACUUUCAUGUCAAAACAGAGAUAGGUACCACCAAAAUGUAAAGGGAAAGAUGUAAACCACGUCGAACUUUGGUAAUCAAUGGUAAAGAUAGCAUGAUAGCUAAAAGCACUAAAGCUGUGCUUGGUAUGCAAAAAUGAAAAGUGGAAAUCAGCGUCUUAUUCUUUUUCACCUUUAUUCACAUAUUAGGAUAACUAAUAUCUAAUGUUUUUUAUGUCUCAAAUUCUAUUCCAUGUUAUGGUAAACUUUCAUCUUGUUUAGAUCACUUUUGUCUGGUUUGGGCUCAAGACGAUAAGCCUAUAGAGACUUCAUAUUGGGUUGAAUCGAUGCCCUUGAUCUGAUCUGUUCGUUAGAAAAAUCUGAAUUAUUAUAAGCAUUUAGAUAAAAAAUAAAUAAAUGUGAAACACAAACUACUCCCUGCACAACCUUGACCCUAGUUACUCAGUUUCACUGCUCACAGGACUAACCUCUCCAUUCAGUCGAAAUGAAUUGUAACAAGAAGAUUUUUGACAGGAGGACGGUAGUUUAAAAUAAUAAUUUCUAAAGUACUUUUGUGAAAAAAAAUAAUUCCAAACGUGGAUUUUAUCAAGUAAAAAGAAAAAAAAAAGUUAUUUUCUUUUAAAAUCUGUUCUUCUAAAGAUGAUAUAUAUACCAAAAAAAAAAAUUGUUUUCUGAAGGUAAAAUUUUUAAAAUUCAUUUUUAAAAAAAUUUACACACUAAAAUUAUCUUUUCAAGAGAAGAUUUUUUUAAUUUUAAAUAAUUAUUAAUUUAUAAUUAAUUUGUUAUUAAUUAUUUAUUAAUUUUUUUAUUUGAAAAAUGCAUUUAUAAAAAACAAAUUUGUUAUUAAUUUAUUAAAUAAUUUUUACAAAAUAAAUAAUUUUUUUUUAUUUUAAUUUUAAAAUUAAUUUUAUUAUAUAAAUUUUAAAAUUAAAAAUAUUAAUAUUUAAUUUAAAAUUUAACUAUAAAAGGAAUAAAAUAUAGAAAAAUAAAUUAAUUUAUUAUUCAAUAAAUUAAUUUUCAAUAAAAUUUUCAGCAUUAAGAGAUAAAUUUUUAAGUAUUAAUCAAUUUAAAAAGAAAUAAUGAUCAUUUGUAUAUUAAGAUAUUUUAUUUAGUAAUUAUGAAUGAUAAACAACUAAAGUAAUUUGAAAAAAUAAUAAAAUAUUUAAAAAAUAAUAAUUUAAUACACGUAAAAUUAGAAAUGAUUAACUAUUUUUUAUUAAGAAAAAAUUGAGGAAAUAUUUUGUUAUUUAAAAUUUUUUAUUUGUUUUCAAUUUUUAAUGUUAUAGGUUUCAAGAAAAUUGAUCAAAUAAAAAUUAAGAAGUCAUUUUUUCAAAAACUAUAUAUCUAAAUAAAAGCCUUGAAAUUCAAAUACACAAUAUCAUAAAUAUAAACACCAAGUCAAUCCUUAAUUAUCAAAUGUUUUUAAUAUUAAAGAAUCAAAAUCACCUACUAUCAUGAUAAUAAGAAAACCAAUAAUAUUGUUCAUAUAAAUACUAAAAAGCUAACAAAUAUCCCAAACAAUUAAUAAAGUAUCAAACAUGAUAAAAAGUCAAUUAUUAUCAUGAAUGCAAAAAAUCAAUAAUUUUGUUUAUAUGAACCAUCAACAAAGAAAAAAAAAAUCAAUAUCUAAAUAUUAAACAUAAUUUAUAUUUUUAUAAAUAUUAUUGUUGAUAAAUAUCUUAACAAUUAUAAUUUUAGUAAAUAAAAUUAAUUAAUUUUAGUUUAAGAAUUAUUUUUUUAUACUUUCGUAUUCUUAUCAAAAAUCCCCAUUUUGCAUGUCUCCUUUGGCAUGACUUUCUUACCUAAACAAGCAUAUAUAUAUAUAUAUAUAUAUAAAAUAUUUGGUUAAGAAAGAGUACUAAAGUUUAUAUGGCACACAUCAAGAUAGAAACAGAAGUGGAAGAUAAUCCAAAUGUAUGAACAGAUAUAUUAUAUCCAUGUAGUGGUAGUGACUUCAUUAUUUACUUUUAUCUAAUGGAGCAUGACACACUUCUUCUGAAUAUUUUGCACGAUUAUGUUAUGUGUCAGCUUGUUCUAAGUCAAAACUAGUGAUAAAAAUCGGUUUUUUUUGCAUUUCCUUCAUGAAGAUGGCACCUGGAUGGGGCACUACAUGAGUGGCAUAGCACGAAGUGAUUUAUCUGCUCCCUUUACUAUAAAGUGCUUUGUGUAUAAGUUACACCUCCCCUGCACUGCCUCAACAUUUGUUGUUCUGUCUUCCGUCUGUCCAAACGAGGACAAACGUAUGUUGUAGGUUGACAAAACCACAGCUAGCCUAGGAUUUGCAAGGAUCUAGUUUGAUUCGUAUGCAAAAGGAUUGGUGAAAAGAUUCACAAAGAUAAUGCUUUUUGCAAUGCAAUCUUGUUCUAAUUCAACAGUGUGGACCAUUUUCAUGUAAUGCUUCAACUAGAUGUCAGUUUCAUGAAUUUUUGUUCAUCUAAUUGAUCACUGGAUAGGCCAUAACCCGAAGAAAUUCAAAAUUCCCUUCAGUACUGUAGCUAAGGAAAGAUCCCUAUCUACCACUGGGAUUUUAAGAGGGUAAAAAUGUAGGUGGGUGCCUAUAUCAUUUGCACUUCACUAUAGGCCUCUUUGGGAAGAUUUCUUCUGAAGACAUUUCAAAGAAACAUAUUUUUCUCUUCUCUCCGUAAACGGCAGCUGCAAGUCAGUCCAUUCACAGGCCACCGAGUUGAAAAGGCUGGAAAAUUGGCCAAAGCACCCGCCUCCUGGAUUCCAUGGGUAAGGAAAAGGUCACUGGAGGUGUGAUCCCUGUUGGCCUCUUGAUUUCCAUUCCGCCAUCUAUAUGACCUGAUAACCCAAAAACACAGAAGGAAAACGUCACCUGGGUUCAUAGUAAGCAUCAAGUCAUGAUAGAGACCAGACAACAUGACCAACAAAGAGUAGCGAAUGGGGCCAACAUCAAGCCCCAUUACGGUUAGAAGAUGGAAGAAGUAGAAGACAAUCCAAUUCUGAUAGAUUCGGGCAAAUGUAGUGCUGUUCAAACUUAAUCAUUUACUAUUUCUUCAUGAAUCACGGCAUUUUUCUUCUGAAAAUUUUCCAAGAUUAGGCCUCUGAAGAAAAAUUUCAUAUGUAAAUUGGUAUAUUAAGGAAAAGGCGUUACAAAGGUGAAAAAAAACCAAUCAAAUCUUAUAUAUGACAUCUCAAAAAUAUGAACUUGCUAUAAAUAUUUAAAAUCAAAAUCUUGCACAUCACCUCGUAGUACGAACUUGCUAUAAAACUUGAAAAUCAAGAAGAAAGGGGCAGUAUUGGACGAGACUACUUAGCACAUAUUAUUAUGAUGUUUUUUCAUUUUCUUAAUGUUGUUUUUAUGUCUUAAAUUCUAUUAUUCUAUGUUACGGUAAACAUUCAUCUUGUUUGUGUGGAAUAGGAUCACUUUUCUCUGGGUUGAGUCGAUGCCCUUAGUUAAUUUGUUCAUUUGAAUAAACUAAAUUAUUAUAAGUAUUUAGAUAAGAAAAACGUGAUACAUAAAUUACGCCUCUCGGCACAACUUCAACACUGGUUACUCUGUUUCAGUUUCCUCACACAAGAUUAUUGGUUCUAGGGUUUAUUUGGUUUUGGUUUGAUUCUAAUUGCUAAACUUUCUCAAGGAAGAUGUUAUAUAGGGAGUGAGAAACCUUCACUCUUGGCUACCUCCAAGAGAAGAGCAAGUGGUCUGAAUCAAAGAUAUACUGCUCACUUUUUCUUCUUCUAAGGACAGCUAUGACCUUGCUUUAAGGUUCGAAUAGCCUAAUGCAACCUCCCAUUUCUCAAGUCAGCUGAUGAUGUAAGUCACCUUGGCUUUCCACAUUCAUACGGUGAGGACGUUUGUGGGUGUAAUUCUCUUAACAGUUUUCAUUUUAUAUGGAAAAAUUCAUAAUUAAGGGUAAUUACUGAUUCCAUUUGACAGUGACCAAGUUUAAAAUAUUAAUUCAUAUAUUAAAUGCACAUUAAAAAAUCAUGGAAUAAAUAUAUUUACUAAUAUAUAGUUCUUUUGCCAUGUUCUGUCACAGAAGCAUCGAACUUUCCCUAGAAAUUUUUGCAUGGUAUUCUACUUAUGAUUUUGAAAACUCUAGGCACCUGAGGCCACUAAUUGCAUGGUUGGAUGAGGAGCUGCAUGAGAUUAUGUAUCGUGUUGUUCCUUAACUACAAAUAUCAGUUUUAAGUAGCAUCUCCAUGUGACAUUUUCCUGAUGCAAUUUCGCUGUCCACCAACAAAUUUCACCAUGCAGCAAGAUGAAUUGUAAUUUCUUUAUUGUUAUCAACAGCUUUAAUUAAUCUUGAUAUAUAUAUAUAACUUAGUAGAAGUAUAUUAAUCUAGAUUGUAGUUGCACUAAGAUAAUAGGCAAUAUUAUAACAGUGCCACAAUGCUCAUCGCCAAAUAGAAAGGUAGAAAAACUACAAUGAGUAACUCACAACAUUCUCAAACAGGACAUAGCGGCGACUGAUACAUAGAACACUAUUGGCACUCAGGAAAUGAUAAGAUCAGUGCCCAGCAGGCAGCACGUCUUAUUUUACAUACUACUUAAAACUAACCAAAGUCAUUCAGUUGGGAUGGGUGGGAGAUGGUGGUUUGUGCGGUGGCUUUUGGGUAGUUGGUGGCUUCUUUCCUGGAACUGAUGGUUUUUUUGUUGGAGUUGAAGGAGGCUUAAUCGUCUGAGGUGGCUUGUAUGAGUCUUCAGCACUCUCUGCGGGAGGGUGCCCAGGGUUGUGACCAUAAUGGGGUGGCUUCUCUCCCUUAGUUGGUUUGCCAAGUGGGCUGGCUGGCUUGUGCUCCGGGAGCGGCUUCUCUCCCUUAGGUGGUUUGCCAAAUGGGCUUGCUGGCUUGUGCUCUGGGAGCGGCUUCUCUCCCUCAAGAAGUUUACGGGUUUUGUCAGAUGGCUUGUGUUCUGGUGGUGGCUUCUCUCCUUGGGGUGGUUUGCCAAAUGGACUUGGUGGCUUGUGUUCGGGGAGUGGCUCCUCUCCCUUGGGAGGUUUAGUUGGUGGCUGGUGUUCCAUAGGUGGUUUCUCAACCGGGGGCUUGUUCUCCGUUGGUGGUUUAUGAACUGGGGGAUGCUUGGGGUAGUCAGCAAGAGACGGGGUGGUGAGAACCACCAGUCCCAGCAGCAACACUAGCAAGUAUGUGGAAGAGUACAUCUUUGAGUUCAGGCUGAGAUUUGUGCGAGACUUGAAGAAUUAGGUGGCCUUUUAUAGCUGGCUGCACCCAACACUCACAUGACACGUAUCAUGGUGACACAUGUGCUAUGGGUCCAUUUGGGUCCUACAGAAGCUGAAAACUUUUGACUAUUGAGGUGUGGUCACAACUUUUGUCCCUAUUGCUUUCUCCGCAACCGUUUUACAUGUUUCCUUUGGCAUAAUUUUCUAAGCUAAACAAGCAUAUAUCAUAUUUGGUUAAGAAAGAGUAAAGUGUAUAUGGCACACAUCAAGGAAGAGAAACAGAAAAAGUGGGAGACAAUCAAUUGUGAUAAACAGAUAUAUUAUAUUCAUGUAGUACUAGUGACUUUAUCAUUUACUUUUAUCCAAUAGAUCAUCACUCUUUCUUCUAAAUAUUUUGGAGGAUAAUGGUACAUGUUGCUUGUUUCCAAGUCAAAAUUGGUGGCAAAAAUCGGCAUGAUACGAAAGGAUUGGUGAAAAGAUUCACAUAGAUGGUGCUUUGUGCAAUGCAGUCUUGCUCUAAUUCAACAGAGUGGACCAUGGUGAUGUAUUUUAAAUUUUAAAUUUUAAAUUAAUGCAUGCUUCAAAGUUUUAACUAGAUGUCACUUCCAUGGAUUUUUGUUCAUUUAAUUGAGCACAGGAUAGGCUAUCAAACUUGAAGUAAUAUAAAAAUCCCUUCAUUACUGUAACUAAUGAAAGAUCAUUAUCUGCGCUUGGUAUUUUGCCAAGGUAUUUGCUGCUCUUUCUAGCCCUGUCUUACAGUUAAGGACAAUGUGAUCUAGUUAACCUUAGAAGCUAUUCCAUGUCAGAUACAAGAGAUCAAGCACAUUAUCUUUGGGCUCAGUUCAAAACUAUAAUAUAUGGGUGGGGUGGAGGCCCAUAUCAUUUGCAUAUCACCACUAUUGGUUUAGUUUGGAAGGUUUCUUCUGGAAGAUUGCUGCUUUCUGGAAUCAUUUCAAAGAAAUAUAUCUUUUUGUUCUCUUGGUGACGAGCAGCGGCAAUCAAGUCUGUUGACAAACAACCGAGUUGAAAAGUUUGAAAAUUGGUCACAGCCCACGUCCAUGGUUAAGGAAAAGGUCACUGGAAGUGAUCCCUUCUGGGCCUCUUGAUUUCCAUUCUGACAUCUAUAUGACCUGAUAAAUAGAAAGAAAAAAAAACAGAAGAAAAGCGGCACCCGGGUUCAUAGUAAGCAUCAAGACAGGAUACUGAAAGAAGGGAGAAAGGAGAUUGCAAGUCCAAUCCUGAUAAAAUGAUCAACAAAGAGUAUCAAAAUGGGGCCAACAUAAAGACCCAUUGAGGUUAGCAGAUGGCAUGGCAUUUUUCUCCUUAAGUUUUCCAUGAUUAGACUUGAAGUCAAAAUUUCACAUGUAAAUUUGUAUUUCUACAUUUCCCACUGACGACACCCAACUUCAACUUGAGUUAGAAUAACAUUGUGUGAACUUAUCUGGCCCUCAAAAUUUACUGUGAAGUGCUUUCUGCGUGUGAAGAUUCAGAAAAGCACCAAGGGAACAUGUAUGGUCUGCCUUUUUCUGAUGUUAUGUUUGUCUCUAAUUCUGUUCCAUGUCAUGGUAAAUGUUCACAUUGCUUGUAUGGAACACACCAGGAUCACUUUUUCGGGUUUAUUUUGAGGCUUCAUAUUGGGUUCAUAUUGGGUUCAAUGCUUUUAAUGUGUUCAUUAGACAAAUCUGAAUUAUCAUAUGCAUUUAGAUAAGAACAAUAAUGUGAAACCCUAGUUACACCUCCCCUGCAUAACCCCAACCCUGCUUACUCUAUUUCAGUUUACUCACACAAGUUUUACCGGUUCUUAUAAGUCAAGAAAAGGCAACUGAUGUUGGAUUGACUCUCUUCCAUGUAUAAAAAGCAACUUUUAUAUAUACAUAAAAUAACUUCUUCCCCUCACCAAUGUGGGAUAUCAUGGAUUUAUUCUGGAAACACAUCAAAGGAACAUCUUUUCUCUUGGGUGACCCUAAGUGGUGAGUCAGACCAUUUGCAUGCCAUUGAGUUGCACAGUUGGAUAAAUGCACCUACCUCCUGGGCUCCAGAGUUAAAAGGGUGGAUCCCUGGAUCGCAACCCUCUUGGCAUCUUGGUUUCCAUUCCAACAUCCACAUGACUUGACAAAACAAAAAACAGAAUAAAAUCAUCACUAUUUUCAUGCUAAGCACCAAUACAUGAUGGAAAUCAUUGCUUAAAGAUUUGGGGUCAUUUAGGUUUUGACUGCCUCCUAACACCUCACCUAAUCACAAGUUUUUAUGCUUACAAAUCAAAUAUCGUUCUUCAUUAUAUUAAAAUCAUUUUAAGAUUUCAGAUCCAUCUGCUAAUUAUGAUUAUGAUAACAUUAAUUCACCUGUGCUUCUCAUUUUCGACACACAAGGCAUCUAGGUUUGCAGGAUUUCCUUAUUAGAUGAGAUAAAUGAGUACGCAUGGUUAUGUAUGCAGCAUUCAUUAACCAUGGUAUGUGACAUUUAGAAUUAAGAUAGCAAGCAAACUUUCCCUGCAGCUUGAGUAAAUUGUGAUUUCUUAGCCUCUAUGAGUGGUUCCCAAAUCAAAUUAACAUAGUGAAAUAUACGUAGUCCAGUGAAAGGAAAUGUAAAUUAUAAACUAACAGCACUACACUACUGGUAACACUCGAUACUCUCUAUAUAAUGCAAUGAAAUAUACGUUAUACGUUGCUUGUUCCAAGUCAAAAUUUGUGGCCAAACGUUGGCCUUUUUUCAUUUUCCCUAAGAUUAAUGCUCACCUGGGAUAGGCACUACAUGAUUUAUCUGCUCUUUUACUGUAAAGUUGCUUUGUGUAUGAGUUACACCUCCCCUGCACACCCUCAACAUUUGUUGCUCUGUUUUCCUUGUGUCCAGACGAGGAUAUUAAGUGGGGGCUGACAAAACGACUGCUAGCCAAGGAUUUACAAGGUCCUGGUUUGACGCUUCCGCGAAAGUAUUUUUGAAAAUAUACACAUAGAGAUUGCGCGUUCGGUGCAAUGCAACAAUGUGAGCCAUUCUGAAGUUUUUAAUUUCAGAUUAAUGAAUGCUACAAAAUUCUAAGAAGGGCCGUUUCCAAAUAUUUGAGUUCAUUUAUCCGAACAUCGGAUAAGUAAUGAUCAUAGAUUAUUAUUAUUAUCUGACGUUCUUAUAAUGGUUGGCAUUAUAAGAGGGUAUAUGCUUCUUUCUCUAGCCCCUCCUUCAAGGGAGGGACAAUGUGAUCUGUAUCGUUAGAAGCUAUUCCAUGUCGUCAUCUUUUGGCUUAAGUCAAUACUAAAAUAUAUGGGCGGGGCCCCUGUCAUUUUAUAUUUCUUCUAGAAGGUUUGUUCUGGAAAUCUUUCACCGAAACAUAUCUUUUUCUUCUCUACGUGAUCCGUGGUUGGAAAGUUAGAAAAAUGGGUCCGUUCACAAGCCACCGAGUUGAAAAGUUGGAAAAAUGGCAACACCGCCAACCUCUUGUAUUCGAUAGUUAAAUAAAAGGUCACUGGAAGUGAGAUCCCUUUUGGCCUCUUGAUUUUCAUCCCAGCAUCUCUAUGUCCUGAUAAACUAAAAAACUAAAAAAAAAACAGUACGUGGGUUGGUGUUAAGCAUCAAGAGUCAAGACAUGAUAAUGGAGAGAAAGGAUAUUCAAAUUCCAGUUCUGACAACAUGAUUUUCUUUCCUGAACAACCAUGUUAUAUUUGAUCAAGAAAGAGUAGUGCAUGUGGCCAGGAUCAAGACAUACAUUAAUUUCCACAUGAUGAAGACAGUUUCUGAGAGUUUCUUCUAAAGCUCUUGCGCUAGUAGGCUUCAAGUCAAAAUUUCCCAUGUAAACACUGGAUUUUCUUUAAUUGCCACUAAGGAUACAGUUAAAAUUGACUUAAAAUCCUACGUGAUAUAUAUCUUUAACAAAAGUAUAUUGUAUAUAAUAUUUGAAAUAAUGUUGAUUCGUUGUGGAAAUAUGUUUGUAAGGAAAGUUGUUGACAAUUUAAUAUAGUAUAAGAAGAAAAAAGUUAUCAACUAGAGAUGAGUAUGUAAAGUGAGGCUCACGAUUCAACGCGUAAAUAUAAGAUAUUUUAAGGCUCAAUAGUUAUGAUAUCUAUUUUAUUUUUUGUAUCCCAUAUAUUCAAAGAUACAGUAAAAUGAUUUUAUAUAUAUGAACAUAGCCGAUAGUAUCAUGUUAAAACCUUAUAUGACUCUUUGUGCCAAUUGAUUUUUAUCUUUAUUUUGUGUAUUAGUAAUUAGUAUUAAAGUUUUUACUAACAUAAUAAUUGAUAUAAAAGCUUUUUCCAAAAGAGUCAAACAGAGCAAAACACUUAUUAUAAAAAGAAUUUUGAUUGAAGGUGGAGUCAAUUAUUCUUUAUUCAACAUGUGAUGCAUACAGCGGGUACUUCAUAACUAAAGUAUAUAAGUGCAACAUCUCUUAUACAUUCUCAUUCAAUCUCGAAAGUGGAAAAUUUUAAAAGAUUAAAUGGUUCAAAUUUUCCGUGCAUAAAGGGGAUCAUGUCACAUAACCAAACCAUGGCAUACCAAAGCCAUGAUAUGGACUAAGAAUUUUGUUAAAAUAAGUUUCUUAUUAGGGCACAUUAUGUGACUAUUUAUGACAUAUCAAAGGAGUCAAGUGCAUCAAUAAAGACAUAGAAAAUUCAUGCAUCACAUGUACCACUAAGAGAAAAUUGACUUGAUAGAGUUUAGUCCAAAUAGGAGAUUGUUAAAAGGUGCAUCAAAUUCUUGAUUGAUAUAUAUUUUUUUUAUUAGAAAGGUUAUUAUAUAGAUAUUUCAAUAGACUAUUAAUCCUUUGUAAAAAUAGUUAUAUAAUGAGGAUGGUGAUUAAAAAUAUCUCUAUCAAUAUUUUGGAUUAUAAAAAGAAAAAAAAUAUGAGAAAAUGAUAAACAUAUAAAACUUGUACAAGUAGAUAGAGAUGUGAUGAAAGACACUUGAUGAAUGGAGGCCUUGUAUUUCAAGAUGUAAAUAUAUGGAGCAAAACUCUUAAUUAUAUGAUCAAAUGAUUCUCUCAUAUUCAUGAACAUAAGCAGGAUUGGGGAACCAUGAUAGAAUCUUAUAUGCCUCUCCAUGUAGAUUGAUCGAUGUUUAUCUUCAUAUUUUACACCAAUGAAUGACAUUGAAACUCUGAUUGAUAAAAGGGAAAAAGCAUGGCCUCCACCACAAGAAAAACAAGUAACCUCGGUCUAAAUCACUAGUCUACACCCCGAAGAGAGAACUAGCCAAACCUACUAAAAGAGAAACUUACCAAUUUAGAAAGAAAUCUUCCAUGAUAAAGGGCCCCUAAAAGUCCAAUUCAGUCAGGUUGUGAACAAAAACACCUUCAUGUCAAAACAGGAAUAGGUACCACCAAAAUGUAAAGGGAAAGAUGUAAACCAAGUCGAACUUUGGUAAACAAUGGUAAAGAUAGCAUGAUAGCUAAAAGCACUAAAGCUGUGCUUGGUAUGCAAAAAUGAAAAGUGGAAAUCAGCGUCUUAUUCUUUUUCUCCUUUAUUCACAUAUUAGGAUAACUAAUAUCUAAUGUUUUUUUUAUGUCUCAAAUUCUAUUCCAUGUUAUGGUAAACUUUCAUCUUGUUUAAGUGGAAGAGUAGGAUCACUUUUGUCUGGUUUGGGCUCAAGACGAUAAGCCUAUAGAGACUUCAUAUUGGGUUGAAUUGAUGCCCUUGAUCCGAUCAGUUCGUUAGAAAAAUCUGAAUUAUUAUAAGCAUUUAGAUAAAAUAAAUAAAUAAAUGUGAAACAGAGACUAUUCUCUGCACAACCUUGACCCUAGUUACUCAGUUUCACUGCUCACGGGACUAACCUCUCCAUUCAGUCGAAAUGAAUUGUAAUUUCUUUACUGGUAGCAGUAGUACUUUUCAUAGCAAAGAUAAUAGUAAAUAUGAAAUAUAAAUAUAUAGAAGGAAAUCUGGAUUGUAGAUAGCACCAUAAGUAACACUCAAUAUUUACUACAUAAUAAAAGAGAUAGUGUUACAAAGGUAGAGAAACCUACAAUGAGUACUCAUCACCAUUCUCAAACAGAAACAUAGCAGUGACUUAUACAUAGAACCUAUAGGCUCGCAGGGAAAGAGUAACAUGAUAAGUGCACAGCGGGUAGCAGCUCUUAUUUUACGUAUUACUCAAAAUCUCAAACUAACCAAAGUCACUCAGUUGGGAUGGGUAGGAGAUGGUGGUUUGUGGGGUGGCUUCUGGGUAGGAGCUGGUGGCUUCUUUGUUGGAGUUGAAGGAGGCGUAAUCUUCUGAGGUGGCUUGUAUGAGUCUUUGGCACUCUCUGCAGGAGGGUGCCCAGGGUUGUGACCGGAAGGAGGUGGCUUCUGUCCCUUUGGUGGUUUGCCUAAUGGGCUUGGUGGCUUGUGCUCCGGGAGUUGUUUCUCUCCCUCGAGUAGGUUUCGAGUUUUGUCAGAUGGCUUGUGUUCUGGUGGUGGCUUCUCUCCCUGGGGUGGUUUGCCGAAUGGGCUUGGUGGCUUGUGUUCGGGGAGUGGCUUCUCUCCCUUGGCAGGUUCAGUUGGUGGCUGGUGCUCCGUAGGUGGUUUCUUCACCGCCGGCUUCUCUCCCUGGAGAAGGUUACGAGUUUUGUCAGAUGGCUUCUGUUCUGGUGGCGGCUUCUCUCCCUGGGGUGGUUUGCCAAAUGGGCUUGGUGGCUUGUGUUCGGGAACUGGCUUCUCUCCCUUGGCAGGUUCAGUUAGUGGCUGGUGUUCCGUAGGUGGUUUCUUCACCGGCGGCUUGUGCUCCGGAAGCGGCUUCUCUACCUGGAGAAGCUUACGAGUUUUGUCAGAUGGCUUGUGUUGUGGUGGUGGCUUCUCUCCCUGGGGUGGUUUGCCAAAUGGACUUGGUGGCUUGUGUUCGGGGAGUGGCUUCUCUCCAUUGGGAGGUUUAGUUGGUGGUUGGUGUUCCGUAGGUGGUUUCUGAAGUGGGGGAUGCUUGGGGUAGUCAGCAAGAGACGAGGUAGUGAGAACCACCAGUCCCAGCAGCAAUACUAGCAAGGAUGUGGAAGACAUCUUUGAGUUCAGGCUGAGAUUUGUGCAAGGCUAGAAGAAUUAGGUGGCCUUUUAUAGCGGGCUGGACCCAACAACCAAAUGACACGUAUCAUGAUACACAUAUGUGUUAUAAGAUCCUUGUGGGUCCUACAGAAGUUGAAAACUUUGACAAUUGAGGUGUGAUUACAACUUUUGUCCCUAUUGCUUUCUCGUCAGCCGUUUUGCAAGAUUUUUGACAGGAGGACGGUAGUUUAAAAUAAUAAUUUCUAAAGUACUUUUGUGAAAAAAAAUAAUUCCAAACGUGGAUUUUAUCAAGUAAAAAAAACAAAAAAAAGUUAUUUUCUUUUAAAAUCUUUUCUUCAUGAUUCAUAUACCAAAAAAAGAAUUGUUUUCUGUAGGUAAAAUUUUUAAAAUUCAUUUUUAAAAAAAAAAAAUUACACACUAAAAUUAUCUCUUCAAGAAAAUAUUUUUUAAAUUUUAAAUAAUUAUUAAUUUAUAAUUAAUUUUUUAUUAAUUAUUUAUUAAAUUUAUAUGUGAAAAAUGCAUUUAUAAAAAACAAAUUUUUUAUUAAUUUAUUAAAUAAUUAUUUACAAAAUAAAUAAUUUUGCUUUAUUUUAAUUUUAAAAUUAAUUUUAUUAUAUAAAUUUUAAAAUUAAAAAUAUUAAUAUUUAAUUUAAAAUUUAACUAUAAAAGGAAUAAAAUAUAGAAAAAUAAAUUAAUUUAUUAUUCAAUAAAUUAAUUUUCAAUAAAAUUUUCAGCAUUAAGAGAUAAAUUUUUAAGUAUUAAUCAAUUUAAAAAAUAAUAAUAAUCAUUUGUAUACUAAGAUAUUUUAUUUAGUAAUUAUGAAUGAUAAACAACUAAAGUAAUUUGAAAAAAUAAUAAAAUAUUUAAAAAUAAUAAUUUAAUACACUUAAAAUUAGAAAUGAUUAACUAUUUUUUAUUAAGAAAAAAUUGAAGAAAUAUUUUGUUAUUUAAAAUUUUUUAUUUGUUUUCAAUUUUAAAUGUUAUAGGUUUCAAGAAAAUUGAUCAAAUAAAAAUUAAGAAGUCAUUUUUUCAAAAACUAUAUAUCUAAAUAAAAGCCUUGAAAUUCAAAUACACAAUAUCAUAAAUAUAAACACCAAGUCAAUCCUUAAUUAUCAAAUGUUUUUAAUAUUAAAGAAUCAAAAUCACCUACUAUCAUGAUAAUAAGAAAACCAAUAAUAUUGUUCAUAUAAAUACUAAAAAGCUAACAAAUAUCCCAAACAAUUAAUAAAGUAUCAAACAUGAUAAAAAGUCAAUUAUUAUCAUGAAUGCAAAAAAUCAAUAAUUUUGUUUAUAUGAACCAUCAACAAAGAAAAAAAAAAUCAAUAUCUAAAUAUUAAACAUAAUUUAUAUUUUUAUAAAUAUUAUUGUUGAUAAAUAUCUUAAUAAUUAUAAUUUUUUAUAUAUUAAAUUUAGUAAAUAAAAUUAAUUAAUUUUAUAAUAUAAGAUAUAUAUAAUAAUUAAGAGACUAUUUGUCCCAAACAAUUUAUUUAUUUUUUUUUUAGGAAAUUGUCUCUUCAAGAGACGACUUCUCCCAACAUUUUUAAAAAAAAAAAAAAAAACAUCUAUUCAAAAGACGAUUUCUCCUCAUUUUUUAAAAAUGAAUUUUAGAAAUCAUAUUUUCAAAAAUGAAUUUUAGAAAUCAUAUUUUCAAAAGACGAUUUUUUUUUAUAUAAAUUAUUUUUUAAAAUGACGAUUUUAAAAGGAAAUAACGAUCUCUCUCCUACUUGGCAAAAACUAUGGUAAAUUUGGAAUUAUUUCUUCCACAACCAUAGUUUAAGAAUUAUUUUUUUAUACUUUCGUAGACUUAUCAAAAAUCCCUAUUUUGCAUGUCUCAUUUGGCAUGACUUUCUUACCUAAACAAGCAUAUAUAUAUAUAUAUAUAUAUAUAUCACUUUUGUCUGGGUUGAGUCAAUGCCCUUAACUAAUUUGUUCAUUUGAAUAGUCUAAAUUAUUAUAAGCUUUUAGUUAAGAAAAAUGUGAAACAUAAAUUACACCUCUCGGCACAACUUCGACACUGGUUACUCUGUUUCAGUUUAUUCACACAAGAUUAUUGGUUCUAGGGUUUAUUUGGUUUUGGUUUGAUUCUAAUUGCUAAACUUUCUCAAGGAAGAUGUUAUAUAGGGAGUGAGAAACCUUCACUCCUGGCUACCUCCAAGAGAAGAGCAAGUGGUCUGAAUCAAAGAUAUACUGCUCACUUUUUCUUCUUCUAAGGACAGCUAUGACCUUGCUUUAAAAUGUUCGAAUAGCCUAAUGCAACCUCCCAUUUCUCAAGUCAGCUGAUGAUGUAAGUCACCUUGGCUUUCCACAUUCAUACGGUGAGGACGUUUGUGGGUGUAAUUCUCUUAACAGUUUUCAUUUUAUAUGGAAAAAUUCAUAAUUAAGGGUAAUUACUGAUUCCAUUUGACAGUGACCAAGUUUAAAAUAUUAACUCAUGUAUUAAAUGCACAUUAAAAAAUCAUGGAAUAAAUAUAUUUACUAAUAUAUAGUUCUUUUGUCAUGUUCUGUCACAGAAGCAUCGAACUUUCCCUAGAAAUUUUUGCAUGGUAUUCUGCUUAUGAUUUUGAAAACUCUAGGCACCUAAGGCCACUGAUUGCAUGGUUGGAUGAGGAGCUGCAUGAGAUUAUGUAUCCUGUUGCUCCUUAACUACAAAUAUCAGUUUUAAGUAGCAUCUCCAUGUGACAUUUUCCUGAUGCAAUUUCGCUGUCCACCAACAAAUGUCUCCAUGCAGCUAGAUGAAUUGUAAUUUCUUUGUUGUUAUCAACAGCUUUAAUUAAUCUUGAUAUAUAUAUAACUUAGUAGAAGUAAUUAAUCUAGAUUGUAGUUGCACUAAGAUAAUAGGCAAUAUUAUAACAGUGCCACAAUGCUCAUCGCCAAAUAGAAAGGUAGAAAAACUACAAUGAGUAACUCACACAACAUUCUCAAACAGGACAUAGCGGCGACUGAUACAUAGAACACUAUUGGCACUCAGGAAAUGAUAAGAUCAGUGCCCAGCAGGCAGCACGUCUUAUUUUACAUACUACUUAAAACUAACCAAAGUCAUUCAGUUGGGAUGGGUGGGAGAUGGUGGUUUGUGCGGUGGCUUCUUUCCUGGAACUGGUGGUUUUUUUGUUGGAGUUGAAGGAGGCUUAAUCGUCUGAGGUGGCUUGUAUGAGUCUUCAGCACUCUCUGCAAGAGGGUGCCCAGGGUUGUGACCAUAAUGAGGUGGCUUCUCUCCCUUAGGUGGUUUGCCAAGUGGGCUGGCUGGCUUGUGCUCCGGGAGCGGCUUCUCUCCCUUAGGUGGUUUGCCAAAUGGGCUUGCUGGCUUGUGCUCUGGGAGCGGCUUCUCUCCCCCAAGAAGUUUGCGGGUUUUGUCAGAUGGCUUGUGUUCUGGUGGUGGCUUCUCUCCUUGGGGUGGUUUGCCAAAUGGACUUGGUGGCUUGUGUUCGGGGAGUGGCUCCUCUCCCUUGGGAGGUUUAGUUGGUGGCUGGUGUUCCGUAGGUGGUUUCUCAACCGGGGGCUGGUGCUCCGUAGGUGGUUUAUGAACUGGGGGAUGCUUGGGGUAGUCAGCAAGAGACGGGGUGGUGAGAACCACCAGUCCCAGCAGCAACACUAGCAAGUAUGUGGAUGACAUCUUUGAGUUCAGGCUGAGAUUUGUGCAAGACUAGAAGAAUUAGGUGGCCUUUUAUAGCUGGCUGCACCCAACACUCACAUGACACGUAUCACGGUGACACAUGUGCUAUGGGAUCCAUUUGGGUCCUACAGAAGUUGAAAACUUUUGACUAUUGAGGUGUGAUCACAACUUUUGUCCCUAUUGCUUUCUCCGCAACCGUUUUACAUGUUUCCUUUGUGGUGUUUAAUAGUGUUUUUUUCCUUAAUUCUAAAUAAACCUUAAUACUUAAUAAUGUUAAAUAUUAGGUUAUUUAUUUUUAUAAUAUUUUAUUUAUAUUAAGUAUUAAAAAGUAAAGAAAAAUCAAUAUAUUUAUUUUUCUAUUUAGAAAAAACUAUAUAUUUUUAAUUUUUUUAUUUAAUAAAAAAUUUAUAAUAAAUCAUGAAAAAAUAGAAAAACAAACAACCUAAAUUUUAAAAAUAAAUUGUUUUUAGUAAAAACCCAAAAAAACAAACACCACCUUAACUAAACAAAUAUAUAUUAUAUUUAGUUAAGAAAGAGUAAAGUGUAUAUGGCUCAAAUCAAGGAAGAGAAACAGAAUAAGUGGAAGACAAUCAAUUGUGAUAAACAGAUAUAUUACAUGCAUGUAGUACUAGUGACUUUAUCAUUUACUUUUAUACAAUAGAUCAUCACACUCUUUCUUCUAAAUAUUUUGGAGGAUAAUGGUACAUGUUGCUUGUUGCCAAGUCAAAAUUGGUGGCAAAAAUCGGCAUGAUACGAAAGGAUUGGUGAAAAGAUUCACAUAGAUGGUGCUUUGUGCAAUGCAGUCUUGCUCUAAUUCAACAGAGUGGACCAUGGUGAUGUAUUUUAAAUUUUAAAUUUUAAAUUAAUGCAUGCUUCAAAGUUUUAACUAGAUGUCACUUCCAUGGAUUUUUGUUCAUUUAAUUGAGAACAGGAUAGGCUAUCAAACUUGAAGUAAUAUAAAAAUCCCUUCAUUACUGUAACUAAUGAAAGAUCAUUAUCUGCGCUUGGUAUUUUGCCAAGGUAUUUGCUGCUCUUUCUAGCCCUAUCUUACAGUUAAGGACAAUGUGAUCUAGUUAACCUUAGAAGCUAUUCCAUGUCAUAUACAAGAGAUCAAGCACAUUAUCUUUGGGCUCAGUUCAAAACUAUAAUAUAUGGGUGGGGUGGGGGCCUAUACCAUUUGCAUAUCACCACUAUUGGUUUAGUUUGGAAGGUUUCUUCUGGAAGAUUGCUUUCUGGAAACAUUUCAAAGAAAUAUAUCUUUUUGUUCUCUUGGUGACGAGCAGCGGCAAUCAAGUCUGUUGACAAACAACCGAGUUGAAAAGUUUGAAAAUUGGUCACAGCCCACGUCCAUGGUUAAGGAAAAGGUCACUGGAAGUGAUCCCUUCUGGGCCUGUUGGAAGCAGGGGAGGUUAACACACCAAGCAACAAAGAACAGAGAUAUGCUGCUACUGAUCUAUAUUUUUUAUUUGAUCAUAAGGCUAAAUUUAUACAGAUUGUGUAACAGAUAUGACCUCAAAAAAAAGCAUCAAAUCAAGCUACUUGUUGAACAAACAACUACCUUCUACAAAAUAACAUCAAAAUUUAACUUAAAAGCAAAAACAUAAAAAUAGCAACAGCAAAAAUAGAAACAUAAAAAUAGCUUCAGCAUUCUAGUAAUCUCGUUGACUUCAAUUGCAUGUGGUUGACGAUUUCAGCCUUUUCCUCAGCAGCUACUAAGGCAUAACUCUCAACACUCCUCCUUGACUUAGGAGGUGCAAACUCCAAGUCUUUCUCAUAGAAACUCAAAUCUUAUUUUAGGAAGAGCUUUAGUCAGAAUAUCUACAUUUUGACUGUCUGUAUUGCAGUAGACUAGUUGUAUAUCUCCUUCUUUCUGUACUUCCCUCAAAAAUUACAAUUUAAUCUUGAAGUGCUUUGUUUUACCAUGAAAAACUGGAUCAUUUGCAAUAGAUAUAGUGGCCUGGUUGUCUACAAACACCUUUGUACUCACUUCUUGCUUCAUAUCCAAAUCUGUCAGCAACUUUCCAAGCCAUAAGGCUUGAUUUACAGCUGUAACAGCAGCAAUAUACUCUGCCUCAGCUGUGGAUUGAGCCACGACUUCUUGCUUCCUUGAACUCCAUGAAAAAACACCAGAACCAAAACUAAAACAAUAGCCUGAAGUACUUCUCAUAUCGUCAACACAACCAGCCCAAUCACUAUCAGAAAAUCCAUGAAAAUUGAAACUUUGAACUUGACUGAACUUAAUGCCAUAAUCCACAGUGCCUUUAACAUUUCUUAUCACACGCUUUGCUGCCUGGAAAUGAAUUUCACUAGCACAAUGCAUGUAUCUCGAAAGUAGACUUACAGCAUGCAUUAUAUCGAGUCUUGUUGCAGUCAAGUACAUUAAGCAUCCAAUCAUGCUUCGAUAAAGUCCUUCAUCUACCUUUUUAGCACCGUCCUCCUUACAGAACUUCUCUUUCUGGUUCAUAGGGGUAGAUGUAGGUUUGCAUUCCUCCAUUUUGAAUUUCUUCAUAAUUUCUUUGGCAUAUUUUUGUUGGCAGAUGAAAAUCUCAUUCUGCUUCUGGUGUACUUCCAUUCCCAAGAAGUAAGACAUCUCAUCUAGGUCUGUCAUCUCAAAAACCUGCUCCAUUUCAGCCUUGAAUUUGUUCACAAACCCUGCAUUACUUCCUGUUACAAGCAAAUCAUCAACAUAUAGAGAAACAAUUAAUAUAUCUUCUUCAAUCUUCUUAAUGUAGAGUGUAAAUUCACUCAAGCUCUUGUGAAAGCCUAAAGUUAGCAGGUGAGUGUCAAUCCUGCUGUACCAAGCUCUAGGGGCUUGUCUUAACCCAUACAAGGCCUUCUUAAGAAGGUAUACUUUUUCUUCUUUUCCUUUGAUAGCAAAACCUUCUGGUUGUUCGACAAAAAUCUCUUCCUCUAAGUAGCCAUUCAAAAAUGCUGACUUCACAUCUAGUUGAUAAAUCUUCCAUUUUCUUUGAGCUACAAGAGCCAACAACAUCCUGAUUGUAUCCAAACGAGCUACUGGUGCAAAGGUUUCCGAAAAGUCAACACCAAACAUUUGUGCAUACCCUUUGACAACCAGCCUUGCUUUAUGUUUGUUUAUAGAACCAUCAGAGUUGAGUUUGGUUCUGUAAACCCACUUAACCCCAAUAGGUUUUUUGUGUGAAGGUCUAUCUACUAGCUCCCAAGUGUUGUUCUUGUCAAUCAUAUCUAGCUCCUCCUGCAUUGCAACCCUCCAUCUUUUAUUUUCAGCAGCUUCAACAAACCCUGCAAGUUCAAGAACAGCUAUAUUACACCUUUGAUAAAUAUCAAAAAGUGUCAUGAAACCUCUAACUGGAAGUUCAUCAACAUCUUCAUCAAUAUAUUGCUGAUUCUGCUCAUCCCAACUCCAUUUCUCCGUUUCCAAAAACUUAACAUCUCUACUUACCACAAUUUUACUAUUUUGUGGCAAGUAGAUUCUGUAAGCUUUUGAGGUGCUGUUGUAUCCAAUGAAAAUUCCUGGUUCUGACUUUUUAUCUAGCUUGUCUCUUUUCACCUGAGGAACAUAAGAGAAACACAAGCAACCAAAGGUCUUUAAAUUCAUUAGCAUAGGCUUAUAAGCAAACCAGGCCUCAAAAGGUGUCUGUUUCUGCAAUGCUUUUGUUGGUAGUCUAUUUAGCAAAAAUACUACUGUAUUUGCAGCUUCAACCCAAAAACUUUUUGGCAGCUCUUUCUCAUGCAAAAGACAUCUUGUCAUUGAUUACUACUCAAAAAGUGCUAUUUGAUAGCCUUUAAUUAAUCCUUUUUAACACUUUUGAGUAGUAGUUUAGGCCUUUUAACUCAAUUGGCAUGUUAAGGAUCCUUUAAAGCAAUUUUGAUCACUUUGUGCAAGUUUUGGUGUUUUUGUUAGUAUUUCGAUCACCAAAGCAAGUCAAGAAUGAGGAGAGCUAUGAGGAAUCUUGGGCAAAGCUUAGAAUUCAAUUGCCAAGAGUGAAUCCGGAUUGCAAGGAGAAAAAGCAAAGAGGAUCAGUCAUGGAGCAUAUUCUUGAUGACAGUCGUAGCAGCCACUUUUGGAUCACUUUCUGAAGUCCAAAUGAUGCAAGCUAUAUACCAUUUCAAAGCUCAGGAAGUCAACAAUCCAAUGCUUCAAACGGUGUGCGAUUCGGAAUUGAAACGAAGAAGUUGCAGCCAUUACAAGCCAGACACUCUAAAGUGUUGCGGAAUCAGCCAUGUGUUGCGAGAAUUUCGCAGCACUUUUGUACAGUAAGGUGUUUCUCCUUCUAACGAUGCACGAACCAUGCCGCGAGAAGGGAGCUGGAAACUUCAAGAUGGAAGCCAACUUUGCAGCCUAGUGAAGAUAGCUCGGUCUUGCAAGAUAAUUUCGCAGCCCUCUUGGGUGUCUGCGAAAUUUCGCAGGCCUCAUUUUUCACCUGCGAAAUGGCUCUUGAAGCCUCCCGAAGCUUGCUACCGACAUUGGGAGAUAUUUUCCAUUAGAUUUUUGUUGUCUAAAUCCCAAAAUACUCCUUGUAAACCACCAAUUACAUGAUUCCUUAGUUUUUAAGUUAGUAAAAAGACCAAAUAUCUUUGUAACAAUUAGUUUUAUAUUUUGUUGUUAUAAAUACCUCUCGGGAGCCUGUUCUCAGGGAGGAGUUCCUUCUGUAAACGUUUGGUAAGCAAGUAAAGUCUAUUUUCUUUCUACUGCCUUACCUUCUCACUUUGUAUUUUCAUUUUAUUUCUAAGUUAUGAAUUCUCUGAGGAGUUUUCCCCAAAGAAUGAGUAACUAAACCUCCAAUUCCUUGGAGCUAAGGUUGCCGGGGAAGGUUCCAAGUGCAAGAAUGCAAAGCUCUGUGGUUUUAGCUAGUAAUGAAGAGGAAGUGAAAUCCUUUAGUGAUUUCAAUGUUUUUAGUUAACUUAAAACACUUUGGAGUCACCUGGGCCAACACUUGGUAAGGCAAGUGAUUUCCAACCAUGGAAAUGCACUAGUUUACCCCUUGCGAGCCUCUGGUAGGUGACUUCAAGGUAGGAUUUUCUGGAAUUACCAACACUUGGUAAGCUUUUGGACUCCUAGGAGACAUCCAUUAGUUAUCUCUUGCGAGUUUGUGAAGGGAAUCCAAGGUUAAAGAUCACCUUGAAUGGUAAGUGCUCGUGAGAGGCAUGAACCAUUGCAAGUUGUAUCAGUGAGAGAAUUAAAGUGAAAUCUAAUUGAAGGAGUCUUUGUACAUCACCGGUUAGAGAAUUGACUAUAAGUUGAAUCUCUAAUGCGAGGAAAUGAACCAACUGACCAGAGCCGUGUCUUUUGCAUGAGGAACCACCCCAGUGAACCUAAAUCUCCAAGGAAUGUUUUUUUCUUCCUAAAUUAUUCCAAACUUCUGUUAAGUUAGUUAGUUUAAAUCUCAACCUUUACAAAUCAAAGUUUGUGUUUUAUUCCUUAAGCUAACCGUGAAAUGAAACAAGACCAAUUCACUUGGAAUUGGUAUCAUUGAUUGCCUGCAAAUCAUUCCCAGUGAACGAUCCUAGAGCCACUAUACUAUAGUAGCUUUGUAUUUGCUACCCUAGUGUAUGGUGUUAUAGGUAUAAAUUUUGUUGAUCACUUCCUCAAUCAAGGAGCACCAGCUGAACACAAAUCAGCUGAGACACCAAUUAGGCAUGAGUCAAAUGGCGCCGUUGCCGGGGAAUGAAUGUCAAGUUCAUUGUGAUACCAUUGUUGAGCACUUGUGAUUUUCAUCACAAGUUGGUAAAGUUUCUUUCACUUUACUAAUUUUCAUUCUUUCUUUGUUUAUUUACAAUCUAAGUUUAUCUUUUUAAAUUUUAGUCUAGUUUAAUUUUGUUGUUGUAGCCCUGUUUUUCUUGUUGUCCUCUGUUUUCAUUUUUUUUUUCAGGUAGAUACUAGUUGUGUAUGCCCAAGUGGAUACGAGACAUAGGAGGUAGGCUUGUUAAGUGUGAUACACCUCAGAAAGGAGAAUUUGAAGUAAUCUUGAAUAUCAUGGAGGCUGCACCUGAAGAUCAGCAUAGUCACCAAGGUCGUCAAGACAAUCUCAAUGAAUUCAGAUCAAUGAGGGACCGUAUGCAUCCACCUCGUAUGAGUACACCAUCAUGUAUAGUGCCCCCUACAGAGCAGCUAGUGAUCAGACCAUAUCUUGUUCCACUUCUACCAACUUUCCAUGGGAUGGAAAGUGAGAAUCCGUAUGCACACAUCAAGGAAUUUGAAGAUGUUUGUAAUACAUUCCAAGAAGGAGGAGCUUCAAUUGACUUGAUGAGGCUUAAGUUAUUUCCUUUUACUUUAAAGGAUAAGGCCAAAAUUUGGCUUAAUUCUUUAAGGCCAAGGAGUAUCCGCUCUUGGACUGAUUUACAAGCUGAGUUCCUUAAGAAAUUUUUUCCUACUCAUAGAACAAAUGGCUUGAAAAGGCAAAUUUCAAACUUCUCAGCUAAAGAGAAUGAGAAAUUCUAUGAGUGUUGGGAAAGAUACAUGGAAGCUAUAAAUGCUUGUCCUCACCAUGGCUUUGAUACUUGGCUAUUGGUGAGCUAUUUUUAUGAUGGUAUGUCCUCCUCAAUGAAGCAACUCCUCGAGACAAUGUGUGGAGGAGAUUUCAUGAGCAAAAAUCCAGAGGAAGCUAUGGAUUUCUUGAGCUAUGUAGCUGAUGUUUCAAGGGGAUGGGAUGAACCAACUAAAGGAGAAGUGGGAAAGAUGAAGUCUCAGUUGAAUGCUUACAAUGCAAAGGCUGGGAUGUAUAAUUUGAAAGAAGAUGAUGACAUGAAAGCAAAGUUGGCAGCUAUGACAAGAAGAUUGGAGGAGCUGGAGCUGAAAAGAAUGCAUGAAGUGCAAGCUGUUGCUGAAGCACCAGUGCAAGUGAAGCUGUGUCCCAAUUGUCAAUCAUUUGAACAUUUGGUGGAGGAGUGCCCUGCAAUUUCAGUUGAAAGGGAAAUGUAUAGAGAUCAAGCAAAUGUUGUUGGACAAUUUAGGCCCAAUAACAAUGCUCCUUAUGGAAAUACCUACAAUUCAAGUUGGAGGAAUCAUCCAAAUUUCUCAUAGAAGGCCAGAGCAACUCAAUACCAACAGCCGGAUCCACCAUCUCAGCAAUCUUCAAGUAUUGAACAAAUAAUAGCCAAUCUCAGCAAGGUAGUGGGAGAUUUUGUGGGAAAGCAAGAAGCCACCAAUGCUCGAGUUGAUCAAAGAAUGGAUAGAAUGGAGAGUGUGUUGAACAAAAGAAUGGAUGGAAUGCAAAAUGAUAUGAACCAAAAGUUUGAUAACAUCCAAUAUUCAAUUUCAAGGCUUACAAAUUUGAAUACACUGCAAGAAAAAGGAAGAUUUCCUUCUCAACCUAACCAAAAUCCCAAAGGUGUCCAUGAAGUGGAAAGCCAUGAGGGAGAAUCAUCACAGGUGAAAGAUGUGAAAGCUUUGAUCACUCUAAGGAGUGGUAAGAAAAUUGAGCAGCCAACACCCAUGCCACAUGUUGAGAAAGAAGAAGGGAUAAAGAAAGGAAAGGAAAUAGAAGAUAAAGACAGUGAGAUCAGUGAAGAAAAGAAGGACUCUGAUUCAACAAUCAAAGCAAUUCCAGAGAAAGAGCUUCUGAAGGAAGAAAUGCUGAAGAAAUCAACUUUUCCACCUUUUCCUCAAGCAUUACAGGGGAAAAAGGGGGUUAGAAAUGCAGCUGAAAUCCUUGAAGUCUUAAGACAAGUAAAAGUUAAUAUUCCACUGCUGGAUAUGAUCAAACAAGUUCCAACGUAUGCAAAAUUCCUAAAGGACUUGUGUACUAUCAAAAGAGGGGUUGACUGUAAACAAGAAAGCCUUCUUGACUGAGCAAGUAAGUGCAAUCUUACAAUGCAAGUCUCCUUUGAAGUACAAAGACCCUGGAAGUCCUACCAUUUCAGUCAUGAUUGGAGGAAAGGUAGUGGAGAAAGCCUUGCUAGACUUGGGAGCAAGUGUGAAUUUGCUUCCAUACUCUGUCUACAAGCAACUGGGACUUGGAGAGUUGAAGCCAACAGCAAUCACUUUAUCUUUGGCAGAUAGAUCAGUGAAAAUUCCAAGAGGAGUAAUUGAGGAUGUAUUGGUUCAAGUGGAUAAUUUCUACUAUCCAGUAGAUUUUGUUGUUCUUGAUACUGAUCCAACUGUAAAGGAAGCUAAUUUAGUUCCUAUCAUCCUUGGAAGGCCAUUUCUUGCAACUUCAAAUGCAAUCAUCAACUGUAGAAAUGGGCUUAUGCAACUCACUUUUGGUAACAUGACACUGGAUCUCAAUAUUUUCUAUAUGUCUAAAAAGCAAAUCACUCCUGAGGAAGAAGAAGGUCCAGAAGAGCUAUGUAUUAUUGAUACUUUGGUGGAGGAGCACUGCAAUCAGCAUAUGCAAGAUAAGUUGAAUGAAAGUCUUGUGGAUAUUGAGGAAGGUUUUUCUGAAUCUCCUAUUGGGCUUGCUACUCUACAAAGUUGGAGAAAGAUAGAAGGAAUUCUACCUUUGUUCAAUGAAAAAGAGGAGGCAACUGUUGAAGAAGAAAUUCCAAAACUCAAUUUGAAGCCUUUACCUGUGGAGCUGAAAUAUACAUAUCUUGAAGCAAAUAAUCAAUGUCCUGUUGUGAUAUCCUCAUCUCUGACCAGUCAUCAAGAGAAUUGUUUAAUGGAAGUUCUCAUGAGGUGUAAGAAGGCAAUAGGAUGGCAAAUAUCUGACUUGAAAGGCAUUAGUCCUUUAGUUUGUACUCAUCAUAUAUAUAUGGAGGAGGAAGCAAAGCCAAUUCGUCAAUUUCAAAGAAGGUUGAAUCCUCAUCUACAAGAGGUGGUGCGAGCUGAGGUGCUGAAGCUACUUCAAGCAGGAAUCAUUUACCCUAUUUCUGAUAGCCCUUGGGUGAGUCCUACUCAAGUGGUACCAAAGAAGUCAGGGAUCACAGUGAUUCAAAAUGAAAAAGGGGAAGAAAUUACUACACGCCUCACUUCAGGUUGGAGGGUGUGUAUUGAUUAUAGAAAGCUGAAUGCUGUCACCAGGAAGGAUCAUUUUCCAUUGCCAUUUAUUGAUCAAGUGCUGGAGAGAGUCUCUGGACAUCCAUUUUAUUGUUUCUUGGAUGGGUAUUCAGGCUAUUUUCAAAUUGAAAUUGAUUUGGCAGAUCAGGAAAAGACCACUUUUACAUGUCCAUUUGGAACAUUUGCUUAUAGAAGAAUGCCUUUUGGUUUAUGCAAUGCACCUGCUACAUUUCAAAGAUGUAUGUUGAGUAUUUUCAGUGAUAUGGUGGAGAGAAUUAUGGAGGUUUUCAUGGAUGACAUCACCGUAUAUGGAGGUACAUUUGAGGAGUGCUUGGUUAAUUUGGAAGCAGUUCUUCAUAGAUGCAUUGAAAAAGAUUUGGUGCUGAACUGGGAGAAAUGCCAUUUUAUGGUACGUCAAGGAAUUGUCCUUGGCCAUAUCAUCUCUGAAAGAGGCAUUGAAGUUGAUAAAGCAAAGGUGGAGCUUAUUGCCAAAUUACCAUCUCCAACAACUGUGAAAGGAGUAAGACAGUUCCUUGGCCAUGCAGGGUUCUAUAGGAGGUUUAUAAAAGGUUUUUCAAGUCUUUCAAAACCUCUUUGUGAGCUGUUAGCUAAGGAUGCUAAGUUUAUAUGGGAUGAAAGGUGUCAGCAUAGCUUUGAUCAACUGAAGAAGUUUUUAACAACAACUCCAAUAGUGAGAGCCCCUAACUGGCAAUUACCUUUUGAACUGAUGUGUGAUGCCAGUGACUUUGCUAUAGGAGCUGUGCUUGGCCAAAGAGAAGAUGGGAAGCCCUAUGUGAUUUACUAUGCAAGUAAAACACUAAAUGAAGCUCAGAGGAACUACACAACUACAGAGAAAGAAUUGUUAGCUGUGGUAUUUGCUUUGGACAAAUUUCGAGCUUAUUUAGUGGGGUCUUUCAUCAUUGUCUUCACUGACCAUUCAGCCUUGAAGUAUUUAUUGACAAAGCAAGAUGCAAAAGCAAGGUUGAUUAGAUGGAUUCUAUUGUUACAAGAGUUCGAUCUUCAAAUCAAAGAUAAGAAAGGAGUGGAGAAUGUAGUAGCUGACCACUUGUCAAGGUUAGUUAUAGCACAUAAUUCCCAUCCCUUGCCUAUCAAUGAUGAUUUUCCUGAAGAAUCACUCAUGUUCCUAGUGAAAACUCCUUGGUAUGCUCAUAUUGCUAAUUAUUUAGUAACUGGGGAAAUUCCAAGUGAGUGGAAUGCACAGGACAGGAAGCACUUCUUUGCCAAAAUUCAUGCUUAUUAUUGGGAAGAGCCCUUUCUCUUUAAGUAUUGUGCAGAUCAGAUUAUUAGGAAGUGUGUCCCUGAAGAUGAGCAGCAAGGGAUUCUAUCUCAGUGUCAUGAGAAUGCAUGUGGAGGCCACUUUGCCUCUCAGAAAACAGCCAUGAAGGUAUUACAAUCAGGGUUUACUUGGCCAUCUCUUUUCAAAGAUGCCCACAUCAUGUGUAGAAAUUGUGAUAGAUGCCAAAGGCUUGGAAAGCUAACAAAAAGAAAUCAAAUGCCUAUGAACCCCAUUCUGAUAGUUGAGAUAUUUGAUGUUUAGGGCAUUGACUUCAUGGGACCUUUCCCAAUGUCUUUUGGUAAUUCUUACAUUUUGGUGGGGGUAAAUUAUGUUUCUAAAUGGGUUGAGGCAAUCCCCUGUAAGCAAAAUGAUCACAGGGUGGUUCUCAAGUUUCUUAAAGAGAACAUUUUCUCAAGAUUUGGGGUGCCCAAGGCCAUAAUCAGUGAUGGAGGAGCUCAUUUUUGCAACAAACCUUUUGAAGCUCUGUUAUCCAAGUAUGGAGUGAAGCAUAAGGUAGCCACACCUUAUCAUCCUCAGACAUCCGGGCAAGUUGAGCUAGCUAACAGGGAAAUAAAGAACAUUUUGAUGAAAGUGGUGAAUUCCAACAGAAAAGAUUGGUCUAUUAGGCUUCAUGAUUCAUUGUGGGCAUAUAGAACAGCUUAUAAAACUAUUCUUGGGAUGUCUCCCUAUCGUCUUGUCUAUGGCAAAGCAUGCCAUCUCCCUGUGGAAGUUGAAUACAAAGCUUGGUGGGCAAUAAAGAAGCUGAAUAUGGACUUGAUCAAGGCCGGAGAAAAGAGAUUUCUAGACCUUAAUGAGAUGGAGGAAUUAAGAAAUAAUGCUUAUAUCAAUUCCAAAGUUGCAAAACAGAGGAUGAAGAAGUGGCAUGAUCAACUCAUCUCCAACAAGGAAUUUCAGGAAGGGCAAAAAGUUUUGAUGUAUGACACAAGACUCCAUAUCUUUCCUGGGAAGCUCAAAUCAAGGUGGAUUGGUCCAUUUGUUAUUCACCGAGUAUAUUCCAAUGGAGUGGUGGACUUAUUGAAUUCCAAUGGCAAGGAUAGCUUUAAAGUCAAUGGAUAUCGUCUCAAGCCGUUCAUGGAGUCAUUCAAAUCAGAAAAGGAGGCAAUCAACCUCCUUGAACCUCAAAAAGCCUAAGUGAAAAGGGUUUGCUGGACGUGGCUUUACCACAGUCCAAAAUUUUUGUAAAUUUUGUAAAUUUUCAAGUUGUUUCUAUACUUUUGAUUUUAGUUUUUGAUCUUAAAUCAUGUUUUUAGGUGUGUUUUAAUCGUUUUAAAUGAUCCCAGGUGGAAGAAAUUUCAAGGGGAUUGAAAGAAAAAAAAUCGGGUCGAAAUUGGAGCCGAAACAGAGCAAAAACAGGGGAAAAACAGAGCUCUGCGAAAUUUCGCAGGGUGAAGGAAACCUCUGCGAAAUGAGCAUUUUGUUGCGAAACCAUUCCGCAGCACUGUAGAAGCCUCUGCGAGUGUAUUUCGCAGCUGCGAAAGUGAAUUUGGCACACGAGUGCCACUUCGCAGUACAGUAGCAUCCAUUUGGCAGCUGCGAAACUCAUUGCGAAAUGGAAAAGCGUGAUUUCGCACCAAAAGUCCCAUUCCGCAGGGUAUUUCGCAAUUGCGAAAGUGGUUUUGGCACACGAGUGCCACUCCGCAGCACAGUAACAUCAAUUUCGCAGCUGCGAAACUCACUGCGAAGUUGCUGCGAAAAUGGCAAGUUGCUGCGAAAUUGGCGUUUAGUUGCGAAACUUAAACUGACCCCUGAGCUUCCGUUUUUCCUAUUUAUACCGGUCAAAAGUGCUGCGAAAAGGGUUUCAAAAAUCAGAGCACCAUUCUCGCAGCCCCUUCAUCUUCUUCGCCAAGCCACGCCGUCCGAACCUCCGGUCGUCUUCUCCGUUUAGCAGCGCCGGCCAAAGAUCGAUAUUCCAAAAUGGCACGAACGCGAGGGGCAAAAUCUUCAUCCCCUUCGAAUCGCAAAAGGAGUCUGCGAAAGGAGCCAAGUCCAGGUUCUGCUCCAGAACCUGCUCCAAAGCCUUCGCCGUCGAGACCACAACCUUCUCCAGUGAAGCCGGCGCCACUAAAGCCGCCGGCAAGACGAUAUUUGACAAGGUCAGGCGGUUGGCCAUUGAAGAAGAAGCCCAGGGUUGAGAGCUCUGAACCAAUUGAUUUGACUGAGCAAUCCCCUGAGCAGUCCCCAAAUCCUUCACCAGUUCAAACUCCAGUGCCGUCACCGGUUCCCUCGCCAAUUCCCUCACCUGAAGCAACUCCAAUUCCAUCGUCGGUACCAUCUCCGGCACCCCAAGAAAAAGCUCAGGAGCCUCAAGCGCCAAUUCCAGAGCCCCAAAUUGCAGCUGAAGCACCUCUGGAAGAAGUGAUCCGAAGGCCAAUGCUGCCCCAGCCCCCAAUCGAAGGAAACUUGGAUUGUCGAACACGGGCAUUCCAUUCUGAGCUUUGCUUCGAUUUAACAGCAUUCAGAGUGAGGCCAGAGCUUGCCCAAUCCUUCCAGCUGCUGAGGAGAUAUCAUAUGGAGCAUCUGCUAGCUCCAAGGGAUUUUUUCUAUCCCCGGGUAGUCACGGACUUCUACCAGACCAUGACAACCAAAGAAGUAAGAAAUCCAACUCUGAUCCAUUUCAUAAUUGAUGGAAGGCAUGGUAUUUUGGGAGCAAGACACAUUGCUGAAGCUCUGCAAAUUCCUUUUGAGCCAACCCAAUUCGACAAUUUUAAAGCUUGGGUAAAUCCUACUGAGUUAGAGAUGGUUCGCACACUAACCAGAGGAGCUGCAAAUCGAUCACACCUGUUGAGGGGGGAGCUACCUCCAGUGAUGUUUUUGAUUGAUGCCUUUUUGAGGCAUAAUAUCUAUCCCCUGCAGCAUUGGACCCAAAGAAGGGGAAUUCUCCUGGAAGCUUUGUACAAGAUGUCAGAAGGAUUCUUCUUUGGGCCCCAUCAUCUUAUCAUGGCAGCCCUUCUAUACUUUGAGGAAAAGGUUCACAAGAAGAAACUUCAAAGAGCAGAUUGCAUUCCACUCCUCUUCCCAAGGCUGCUAUGCCAAGUUUUGGAGCAUCUCGGAUACCCCUCUGAGCCUCAGCAGGAAAGAAAGAGAAUAUGCCGUGAGCCAUUUACUCUUGAUAAAUGGAAUAAUAUGACGGCCUACAAAAUUGAUCAGCCUGGGCAGCCUCAGCCAGCAGCAAGGAGAGCCUCCCCAAGACAUGCACCUGAAGGUAUAACACUUGCUACUCCUGCCAUCCCUCGAGCUUCACCAGCUGCACCUGCUGCAUCACAGCCAUCCACAUCAGCUGAGCCGAGGAUGGCCAUCCCUAUAUCCGAAUAUCGAGAGCUGUGCCGAGCAUUGGAGACUCUUACAGCUUCCCAGAGCAAUCUUGCUCAAGAGUUGGCAGCCAUCAAAGCAUGCCAGGAGCAGAUGUUAGCCUCUCAGGCUCAACAAGCUGCCAUCCUAAGGCAGCUUCAAGUCCAUUUCGAUCUGCCACAAGCUGUAGAGCCCUCCACUGAGACUCCACCAGAGCCACACUCUCAGCCUUCAGAGUCUCUUCCUCCAGAGCCAGAAGCCCCAACUGAUCCACCUACAGAGGAGGCGGAUCCUUCUGCUUAGCACCAUCACCCCACUCAUCAGACAUUAUAUAUAUUUGCUGUUUAUGUUUUUAUGCAUGUUUGUUUUGUUUUAGUUGAAAUGAAAUCCCAGUAUUUUGGUACUAUAUAUGGGAUUCCUUGUGAUUACUUGUCCUUAGCAUUGUACUCGAAUGAAUUGAAAGUAAUACAAGUUGAAUUUUUCUUGUUAAAAGUUAGCAUUAAAAUUCUCCUUAUUUCCUUUUCUCACAUAUUCUAUUCUUUUUGAAACAUGUGGUUUUCCCCAAUCAAUAUUCGAAUUUGAUAUCAGCAUGGAGGUACCACUUCCUCCCUUUUAUUACAGUCACUCAAAUCACAUUGAGGACAAUGCUCAGUUCGGUUGGGGGGUAUGAGGAAGGAAGUAUUCUAAAUCUUUUUGGUAUUGCAAUUAUAUUGGUUAAUUAGUUGUAGAUUUUACGUUUUACUCUUGUUACUCUAUUCUCCAUGAAUUUUGAGGAAAAAUUUUCAAAUUAAACCAAGAGAAAUUGAACUGUUGUUUUUCACUUGACUUAGAGUAUGGAUUAUGCUUACUAAAGUGGUUCAAUUGUUGAAACUUCUACUGAAAUUGAAUUGAGUUCUUCCAUUUUAAGCUAUCCACACACUGUGCACAUUAGUUUCUGAUUAUAAGAUGAAAAGCUAUUUCCCUCUUGACUUAGGAUAAUUUUGGGACUUGGUAUAUUUGACCUCAUUUGAUAAAAAUUGAAACACCCUGCAAAAGGCCAAUGAGCCUUUGAAAUAAAGAAAGAUGUUUGCUUGCCUUGAAACCCGAGCAAGGUCUGAGGGGCAUAUGGUGAAAGCCUUUAAAGCCUGGUGCCCUAAGCCUUAAUUGGUUGGGAGUCACCGACCUCAAUGCUCGUUACAAGGGUGAAUAGGUAGAGCUAGCAUAUGGUAGAUGCUUGGGUAUUAGAAAUUCAUUCUUAAAAGUCCAGGGAAAAAUCCGAGGAGUUAGUGGUUGAAAGAUCCUUAAAACUUGGUGCCCUAAACCUUAAUUGGUUGGGAGUCAUCGAUGGACCCCCAUUACAUGGACAAGUCAGAAAGAGUACCCCAUAAAGCUACUUUAAAAAAAAAAAAAAAAAAAAAAAAAAGAUGAUGAAAGUGUGUUCUUUUCUUAUUGAUUUUGGUCAGAUUGCUAAAGUGUUGAAAAGAGAUAGGUUGGGGGGGGAGACUAGUUUAGCAUAUUAUUCUCGGAAUCUAAGGAACCAAUACACAUAGAUUUUUGUGGAAGAUUGAAGUUUAGUUCUUAGAAAGUGAAAUGAUUUUAAAACUUCAGUUUGCAUAAUGCACUCCCUUGAUUGACAGUGUUUAGCAUAGGUGUUAUGACUCUUGUUGAGAUUUGGGUUUGUAUUUCUUUAAUGAUUCAUGUGAGAAGUAAAUCAUCAUGCCACUUAAGAAUUAUUUUCCUUUCAGCAUGAUGUUGUAAAUUUUAGAUUAGUUUGCUAUUUAUUUUUAUUUUUCUCUCCUUUAUUGCUAAGGGACUAGCAAUAUGUCGGUUGGGGGGAGUGAUUACUACUCAAAAAGUGCUAUUUGAUAGCCUUUAAUUAAUCCUUUUUAACACUUUUGAGUAGUAGUUUAGGCCUUUUAACUCAAUUGGCAUGUUAAGGAUCCUUUAAAGCAAUUUUGAUCACUUUGUGCAAGUUUUGGUGUUUUUGUUAGUAUUUCGAUCACCAAAGCAAGUCAAGAAUGAGGAGAGCUAUGAGGAAUCUUGGGCAAAGCUUAGAAUUCAAUUGCCAAGAGUGAAUCCGGAUUGCAAGGAGAAAAAGCAAAGAGGAUCAGUCAUGGAGCAUAUUCUUGAUGACAGUCGUAGCAGCCACUUUUGGAGCACUUUCUGAAGUCCAAAUGAUGCAAGCUAUAUACCAUUUCAAAGCUCAGGAAGUCAACAAUCCAAUGCUUCAAACGGUGUGCGAUUCGGAAUUGAAACGAAGAAGUUGCAGCCAUUACAAGCCAGACACUCUAAAGUGUUGCGGAAUCAGCCAUGUGUUGCGAGAAUUUCGCAGCACUUUUGUACAGUAAGGUGUUUCUCCUUCUAACGAUGCACGAACCAUGCCGCGAGAAGGGAGCUGGAAACUUCAAGAUGGAAGCCAACUUGGCAGCCUAGUGAAGAUAGCUCGGUCUUGCAAGAUAAUUUCGCAGCCCUCUUGGGUGUCUGCGAAAUUUCGCAGGCCUCAUUUUUCACCUGCGAAAUGGCUCCUGAAGCCUCCCGAAGCUUGCUACCGACAUUGGGAGAUAUUUUCCAUUAGAUUUUUGUUGUCUAAAUCCCAAAAUACUCCUUGUAAACCACCAAUUACAUGAUUCCUUAGUUUUUAAGUUAGUAAAAAGACCAAAUAUCUUUGUAACAAUUAGUUUUAUAUUUUGUUGUUAUAAAUACCUCUCGGGAGCCUGUUCUCAGGGAGGAGUUCCUUCUGUAAACGUUUGGUAAGCAAGUAAAGUCUAUUUUCUUUCUACUGCCUUACCUUCUCACUUUGUAUUUUCAUUUUAUUUCUAAGUUAUGAAUUCUCUGAGGAGUUUUCCCCAAAGAAUGAGUAACUAAACCUCCAAUUCCUUGGAGCUAAGGUUGCCGGGGAAGGUUCCAAGUGCAAGAAUGCAAAGCUCUGUGGUUUUAGCUAGUAAUGAAGAGGAAGUGAAAUCCUUUAGUGAUUUCAAUGUUUUUAGUUAACUUAAAACACUUUGGAGUCACCUGGGCCAACACUUGGUAAGGCAAGUGAUUUCCAACCAUGGAAAUGCACUAGUUUACCCCUUGCGAGCCUCUGGUAGGUGACUUCAAGGUAGGAUUUUCUGGAAUUACCAACACUUGGUAAGCUUUUGGACUCCUAGGAGACAUCCAUUAGUUAUCUCUUGCGAGUUUGUGAAGGGAAUCCAAGGUUAAAGAUCACCUUGAAUGGUAAGUGCUCGUGAGAGGCAUGAACCAUUGCAAGUUGUAUCAGUGAGAGAAUUAAAGUGAAAUCUAAUUGAAGGAGUCUUUGUACAUCACCGGUUAGAGAAUUGACUAUAAGUUGAAUCUCUAAUGCGAGGAAAUGAACCAACUGACCAGAGCCGUGUCUUUUGCAUGAGGAACCACCCCAGUGAACCUAAAUCUCCAAGGAAUGUUUUUUUCUUCCUAAAUUAUUCCAAACUUCUGUUAAGUUAGUUAGUUUAAAUCUCAACCUUUACAAAUCAAAGUUUGUGUUUUAUUCCUUAAGCUAACCGUGAAAUGAAACAAGACCAAUUCACUUGGAAUUGGUAUCAUUGAUUGCCUGCAAAUCAUUCCCAAUGAACGAUCCUAGAGCCACUAUACUAUAGUAGCUUUGUAUUUACUACCCUAGUGUAUGGUGUUAUAGGUAUAAAUUUUGUUGAUCACUUCCUCAAUCAAGGAGCACCAGCUGAACACAAAUCAGCUGAGACACCAAUUAGGCAUGAGUCAGUCAUCUCCAUUAUUGUUUUAUUUUUUCUUUCCACCACCCCAUUUUGUUGUGGGGUGUAUGGUGCAAUGAGCUGGUGAUCUAUGCCUGCAUCUUCACAAAAUUUGUUGAAUUUUUCUGAAGUAUAUUCUGUACCAUUAUUCGACCUUAUAACCUUGAUUCUGUAUUCACUUUGAUUUUCAACCAUGGCCUUAUAUCUCAAAAACACAUCAGCAACCUCAGCUUUGUAAGUGAGAAAAUAAAUCCAACAAAAUCUUGUGAAGUCAUCAAUAAAUGCAAUAUAGUACUUACUCCCUUUCAAAGAUGGUGUCUUUUGAGGUCCACUCACAUCUGUGUGAACCAAUUGUAGUUUCUGUGUUGAUUUCCAUGCUGCUUUUUGAGGAAAAGGAAGUCUUGUUUGCUUCCCAUAUUGAUAGGCUGCACAUAUAGGAAGUUCUUCUUCCAAAUCAGGGAGUCCUUCUACAAUCUAAUUCUUCUUCAUGUAGAGCACGGUAUUGUGGUGGAAAUGCCCUAAUCUUUUAUGCCAAAGCAUUGUAUUGUUCUCGUGUUGUGCAGCAGUAAUUUGCUCAUCUUCUAACAUAUUUAAGGCAAAACUUUUGCCUUUCAUUUUUAUGUUGAACACCUCUUUGCCUUCAGCAUCCUUGAUUAUGCAAUUUUUGUCUUCAAAACAAACUUUAAACCCUUUCUCAACAAGCUGUCCAACACUUAGCAAAUUUUGGUCAAUGUCAGGCACAAACAAAACAUCAGAAAUGAGCUUUAAACCUGUUAGGCUUUCAAUAGCUAAUGUUCUUUUACCUUUUACUGGAAUAUACUCACCAUUUCCUAUUCUAACUUUGGAAAUAGUUGUCCUAUCAAUCUCCCUAAAGCGAUCUUGAUCAUGUCAUGUGGUUUGUGCAACCACUGUCCACGAGCCAGCUUUCAGAGGUGCUACCGUUUGCAAAACAUGUUGCUGAAAAUAGUUGUUCCUCCUGGUAUUGUUCAGCUGCUACAUUGGUUUCUCCCUGCUGCUGCUGAGUUCUACAGAUCCUUUCUAUGUGUCCAUGUCUACCACAUUUGUUGCAUUUCACAUCUGGUCUCCACCAACAUUUUUGUUGAGGAUGAUUUGUUUUCUUGCAAUGAGGACAGGGUGGAUAGGUUCCAGUUUUUUUAUUGUUGUUGUUGCUUGGCUUAUUGUUGUUCUUUUUGUUCUUCCUCCUUCUUGUGUUACCUUCAUUGGUCUGUGUCUUUGCUUGAAAAGCUCCUUCUACAGAACUUCCUUGCCUCAUGAGUCUUCUUUGUUCCAAAGCUUGUAAAGCAUUUAGUAGUUCUGCCAAGGUGAUACUUGACAAAUCUUUUGUGUUUUCCAAAGAAGAAAUUGUAGCUUCAUAUUUUUCAGGAAUUGUGACAAAAUUGUUUUGAACAACUCUUUCAUCAGAAAACUCUUUACCUAGCAACCUCACCUUGUUUGCUAUGGUAAGAAGUUGUUCUGCAUAAUCUUUUAUGGUUUGAGACUCUUUCAUCCUCACCAUUUCAAAUUCUCGAAUUAGAUUCAUUACCUGCACAUUUCUGACUCUUUCAUUGCCUUGAUAUUCUUCCCGUAGAUGCUUCCAGAUUUCUGCAACAGAUUCAAGUUGCAUGAUUCUGGUGAGAAUUAAUGGUGAGACUACAGAAAAUAAGCAAGCCUUGGCCUUAGCCUUCCUCGUCUUUUUCUCCUUAUGGUUUUUCAUCUGUGACACAGUUGGAUUGGCUCCAAGUGGAGAAAUUUCAUAAUCUUCCUCUAUUGCUUCCCAGACAUCAAGAGCCUGUAGAUGAACAGUCAUCCUGACAGCCUAAGUUUGGUAAUUUUCUCCAUUGAAGACUAGUGGUGCUGCUGUGAAGCUUGCUUCUUCCAUUUCUGCAAGGUUUUCAGAUUCAGGUUUGGUAUACGGUGUUUAGGCUCACACACCUCACUGGUCCCUCAAGACAAAAAUUGCUCUGAUACCAAACUGUUGGAAGCAGGCGAGGUUAACACACCAAGCAACAGAGAACAGAGAUAUGCUGCUACUGAUCUAUAUUUUUUAUUUGAUCAUAAGGCUGAAUUUAUACAGAUUGUGUAACAUAUAUGACCUCAAAAAAAGCAUCAAAUCAAGCUACUUGUUGAACAAAAAACUACCUCCUACAAAAUAGCAUCAGAAUUUAACUUAAAAGCAAAAACAUAAUAAUAGCAACAGCAAAAACAGAAACAUAAAAAUAGCUUCAACAUUCUAGUAAUCUCAUUGACUUCAAUUGCAUGUGGUUGACGAUUUCAGCCUUUUCCUCAGCAGCUACUAAGGCAUAACUCUCAACAGGGCCUCUUAAUUUCCAUUCUGGCAUCUAUAUGACCUGAUAAAUAGAAAGAAAAAAAAACAGAAGAAAAGCGGCACCUGGGUUCAUAGUAAGCAUCAAGACAGGAUGCUGAAAGAAGGGAGAGAGGAGAUUGCAAGUCCAAUCCUGAUAAAAUAUCAACAAAGAGUAUUAAAUGGGGCCAACAUAAAGACCCAUUAAGGUCAGCAGAUGGCAUGGCAUUUUUCUCCUUAAGUUUUCCAUGAUUAGGCUUGAAGUCAAAAUUUCACAUGUAAAUUUGUAUUUCUACAUUUCCCACUGACGACACCCAACUUCAACUUGAGUUAGAAUAACAUUGUGUGAACUUAUCUGGCCCUCAAAAUUUACUGUGAAGUGCUUUCUGCGUGUGAAGAUUCAGAAAAGCACCAAGGGAACAUGUAUGGUCUGCCUUUUUCUGAUGUUAUGUUUGUCUCUAAUUCUGUUCCAUGUCAUGGUAAAUGUUCACAUUGCUUGUAUGGAACACACCAGGAUCACUUUUUCAGGUUUAGGGGGAUACAAAAGGCUUCAUAUUGGGUUCAAUGCUUUUAAUGUGUUCAUUGGACAAAUCUGAAUUAUCAUACGCAUUUAGAUAAGAACAAUAAUGUGAAACCCUAGUUACACCUCCCCUGCAUAACCCCAACCCUGCUUGCUCUAUUUCAGUUUACUCACAAGUUUUACUGGUUCUUAUAAGUCAAGAAAAGGCAACUGAUGUUGGAUCGACUCUCUUCCAUGUAAAAAAUGCAACUUUUAUACAUAUAAAAGAACUUCUUCCCCUCACCAAUGUGGGAUUUCAUAGAUUUAUUCUGGAAACACAUCAAAGGAACAUCUUUUCUCUUGGGUGACCCUAAGUGGUGAGUCAGAUCAUUUGCAUGCCAUUGAGUUGCACAGUUGGAUAAAUGCACCUGCCUCCUGGGCUCCAGAGUUAAAAGGGUGGAUCCCUGGAUUGCAACCCUCUUGGCAUCUUGGUUUCUAUUCCAACAUCCACAUGACUUGACAAAACAAAAAACAGAAUAAAAUCAGCACUAUAUUCAUGCUAAGCACCAAUACAUGAUGGAAAUCAUUGCUUAAAGAUUUGGGGUCGUUUUAGGUUUUGACUGCCUCCUACCACCUCACCUAAUGACAAGUUUUUAUGCUUACAAAUCAAAUAUCGUUCUUCAUUAUAUUAAAAUCAUUUUAAGAUUUCAGAUCCAUCUGCUAAUUAUGAUUAUGAUAACAUUUAUUCACCUGUGCUUCUCAUUUUCGACACACAAGGCAUCUAGGUUUGCAGGAUUUCCUUAUUAGAUGAGAUAAAUGAGUACGUAUGGUUAUGUAUCCAGCAUUCAUUAACCAUGGUAUGUGACAUUUAGAAUUAAGAUAGCAAGCAAACUUUCCCUGCAGCUAGAGUAAAUUGUGAUUUCUUAGCCUCUAUGAGUGGUUCCCAAAUCAAAUUAACAUAGUGAAAUAUACGUAGUCCAGUGAAAGGAAAUGUAAAUUAUAAACUAACAGCACUACACUACUGGUAACAAUCGAUACUCUCUAUAUAAUGCAAUAAACAAUGUCACAAUUGCCUACAAGCAAGGCACAAACACUAGAACAAGUAAAGCACAAACCUUUCCCAACAGUUCCCAGUGACUGAUGCAUAUCAUACCCUCAACUCACAGAAGGGGAUGAUAUCAGUGCACUGCAGCACUUAUUUUACACAUACUACCACUACUACUACUACUACUACUACUCAUUAGCCAAAGUCACUCAGUUGGGAUGAGUGUGAGGUAGAGGUUUGUGGGGUGCUAUGUGGAAAGGAGUUUGGCUUCUUCUCAGGAGAUGGUAGCUUCUUUGCAGGAGUUGAAGGAGGCUUAAUCUUCUGUGGUGGAUUGAUUGUAUGAGUCUUUGGCACUCUCUUCUCUAGUACAGGUGAAUACCCAGGGGUGCAUCCAUAAUGCGGUGGCUUCUAUCCCUUAGGUGGUUUGCCAAAUUCAAAAUCGAAGGAUUUUUUUUUUUUAAGUAUACGUAUCUUUGAAAGCUUUUAUUUUGUAUGGCAAAUGGAAUGAGAGGAGCAGUCAUAUUCUAUUUGGCCAGAGCAACAUAUCACAAAUGAACAAGCUAUUUACUGCCACACUGGGCAAAACAUACAUAAUCCUUGUACUUCAAACAUCCAUGAAUUCUCAUCAUUUUCAGGACACGUUGCAUGGUCUAUCAUUCUAUAUGUCGGCAUAGUAAGUGCAGCUAAUAAGCCUAUUCAGAGCUGAAAUUCAAAAUCUAUUCACAGGAUAAUGACCUUAUUAUUGGAUUUUGCUCACUGUCAUACACACAUAUCAGAUAAAGCCCCACAUGCUCAUAAGCUACAAGCAACCUACAAGCACUAAAAUGAGUGUUAGACGUAUGAAACAUUCCCCAAUACUAGUAGUAUUACCUGUUCCAUAGAACACUAAAUUAGAAGAGAGAAGAUGUGAGACUCCAGCUUUUCUUUCUACAUAUUACUCAUAUCAAGUUGGAAUAGUUAGGCGGUAGAGGCUUGGGGUGGCUUGUGUAGGGGACUAGGCAGCUUCUCUCAGGAGUUGAUUUCGUCUUAUUCUGGAUGUCCAGGUUUCGUCCUUUCGAAUUUCCCAUGCAAAUCAGCAUUCUCCUUGGGAAACUUCACUCCGUUGGGAAACUUGUGUGAAUCUUUGGCAUUCUCUACCAGAGAAGGCCCAGGGCAGUGACCAUAAGGUGGUGGCCUUUUUUCAGGUGGUGGCUCCUCUCCCACUGGAGGCUUGUGGUAAUCAGCAAGAGAGGCAGUGGAGAGAAUCAUCACCCCAAGGAACAGCACUAGCAAGUAUUUGUGAGCCAUAUUUGGGAUCUGAUGAUGAAGACUAGAAGAUAGGAGUUGCCUCAUAUAAUGGGUUGGAGACUAUAUCUCAAGGGGACGUGUAUUUAUGCAUAUGAUCUAUAUAGGACCAUCCUCCUAAUAUUUUCAAAAUAAUGUUAUUGUCUCUCUUGGGUGACAGUUUGAUUUGGUCUAUUUCCAUGCCACUGAGUAGAAAAGUUUGACAAUUGGCUACACCACCUACCUGGAUUACAUGGUUGAAAGUGAAGAUCAGUACAGUGUGAUCACACUUGACCUCUUGUUCCCCAUUCCAGUAUCUAAUUAACCUGACAAAAGUAAAAGGAAAGGAAAAAGGGAAAAAAUAGAAUAAUGUUCAAAUAAAAACGAGAAAAAAUAGCAUAAUGUUGAUGAAUCAUGAUAAGCAUCAAGGCAUGAUAGUGAGAGAGAGGAAAGAAGACAGUGUAAUUUGCAAUCCUGAUAAUCAUUAUAUAGCAGUAACUUUAAUCAUUUUUCUAUCACAGGGAACAUGACACUCAUCUUCCUAUGGAGAUAUUGCAUAAGUUUUUUUCUUUGUAUGUCAACACUAACCAAUGAAGCAUGUUAGCUGGUUUGAAACUGAAACUGUAGCCCUCUGUUUGGUUCUUGAAAAACUUGAGAGAAAAUGGAAGUAAAGUUAAAAGGAAAGAAAAAGUGAAAAAAAAUAAAAAUAGAUUGAAAGUUAACAAAUUAUUUUUACAUGUUCCCUCAAAUUUCUUUCACUUAUUUUUCCUUUUCUAUAUAAAGAUUAAAUGAUUUAAAAAUCAUAAAUUUCUAACUAAUUAUAACUAUAUUUGAUUUUCUUUCAUAUUUUCCAAGAUAAAGUCAGACAUGAGAAAAUCAUUUUCCUUAAAAAAGAAAUUCUUUCCUUUACAGUUUCUUAGAACCAAACCUGGCACAAAAGUCCAAAUUGGGGUUUCUCCAUGUUCCAUUUUUUAUGGCUACCUUUAUGGACCAUAUAAUAUAGAAUGUACUUCUGCAUACCUUCAAGAUCAAGCUGAACUAUAAGAAAAAGACAAGCCAUGGCCCACGGAGCAGGGAUACCAAGCUGCCUUCUCCUAGAUUAAGUUCCAAGAUUUCAGUCUUCAAACCUGCUAAAAGCUAAAGGCAUGUUUCCAGCCUGCGGCAGAUAACAUGCACUGUCCAACAAUAAAUUGCAAACACAUUCGAUGCAGUUUAUUAGUACAAUAAGAUUAAAUCCACCAAAUCUUUUACAGUUCAACCAACACUUGAACUAGUAGCUAGCUUCACUACUGGGUAAUAAUAUAUAAACCAAACUCUUGAUAGGAACCAACCUAUCGCAGAUCGAACUUCUUACAUCCACCAUGAAUUACUGAACCAAAAGAAGAAUCGAAGAGACUGCCAAGGAGGAAAGCCUUCCUAUAACUAGAUAUUUAUAUUCCAAAUUAGGGAGAGCACCCACUGCCCAGGCCUCGCCCAGCAUAAACAGAUAGUAUACAUAUACAUGCAAAAAGCUCCAACCUUCAAGAUUUUAACUAUUAACUUAACACAAUUAAAAAUGUAUCCAAAAAGCAAAUCCCCUUGAACUCCUGAAGCAAUUACUCCAACCAAAUAAAGAUUUUAAGAGUUCCAUGUUCAUAUCCUGCAAGGAAAUCAUUCAAUGUUCAGACCUCUAAUUUCUGUCUUUCUAAAUGCCCAGCCAAAAGGCAUAAAGUAUCAUCCAAAUUGGAUGCACAGCAUAUGUUCUUAAAUCAUGGGAUUUCACCAUAAGUUACUACACUCUAACAGGGCCCAGAAAUUGACCUCCAGAUAUGCCUAUCAAAAAAUUAUCCCCACAUACAUUUUUCUGCUGAAAAGACAAUAUUGUUACAUUUGACAUUCAACCACUACUUGAACUCAACAACCAGGGAAAAGAAUAUAGUAUUUCUACCAAUGAGGAUGAGAGGGGCUGGUGAAUUAACAGGUAAAAGUUUGUUUUGGGUUCAUUGUUUGCAUAAUAAUGUAAAAAUGGAGUAGUAUAUUAUAAAUUAAUGUAAAAAUGGAUUAGCAUAACAUAAAUUGCCAUAAGAGAACCACAAACUACAAAGAAACUUAUUUUCCAAACAAGGAAAAUUAUUCAUAGCCAUUAUUACAUAAGAAAGGAAAUUGAUAAAAUUAUUAUCCAGUUCCCCAUCAGGAAAUAUGAAAGUACUCCUAAAAGCCUCAAUUCUAACCAGAAAACCAUAGAAAUGUAUUAGAAAUAUUGUACAGGGUUCUCUCCAAUAUUAGCUUCAGUUGCUAAGGAGAUCAGAACCUUGAAAGUAAGUCACAAAGGUCGUGUGGGUUUCCCAGAGUCUUCAACAACCAGUAUUCACAUAUGUACACAUUAAAAUUAAAUAAAGCAGGUAUCAAUUCCACAGGCUUUAAGAUUUGAAUUGCUUCUCCCUGGAAUCAUACACCACUCAUAUUGUCACUGACUUUCAAUUACUUCUCCCUGCGAUCAUAUGCCACUCAUAUUGUCACUGCCUUAGGGAACAAAGUGAAAAUCUGCAAUUUCAAUUAAUUCCAACAUAAAAAUAAAAAUCAAUCCUCAAAAAAUGGAUUGCCAGGAGGUAAAUAUAAUAGAAGACGAACAACUCUCACAACCAAGUUAAAGAAACCAGCCGCUAGGUACCUUUGAGUUCUAUACUACCAGGAACAAAUUGGAUGAGAUUAUUUAAAGGCUAUUCCACAGUGGAAAUUCAUUCGUUCAAAAAACAUUUGUCAUGCAUAUAGGCAAUCUAUCCUAUGCAUUCAUACAUCAUGGUCUCAUGCAAUCUUAAUAAAAGUGGUCCUGGAAAAAGAGAGAAAAAAGUAAUUACAAGCCUGUGCGACCAGAUUUCUUUUGUUUUUUUUUUUUUUUUCCUUUGCCAAACAACCAUGUUCAUAGUUUCAGAAGUUCAUUCUGUCUUUAAGAGACCAUGGCAGUGACUUGGCCAUUCAGCUAAGANNNNNNNNNNNNNNNNNNNNNNNNNNNNNNNNNNNNNNNNNNNNNNNNNNNNNNNNNNNNNNNNNNNNNNNNNNNNNNNNNNNNNNNNNNNNNNNNNNNNUCACCAAGGACUCCUCAACCUCAAAAUAAUAGAGAAAGUCUAGGACACCAUGUCACUACUGAGGACAACCCAACACCACAACAUUUCAGUCCGUUCAAAAAGAGUAAUUGGAAUUGUUGCAAAAAAUGUUCAACUAGUCCCAACAGGAGGCAAAUUCCUCCAUUUCUUCAUCGGGUCCGGAUCCUUUGCUCAAAAAGGUAAUUUUCUUACUGCCCUAAAAGAAAAAGGGAAAAUGUGAGUCAUUGGAUUGUUGACUCAGGAGCUUUUGAUCACAUGACUAGAGUGCCACAAUUUUUCAAAAUUAUACACCUUGUUUUGGGGAUGAUACAAUUCGUAUGGCUGAUGGUUCUCUCUCAAAGGUGACUGGUACAAGUUUUAUUGUCAUCUCUAAGGACCUAACUCUUGACUCUAUUCUUUUGGUUCCAAACUUGGAUUGCAAUCUAUUGUCCAUUAGUAAACUCACUUAUGAAAAGAACUAUGUUACUAAAUUUUUCCCAAACCAUUGUGUUUUUUAGAAUUUGAAUUCGGGGAAGACGAUUGGCAAUGUUGAAGUGUGUUUAGGACUCUAUGCCUUCAAAGUGAAUUAUUAUAUUGAAAGACAAUCUUAACCAACAGUUGGUGAAAAAUGGUGUCUUUUUGUCUUUAGUUCUAAUAAAGAUAGUGAUGUUAUGUUAUAGCACUAUUGUCUAGGACAUCCUAGUUUCUUAUAUCUCAAAAAACUCUUUCCAUGGUUUUCAGUGUGAAAUUUGUCAACUAUCCAAGCAUCUUUGCAAGCCCUAUCCAUAGUUUUAAAAGACUUAAGGCACACCAAGACGCAAAGUCCUCUUGGAGCCUUAGGCGCAAGGCACACCUAAGGCGCGAACUUUAGUAAAGUGAGGUGCAUCCUGUUUUACAUAUAUAUUUUUAUAUAAUACAAUCAAGUGCCCGAAAAUUUUCCUCUAAUUUUCCCCUUCUUCUUCAUCCUCUUCUCUUCUUCACAUUGUUCGGGAGGCUAGGACAUUUUUUUUUUUUUACAUGUCUAAAACAAGCAUAUAUUGGGUUUUGGAAGAAGAACAAGCCAAAAUGACAUCGUUUUGGAGCCUAAUCUUUUAAAUAAAUAAAUAAAUAAAUAAAAACCAGCCAAAAAUGACACCGUUUUGGCCCCUGUUCUUUUAAAAGAACAAACCAAACAACGUCAUUUUGAUCUCAGGAAAUUAAAAAAACAAAACCCUCGUCAUUCUCCCUUUGCUACUCUACAACUCAUCGUCAAAGGGUAAAAAGAUGACCAAAAGAAGAAGAAGAAAAAAAAAAAACGACGACAGAGGAUAGAGGUGCACCUGUUGAGGGCGUUGCGCCUAGCCAAGAGGCGAGCGCCUUGCACACUUAAUCAACGCCUCUGUGAAGGGGCGGCUCCUGCAAUCAGGCGAAGCGCUGAAGGGUGAUGUCACAUCGUCUAGAGCCUAGGCGCACCUUUCACAACUAUGACCCUAUCCAACUCAACCAUACAAACCAUCUCAUCUUUUUUCCAUACAUAGUGAUGUUUGGAGGUCAUCUAAAAUAAAGAACAUAACAGGGACUAGAUGGUUGAUGAUCAUACUAGAAUUUCUUAGAUAUUUCUAAUGAAAAAAAAAUCAAAAAUUAGUCAAAUUUUCUAAAAGUGGACCAGAAUUUCUUUAUUGAAUUAAAAAGUUGAAAUUAAUAUUUUGGAAAAGUUAGGGCCGCUCAAGAGGUAGAAAUAGCGCUCGAGUGGUAGAAAUAGCGCUCGAGUGGUAGAAAUAGCCCUCAAGUGGUAGAAAUAGCGCUCAAGCGCUAGGACCGCUCAAGCACUUAACUAGCGCUUGAGCGCUCAUAUAGAAUCUGCCAGAAUAUGGAAGAAUAUUUUUUGGAUAAUCAUGAAAAUUGGAUUUGGAAACUUUAGAAUAUCAAUCUCCUUCGGCCUAGAGGUUUAUAUAAACCCUAUUAUAACCCUUUAGGGUUAAGAAAUUCACCAAGUGGUUUACCCUAACUUGUCAUACCAUUCCCGAUCUCUCAUCAAGGAAUCAAAGUGUUUAAUCUUGGGUUGUUUGAAGACCUGCAUCCCUUCAACAAGGCUAAGGUGUAUUCACUAGAACAAUUGAAAUUGUUGCAUUGCGGACAUGAAUCAAGUUGCAGGUUCUAGAGAGUAAGUCUUUAGAAUAAAGCAGACAAAGAGUUCUAUGUGACUUUAUCUCAUAUAGUGGAUUUAGCUUUGAGGUCUUAGACCUCGUGGGUUUUUAUCUCCAUAGUUAGUGUGGGGGUUUUCCACAUAAAAAUUAUUGUGUCUCUUGAUCUUAUGUUUGAUUUUAGAUAUUCUAUUUAUCCCUGAUAUCUCACAGGUUAACUUUAGGUUAAAAAUUCAACUCCCUAUUUAAUAAUUUUUAAAAUACACCCAUUCACGAGUGUUAUCCUACUGGACAUUGGUUUUUCACCAUAUAUAACACUCAUACCAAAACCCAUGCAACAUGGACUCCAACCUUAAGCUUAACUUUCUACGAAUGGAAAAAAAAAAAGACAUAACAUAAAUAGACAGAUUUAACAACAUGCUCCUAAUCAAGGUGAAUGUCCCUCUUUUUGAAAGAUAUGACCUUUUCCAUACGAGGAGCUUUCUUUAAAAUUUCACCUCUACCAAUUCCCAUGCCUUUACAAAGUUGUGGAAAGCUCCAAAGAGAAGGCCCAGACAUGUAAUGGGUAGAUUCCCUACCUUAGAACCUUACACCAAAGCUAAACCCCUAAUAUUUGUGACUUCUAUAAGAAUCAAUUCAUUUUUUUCCAUAUUUAUUUCUAAAUCAGACAUUGCCUCAAACCACAUGAAGUUAUAACUUGGAUGUUACAGAUGCUCUUAAUUAGUGUCACAAAAAAAUAGGGUAUCAUCAUCAAACAAGAAAUGUGACACUUCCAUCCCCUCCUCCUGUCUUCCUCCCACUUUGAAACUUGAGAUGUAACCCCUUUUAUCUAAUUCUCCUCAAAAUUCAAUUGAAAGCCUUCAUUGCCAAUAUGAAAAUGUAAGGGGAGAGAGGAUCUUUCUACCUCAAAUCCCUUGAGCUCUCAAAGAAACUGAAUAGGACACUAUUUACUAGAAUAGAGAAUUGAGUAGUGGAAAUGAACCAUUUGAUCCACCUCACCCACUUAUGAUCAAAGUCCAUUUUAUCCAACAUCAUUAACAAAAAGUUCCAAUUUACAUGGCCAUCGUCCUUUCCAAUGUCUAACUUGCAAAUUACCCCACUAUUGGGACUCUUUAACCUUGAAUCUAGAGCAUCAUUUAUGAUUAGAACUGCAUCUAGAAAUUGUCUGUCUUCCACAAAAGCAUGCAAAUAAACUAAAACUAUUUUACCCACCACAUUUUUUAGUCUUUUAGCCAAGACUUUUUCCAAUAGCUUGUACAAAAAAACCCCCAACUAAGCUAAUCAAUGUAAAAAAUUUUAGGUUCUCUGCUGCACCUAUAUUAGGGAUCAAGACCAAGAACAUGACAUUUAAAUUUUGCUCAAAGGAACAAUUAUCAAAAAACUCCCCAAGCUCAUUUGCCAAAAUAUUAUAAUAAAUCCAUUUGGCCCCUACAGCUUUAUCCCCACUCAAGCUAGACAAGGCAACAAGAAAUUCCUCAUCAAAGAAAGGUAACUCCAAUUUCCUAGAAUCAGCACAUAGCAUAACUUCAAAGGUCAUCCCAUUAAUGUUGAGUCUCCACUCGCCCAUAUCAGAUAGGAGAUUUUGGAAGGCCCUAAACUCCCCUUCCUUUAUAUUUGCUUCCCAAGCAACCAUUUUGCAUUCACUCAAAUUUUAAACAUGAAGUUUUUUAUUCUUUGGGCAUUGACCAUUUCAUGGAAAAUUUUGGUGUUUUUAUCCACCCCCUCUUUUAACCAAAUUUCUCUUUAUUUUUGCCCCCAUACAUAUAGAUUCUUCUAACAAGGCCCACUUGCUAAACUCAAUCACCACUAACCUUUGGCCUCAACGAUUUCAAGAGAUAAGGUAACUGCUCUCUACUUUGAGUCCCAGAAGUUGAUCCAGUUUAGCACCUCUAGGUUUUUUGUUGAGACAUUCCCAAAACCUUCUUCAUUCCAAGAUUUUAAAUCUCGUUUGACAGCCUUUAGUUUAACUUCCAAAAUAUGACCAUACAAGCCAUCCACAUUAUAACCAUCAACCAACUCCUCACAAAAUCUUUUAAGCCUUUUGUUUUAGGCUACAUAUUUUAAAAUGUAAACUGUGUUUUCCCACUCCUUAUCCUACCUCCAUCUAAAACUAUGGGGUAAUGACCAAAAAUUGGUUUAGGUAAAAUACUCUAGAUUAAAGUAGAAAAACGAUUCUACCAAUCAUCUGACACUAGGAAAUGGCCAAGCUAGCCUUGAAGAAGACAAAAGAUUAUGAACACCACUCCAAGUGAAUAGCCCUCCAACUAGCGAAAGAUCCCAAGGUCAAGUCCUCUAUGUCCUCUGAAAAGAACCUCAUAUCAAACAACAUUCUAAGGCAAUUCCUCCUUUUCAUGGGGAACUUGACCAUAUUAAAAUCCCCUCUGAAGCACUAGAGGUCAUCCCAAAGGCCUCUUAUGGCACCCAACUCUACCCAGAAAUCCACUCUUUCUCCCCUUUAAACCAACCCAUAAACUCUUACGUAUACCUAGACAAAGCUAUCUUCACAAUUCAUAGACAAGCAAUAGAGAAUGCUUCCACCUCCUUACCAAUUAACUCUAAUACCCUACUAUCUUGGAAAACCAAAAUGCCUACUAUCAAGCUUCUAACUUCCAAUACCAUUUCAAAAAUUUUCCUACUCCUAAACUCCUUACCAGUUGAACGAACAUCUAUCGAACCUUGGUUUCUUGUUAACAAACUAGAUCAACCCCUUGAGACCUUAUCAAUGACUUUAUUAUCAUAUACUUUUCCUCAUCAUUUGCUCAUUUGACAUUCCAAGACAGGAUUUUUAGCUUCAUCAUGCAACCUAUGUUGGAUCCUAACUGCUACUCUUGGAGCCCUUUUCCUUUUUGUUGAGCUUUUAUAAUUGACUAAGCAUCCCAACUUGUUGAGGUCCCUCUCAAACCAAGAUAUCGAGGUUAACUUCCUCUUCACCUCCAACGAAAAAACAGAAACCCCUCUCCUUAGCCUGCCACACAAGGGAAAAGAUCUCUUUUUCAAAUCCAUCAACUGGCAUUCUUGAGAAACUAUUGAAAUUUGCCAACUUACAAGAUAUACAAUUGGAGGAGUGCUUCUCUACCAAACAACUACUAAAAUUCACCUCAAAGGUGACCUUUUCCCCUGAUCUCUCCCCGGCCUCCAUACCCACUGACCCUUUCACAAAAUUUUCUAGAAUUUCCACUAUCAAGCCGUUACGGAGAACCAUCCUCAACAAACUCCUUUGACUAAUGUGAAAAACCCCACCCAAGAGCAUCUUCCAGAAGUUAACUUACAAGAUUAACUAUAAUCUUGUGAAGACUCGUUACCUAAUGGGUAAAAAAUUUGAAAUUCUAUUAGUAUAAUUCUUUUUAGGCACAAAAGCUGUGAAAAUAGCAUUGGUGCUCUAAUUAAUAACCCCAUAAUUAUUAAGCAAUAAAACAACUUUUAAUAAAUUCUCUUUCACCACAUCCCACCAAUCCUAAUGCAAAAAAGCUAGGAAAAAGUCAUCAUUGCUCUAAGCAUUUCUCCUCACUAGUUGAAAGACUGCUUUAUGAACUUCCUCUUCGACAAAAGGACAAUCCAACCAAUUAGCACCAUUUUCCAAAAUGAGAGACCAACCCCCACUCUUCUAUCCUCUAAGGAUCUUCAUAUAACCAUUAAUGCCUUUCUAUACCAGCUAGUAUAUAUCGGGUUUUGGGCAAGUCCUAUAAAUUGGUUUGAGUAAGAUUUUUAAUUACCCUGUUCUUUCUUUUUAGUUGAUAAAUAUGCAUAUAUGUAGUAAUUCAUACAUCAGAAAAGAUUUUGCUAAAACAAAAGAAUUGACAUGCAGAUAGUGACUUCUUGAUAAGAGUAAUAGCUUAAGGGAGGAAAAUGAACUCCUCCAGUGGCCCCAAAGUGGUAAGUUCCUUCAGAUCCCAUGUUGCUAUUCUGCAUUUCUUUGUGUUUUGGCAUCAGCCCUCUUAAUUAAUUCACUAUCCAGCUUCUCAAAUUCCUCGGAUUCUUCCCUUGUUCUUGUGGAAACAUCUGCAUCUUGUCCUUGCAUUGUUAUGGAUUGGUGAUUAUCAUUCUUUGAGAACUGUGUGGCAGCUGCUCGUGCACCAGCUAUGGCUGCAAGGAGACCUUCUGGUUUCUUGUCUUCAGCAGCUUUGGAGCCAUCAAAGCAAGAAACAAGUAAUCCUGGUUUCAAAGAGAGGGGAUCUUGUGGUUCUGGAAGCAGAAACUUGACAGGUAGUGGAGCUUGAACAGGACGAAGACCCCUAACUGCUGCCUCAUAUAUCUGCAACAAUUUCAGGGGGGAUAAGUAAUUAAAAAUCAGUCACUCUAUUGCAUUAGUUAGACUUGCUUUCAAUGCGAUAGCAAAGAAAGAAUCAUCAAUGAAAAAAGAAAAAAUAAAUGAAAAAGAACAAAAAGGAGAGGGAAAAAAAAAUGAUGGGUGCUCAAUUUGUACUUUUCUUUCCAGGUUAUAAAUACGUUGGUACCCGCGCAUCUCAAAUGGUAUGAUUAAUUUCUGCAUCAGGUCAGGAGAACUAAGUCCAUCAAUAUACUAAAAAGCAAAUAUACCAAAAGGCAAGCAAAAAUGUUUAACCAUCUUGAGUGUCAAACUCUCCAAGAAACUAUAUACUUUUAGCUGAAUGAAAACACAUGCCUGUGGUUGCUCACAGAGCCAGCAAAACUCUGUUUGCGCUUCUAGCCUUACCUACAAAUAGAGUUUAGGUUAUCCAACCAAAAUGGAGAUACAUCACACAAAACAAACUGUACCUAAUCAGUUUACGAAGGGGACGGGGGGAAGCAAAAAGCAAAAGUAAAUUUCUAAGAUGCCCACCCCUUCAGGUACCUCCUUCCAGCACGCCAGCUCUUCACAUUUAACACAACCAACUACUUCAAUACAACCUGUGGCAAGAAUAGAGUUUGUUGGAUUUAUUGUAGCAUGCCAUACAGAAAAAUUUAGCAUUUCAGUAAGAAUAAGAAUAAGAGAGCUACUUUCCACUAAAAUACGAAUCACCCAUCAACUGUUGCAAACAGACAACAAUGUGAAUAACAGGUUUUAUAUAUAUAUAUAUAGAGAGAGAGAGAGAGAGAGAGAGAGAGAGAGAUAGAUAGAUAUAGAGAGAGAGAGAGAGUCAAAUAAUAAUAAAGGACAAAAAUAUUUCUUUGAGAAAGACUAAUUAGAAAGAAGAAACAAAGAACCCACAUGAAAUCAAUUUAGAUAAGAGAAAUACCUUUAAGAAUCUAGUUCUUUUUGCAAAUUGCAACUUAGAAUUGGAAUGCCACAUAUUAUUAUAAGGUAUCACAAGAGAUUAUUGCUUCAUUUUUUUUCUUUGCCAGAUCAGUUUUAAUAAAUAUAAAUAUAAAAAUAUAAGCAUGUACACACACACACGCAAACACAUUAUGUGUGUAUGUUUAUGGAUAUGUAGAUAUAGGUUUUUAAUAAUAGAGCAUGAAAACAUAUCUAGUCAGAAAUUCCAAAAAUCCAAAACCAUUAGCAACACCUAACAGUCUUGAAACUGGGUAAUGUUCUGGAAACUUGAGGUCUGCUAUCCCAUUCACAGCAUAGAUCUCCCUGUAGAAAUUCUCCAUUGCUUUGAUUGUGUCUGAAUCUGGGACCUUACUAGCAGCAUGAAUCCAGAGUCGGCCUUCAUAAAACAAAACAUGUAUAUUAAGAAAUAUCCUUGUAGAACAGUAACAUUUUUGCCAGCAUGCAAUUCGUGUUAAUAAUCCUUGGUUCUCACCACUCAUUGUACAUUACAAUGUAAAGACCUAAUAAGCCCUAAUAUAGGUAGGUGUCUGUGCAGAGAGAGAGAGAGAGAGAGGGGAGGGGGGUGAAAGGAAAGAUGAUUAUAGAACAAAUACAAGUUGAAUCUCCUGAAAUAAUGUCCAUCAAGUUAUUUCCUAGCAACAAGUACUGAUUAUGCUUUUCCUGAUAACAUGAUUUUCUUUGCUAACAACCAUACUAUAUUUUAUCAAGAAAGAGUAGUGCAUGUGGCGUGCAUCAAGACCCAUUAGAGUUCCGCUAAACCUAUAGUUCUGUCAACGUUAUCAUUUACGUUUCCUCUAGAUAAUGGCAUUUUCCUCUAAAACUCUUGCACCAUUAGGCUUCAAGUCAAAAUUUCACAUGUGAACUUUGGAAAUUUUCUCCAUUUGCCCCUAAGGAUACAGUUAGAAUUGACUUAAAAUCCUGAUUGAUGUAUACUUUUAACCGAAGAAUAUUGUAUAUAAUAAUUGAAAUAUUGUUGAUUCAUCGUGGAAAUACAUUUUGUAAGGAAAGUUGUUAAGAAUUUAGUAUGCUAUAUGGAGAAAAAAGUCAUGACUUAAGGUUGAGUAUGUAUAUUCUAUAUCAAAUAUUAGGUAGGAAUGUGGAAAAGAGCAGAGUGUAAUUAUAAGAAACAAAGAAAUAUAAGAUAUUCUUGAAAGUGGAAAAUGUAAAAUGGCUAAAAGUCAAAUUUAUGAUGCAUAAGGGGGAUCAUGUCACAUAAGAAACUCAUGGCAUACCAAAUACGUGUGGUAUGGAGUAACAAUUUUGUUAAAAUAAGUUUCUCGUUGGAGUACAUUAGGUGACAAUUUUUUAAUAUCAAAUUAAAGAGUCAAGUGCAUCAAUGAAGUCAUAUGUAGAAAAUUUGUUUGUGACAUGUACCAUAAAGAUAAGAUUGACUUGAUAUAAUUUAGUCCAGGUAGGAGUUGUUAAAGGUGUCUCAAAUUUCUAAUUGAUAUAUAUUUUUUUCUAAAAAAAUAUUAUAUAGAUAUUUCAAUAAAUGAUUAAUUCUUUGUAAAAAUACUUACAUAAUAAAAAACAUCAUUAGAAAUAUCUCUAUAAAUAUUUUAAAUCACAAAAAGAAAAAAAAAAUCACUAUGAGAUAAUUAUAAACAUGCAACAUUGUACCAAGUAAACAGAAAUGUGAUAAAAAAAUUUUGAGAAACACUAAAUAAAGGAAGGGCUUGUAUAUCAAGAUGUAAAUAUAGAGAGCAAUAUUUUUAAUCAUAUGAUAGAAUUAUUUUCUCUCAUUCAUGAUUAUAAGCAAAAUUGGGAACCAUUAUAAAAUCUUGUACACCUCGUGUAAAUUGAUGUUUGUCUUCAUAUUUUACACCAACAAAUGACAUUGAAGUUGUCAUUGAUAAAAGGGAAAAGGCAUGGCCUCCACACCAUGUGCUUGAAUCGUAUGGUUCAAGUUUAAAGAAUUUUCUCCAUAAUUUGAAGAUCUAAAACAUUUUCACCUUUAAAUUUCAUUUAAUUAUUAAUAUCUACAAAAAAUAGUUAAAUACUCUUUCUAUUUUUGAGUUGUUGAAUUUUUUGAAAGUUUUUAUAUUUGUUAUCAAGAAUUUAUAUUUUAUUAAGUGUGAAUAUUUAUAAAUAAGAUAUUAUAUAAUAUUUGGAUAAGAGAGAAUGGUGGAAUAUAAUAAAGUUUUAAUCCUUCCCAAUUUUUAUCUUUUUUUUUUUUUUUUUUUAUAAUCGCCUUUCUCUUUCAAUCCUAUUAUCAGGUACCUUAUAUUUGCUGAUGCUAUCUGGAACUAAAUUCCAAUCAGACAUUGUCCAAUUACUAAUAGGACAGAUCAUGUCUCUCUGUUUCUAAACUAACAUGUAUCGUAAUGUGGCCUCAUAAGGAAGGCUAGGAAGAUGGAGGAUUUUGUGGGAAGCGACCAGAAUCAGAUGGAAGAGAGAUAGCCCUGUUGACCUAAUGGCUGUAAUAGGAGAAGCGUGUGGAUUUAUGGGACUUAACUGAUACUAAACCUAUAUGAUGCUUGGAGUGGUGUUUCUUUCAUUUUGUUAAGAAAAUAUGGCAGCAUACAUCCUUUCAAUUGAGUGCAUCAGAGCAUCCAUAAUAGAUGGUCUGCAACCCUAGGUGCAUGCCACUUUCUGACUGAUAAUGAAACUGUCAGGUACUUGGCCUUGACUAAGCUCAACAGCAUCACAUAAAAAGAAGCUUUCAUACUUAGAUUACUGUUUAAAGCUUUUGCUUAUUUGCUUUCUUAAUGCCAUUAUGACAUUAUUGUUUCAAUUCUGCUACCGAUUUUCGAAGUUCUGGGCAUCUACUGAUUGCAUCAUUAUAUGAGAAGUUGCAUGAGUUUAUGUAUCCUGUUAUUGCUCCUUUGCGAUUUCACUGCUCACGGGACUAACCUCUCCAUUCAGUCGAAAUGAAUUGUAAUUUCUUUACUGGUAGCAGUAGUACUUUUCAUAGCAAAGAUAAUAGUAAAUAUGAAAUAUAAAUAGAAGGAAAUCUGAAUUGUAGAUGGCACUAUAAGUAACACUCAAUAUUCACUACAUAAUAAAAUAGACAGUGUUACAAAGGUAGAGAAACCUACAAUGAGUACUCAUCACCAUUCUCAAACAGAAACAUAGCAGCGACUUAUACAUAGAACCUAUAGGCUUGCAGGGAAAGAAGGGAAAGAGUAACAUGAUAAGUUCACAGCGGGUAGCAGCUCUUAUUUUACGUAUUACUCAAAAUCUCAAACUAACCAAAGUCACUCAGUUGGGAUGGGUAGGAGAUGGUGGUUUGUGGGGUGGCUUCUGGGUAGGAGCUGGUGGCUUCUUUGUUGGAGUUGAAGGAGGCGUAAUCUUCUGAGGUGGCUUGUAUGAGUCUUCGGCACUCUCUGCAGGAGGGUGCCCAGGGUUGUGACCGGAAGGAGGUGGCUUCUGUCCCUUUGGUGGUUUGCCUAAUGGGCUUGGUGGCUUGUGCUCCGGGAGUUGUUUCUCUCCCUCGAGUAGGUUUCGAGUUUUGUCAGAUGGCUUGUGUUCUGGUGGUGGCUUCUCUCCCUGGGGUGGUUUGCCGAAUGGGCUUGGUGGCUUGUGUUCGGGGAGUGGCUUCUCUCCCUGGAGAAGGUUACGAGUUUUGUCAGAUGGCUUUUGUUCUGGUGGUGGCUUCUCUCCCUGGGGUGGUUUGCCAAAUGGGCUUGGUGGCUUGUGUUCGGGAACUGGCUUCUCUCCCUUGGGAGGUUCAUUUGGUGGCUGGUGUUCCGUAGGUGGUUCCUUCACCGGCGGCUUGUGCUCCGGAAGCGGCUUCUCUACCUGGAGAAGCUUACGAGUUUUGUCAGAUGGCUUGUGUUGUGGUGGGGGCUUCUCUCCCUGGGGUGGUUUGCCAAACGGACUUGGUGGCUUGUGUUCGGGGAGUGGCUUCUCUCCAUUGGGAGGUUUAAUUGGUGGUUGGUGUUCCGUAGGUGGUUUCUGAAGUGGGGGAUGCUUGGGGUAGUCAGCAAGAGACGAGGUAGUGAGAACCACCAGUCCCAGCAGCAACACUAGCAAGGAUGUGGAAGACAUCUUUGAGUUCAGGCUGAGAUCU
rnacentral:lncRNA from 1 species